rnacentral:lncRNA from 1 species
AGUUAUGCCGGGAAGAAAUUUUCAUCAUGGGUUGGAGGUCAUUUGUUCUCUAAUAUGGGGCUUGUGCGCUUAGAGGAAUGUAACAAUUGUUUGUCGUUGCCACCUCUCGGACAAUUGCCUCAACUCAAAGAACUUUAUAUUAGGAGGAAUGAAUGCAGUGGAAAGGGUUGGUGCUGAGUUUUAUGGAGAGCGUAACUUGCCUUUUCGGGUAUUAGAGACUCUUGAUUUUGUGGAAUUGCAGCAUUGGAAGGAAUGGCUUCCUUUCUUACUGGAUCACGAAAGUGGUGCUUUCCCUUGCCUGAAAAGGAUGUCAAUAACAAAAUGUUCUAAACUGGAGGGUAAGCUGCCAGAGAACCUCAAUUCUUUAGCGAAGCUUGAAAUUGUUAAAUGUGAAGAAUUAGUGGUUUCAAUUGCCAACUACAAACAACUUCGUCAGUUAAACAUUGACGGUUGUAAAGUGUUGGUGCAUACAGCUGGUAAGGUUGAGUUUGAGUUAUUAGAGUCCUUGUGGCUUUCAAACAUUUCGGAGGUGAUGUCUCUGGAAACAGGGGAAUUGUUCAAGAAGGGAUUAACCAAGGUUAGUGAUUUGAUGAUUAAUGGAUGUGAGGAGGUGACGUCUUCAUUGAAGAAUGAGGGUAGAUUAUUGCAGCAGUUGACUUCUCUUAAUAGUUUGGAAAUUGAAGACAACUAUCGUCUAGUUGAAGAAUUGGGAAAAGAAGCAGAGGAGUUGCAAAUAUUGGAGUGCAGGCUUGAAUAUCUAAAGUUUAAAAAGUGCGAAAAUCUUUUGAAGCUACCAAAAGGAUUAAAUCAGCUGUCGUCUCUUCAAGAGCUUCGCAUACACGAAUGUUCACGUCUAGUUUCUUUCCCAGAUGUAGGUCUGCCACCUUCUCUUGAAAACGUCGAGAUUAGAGAGUGCCAUUCGUUGAUAUAUUUUGCAAAAUUCCAGAUUCCCCAAAAUCUCAAAAGAAUAGAGAUAAGAAAGUGCAAAAGUUUGAAAUCACUAGUGGAUGAGGAGGCUGUUGGUUCUUCUUGGUCGUCUUCUUCUCAUAUUUGUCUUGAGUACUUGAAGAUCGAAGGAUGUGAAUCUCUGACGUCGUUAUCAUUGAGUGGCCAGCUUCUCAGGACACUUAAACACCUUGAGAUACUUGGUUGUGAACAACUGGAGCUAAUCGCAGAGGACGGGUUCUUCCACGACAACACUAAUUAUUGUCUUGAAUACCUUAAUCUCUGGAAGUGCCAAAAUCUGAAAUCCUUACCGGAUGGCUUAUGCCACCUCAGCAAUCUGAGAAAGCUAUAUAUUCAAGAUUGUGGAAGUCUUGUUUCUUUCCCGAGACUGAGCGGGGGGAGACUACCCUCCAACCUGAGAGAGAUCCAGAUCACCAGUUGCGAGAAAUUGGAGGCGUUGCCUGAAGACAUGCACAAUCUCAACUCUCUUGAGGAAUUGAGGAUCGAGUACCGUGAAGGUUUGACUUUUCCUUCCAACCUCACGUUUCUUGAAAUUUGGAAGGUAAGGAGCUGUAAGUCAUUUUGGGAGUUGGAAUGGGGGUUGCACAGACUCACCUCUCUUAGAUACUUGUGGAUCGGAGGUGAAGACCCGGAUACGGUGUCGUUUCCACCCGACAUGGUCCGGAUGGAGACGCUCAUUCCCAUAUCUCUUACUCACCUCACAAUAAAAGGCUUCCCGAAUCUGAAGAAACUGAGCAGUAAAGGCUUUCAACUCCUCACCUCCCUUCAAUCUCUGCAUCUCUGGAAUUGUCCAAAGCUAGCAUCCAUUCCAGAGGAGGGUCUGCCUCCUUCACUAGAGCGACUUACCAUCUCUGAGUGCCCAAUGCUAAAAGAGAGAUGCCAACCAGGAAAAGGACGCUACUGGCAAAAUAUCCCACAUCCCUAAAAUACAGAUCGAUUGACAGCCGAUUUGAAGCUGAUAGUUGAUUCGAUCCCAUUCUCUAGGUCCAGGUAUCAUCUUCUCAAGGAAUGUUUUGUUAUUAUUAUUAUUAUCCACAAUAUUUGUUUUUUAUUUUUUUUAAAUUUAUGUCCUUCAUGUGGCUGAAGAUUUUCGGGGUUUCAUGAGUGGCUGCUUUGGGAGACCUUCAUUUGGCUCACACAGUAGAGCUGGUUCUGUCUUGCUUUGAGGGCGAUUCUUUGACGACAACAACCAUGGCUAUUUCUGGGCCAAGGUUUCUUCUCUCGCGUUCCUCGCAACACUAGUUUAUUUGGAGCCCAUGGGAUCUCAGAUCGAGUUGAGUGAGCAGGAUAGUUUUGUUGAAUUUGAAUAUGAUUUCCUGGCGUGGGGGGCAGAGGACUGGAAAAACUGGGAAUCUGGUGUGGUGGGAAAAAAAAAUGCAUGAAAUCGUUUGAUCUUGAAGGGACCAUUUGGAUCUCCACAUGGCCAAUCCUUGGAUUUGAUUGGUUCUGAUGAUACAAAAGCCUGAGCUUGACGGGUUCGUUAUGCAAACAGAUGAUGAACCAACUAGCAUUGCUGGAAAGGGAAAUAGCUUUGACGAGUGAGGAUAGUCAUAGUUGCUCGAGAAAGAAACUUUAUGAUAUUGGUCAGGCGUUUUAUGGAAGGUCAAGAGGGUGUGGAUAUGAGGACCAUAUAAGUUGCAUAAUUUUCCACAUCUCUACCAGUCUCUUCCAACUGGGCUUCUAGAGGGUGUGGAUAUGAGGACCAUGAAUGGUGCUGUCAAGCAAUUAGAGGAUGGUCUGAAACUUGAGCGGUCAAGAAUGGAGCAGGAGAAUAUGAAGCAGUUGGAGCUGCAGAAAAUGGAAAGAAGAAGAGAGGAAGAAAAAAGAGGCUGAUAUGGCAUCAAAGAAGAGACAAAGGGAAUAGGAAGAAAGGAAGGAGAAGGAAAGAAAAAGAAUGCGUGUUGAAGCUCGUAGACAGCGGAGAGAACAUGAAGACAAGUUACCUGCUGAAAAACUAGAGAAAGAAAUGAAAAACCACUCCACUGUAUGAUUCUUUAUGCUCUGCCUCAUUUCAUAUAUAUUUUGCAAUGUUAGAUUUCACAUUCUAUAUUGGGCUUUCUUGUAUAGGAUGGAAGAAGCCCUGGCGGUAAGAAAUUUAAAAUGGACAAAGAAAGGGGAUUUGACAAUUCCAGAAAUAUUUUGGAGACUGAGCCUAGUACUUCCAGGAUUUCAAUAAGCAAUGCCAGAAGAAAAUAUUAUCCACGAAAAGUUCCAUGAGGCCUCGAGUAGUUAUGGAUAUAAAGCAGAGGUAAAUGCUAAUGACUUUUUAACAAUCGAUACCCGCCAUAUCUUAGGAUCUAGUUGCAUAUGUUGAGUGCUUUUACUUGCAUAGGCAGGAGCAGAGUGAUAAACUGUGAGCAUAGCAUGAAUUAUAAUCCUCUGUUGUUGAAGUUUGCAUACGACCUCUAAAUUUGUUGGGUUGAACCUAUUUUGAGGCCUUCUUUAUACCAGGAAAUAGGGCUACACUCGCCUAAGUGCAAGAGUUCUCUUCUUUUAAAACUCCUAAUAGCUUAUUGUAAACUCAAGUCUGAACCACCUUUAGAAAGUUUUUCAAGUCUGAACCACCUUUAGAAAGUUUUCUUAUUCAUGAAUAGCUGCAUGCUGUUGUGCACUUUUACCUUGUCUGUAAAGCCUCUCGCUGAUACUUCCUGUGAUAUUUAAGGUACCUAGCAAUUUAGACAGAGAAAUGGAGAAUUCACUUGGCAUUACAAGUCAAGUGCAGUAUUAUGACAUCUCUGCAUACAAAGAAUCUGAUGAUGAAAACGACGAUGACGAUAAUGUCAUACCAAAUAGUAAAUUUAUUCCUUCAUGGUUAAGGUAUGUUUUUCAAUUGUUAUAUAUGAAAUAUGAUCUUCAAGUUAAAGAGCGUCACAAUCAUCUUGGUGAUAUGUAUCUUUAGCGAAAGGCAUAGAUUGUGUACCCUUUGAAAGUGUCAACUCAGCUGCGCUAUAAAAUAUCUGUUGUUUGGUUCUUGUUUUGUGCAGUAAAAACUGCCUGGCUUUUGCCGUUUCUAGCCAGAAUAGAGCAGAUCCAAAGACGAUAUUCGCCCCCCCCCCCCCCCCCCCCCCCCCCCCCCCCCCCCCCAGAAAGCUUUUGCUGCAUCUCUGAAGGUACUUUUAUGGUUUAAAGUCCCGAUCUUCGUAGCUAUUGCAUUGGCAUUUUGGCUGGUCAAUUUUUAGAUACUGCUGGACUAAGUUCCAAUAUGCUCAUUUGCAGUCCUCUUGCCCGAAAAGCAUCAAUUAAACAACAGCGGAAUGUGCUAAACUCUAUUCAGUAUAUUCCUCAGUAAUAAGAGCUUUUGAUCAUGAAGAGGUAAUGUUUACCUUUAUUGAUUAUUCUCAUUUUUCCUCUCCAUGCUCUAAACUACAUUUACGCUGCCAGUUUGGUUGUUAAAGGAGCAAUUUUCCUUCUGCGAAAUGUAAAAUGCCUUUAGUUACUGCCUAUCAAACCAAAAUACUUGUAGUAAUUGGUUUUUAUUUCUCGUUGCAGAUUUUCAAAGUCUAUUUGUGAACAGUUUCUUGAGCAGGCAACACCCUUCCAAGCCGAAAUGUAGCUGAAACGUGUAGAACUUUUUUUUUUAAUUUUUUUAUUUUUAUAUAUAGGAGUCUGUUGUAACUUAUCUCAGAUAAUUUGCAGUGUGAUUGUAGUUAAGAAGAGUAACAAGUUCCAUUGGCAGAAGGGCAAUUGCAUGAGCUAUUGAGUAAUUUGGUCAGCAUCUCCUGCUGCCUUGUUUUUUCUUUGGCACCGCCACUUUGGUCGGCAUUGGUUUCAGUUUUACUUUUAGCCCUCCUGAAGGAUGAUAAGAGAAGGCUAGAAAAAGUAUGUAUUUUGCAUGUUGAGUGCUUUUACUUGCAUAGUCUGGAGCAGAGUGAUAAACUGUGAGCGUAGCAUGAAUUAUAAUCCUCUGUUGAUGUAGUUUGCAUGGGACCUUUAAGCUUGUUGGGUUUUAACUCUUUUGUGGCCUUCCUUUUGCUAUCGUUACCACAAUAUAGGAAAGAAGGCUACAAUCGACUAAGUGCAAGAGUUUUCUUAUGUUAAAACUCCUAAUAGCUUAUUGUAAACUCAAAUCUGAACCACUGGUAGAAACUGCCGGGCUCCAAAAUAAUCUAUUGUUUGGUUCUUGUUUUGUACAGUAAAAACUGCCUGGCUUUUGCCGUUUCUUGCCAGAAUAGAGCAGACCCAGCGACGAUCUUCCCCCGAGAAAGCUUUUGCUGCAUCUCUGAAGGUACUUUUAUGGUUUAAAGCCAUGGUCUUAGUAGCUAUUGCUUUGGCAUUUUUGGCUAAUCAAUUUUUAGAUACUGCUGGACUAAGUUCCAAUAUGUGGGCACACGAGAAAGGAUAAGAUUAGGAAUGAGGAUAUCCGGGGUAAAGUAGGAGUAGCCGAAAUUGAAGGAAAGAUGAGAGAAAAUCGGUUACGGUGGUUUGGACAUGUGCAAAGAAGGCCUACUGACGCUCCGAUUAGAAGAUGCGACUAUGGGACACAGGUUCAGGGCCGAAGGGGUAGAGGAAGACCUAGGAAAACUUUGGAAGAGACUCUAAGAAAAGACUUAGAGUACUUGGAUCUAACGAAGGACAUGACACAGGACCGAGCACAAUGGCGUUCUAAGAUUCAUAUAGCCGAUCCCACUCAGUGACUUGGAUUUUCCAAGUCUCCAACCGAGAAGUUUUCCUCAUUCGGGAAAUUAAGGGAACACUACCUCAACCUACAUGCUCCACUCACAAAGCUUCAACAUACAAGCUUCAAUAAAAGAAAAUUCAAAGAACUUAGCGAAGAAGGCUUUGGUGUAUUUAACACAAACGUUGAAAUGAAGGAAAGCUUAUUUAUUGAUAUUCCCGAUAAGAUACAAAUAUGUACAUAUACAUAAGUCAAAAUAAACAAACAAGAGGGAGUCUUCACAAAGGUUGCUUAGGAGAAGUCUCAGCAGUCGGUAGCCCCAGAAAGAGAAGGCACCGGAGGGGGAUCAUUCAGAGCCUCAGUACUGGACAGAAUCCUAGAAGGAGGAGGAAUCAGAGGUUGAUCAUUUGGAGCUUCAUUACGCGGUACAGCCCCAGAAGAUGAAGGCAAUAAAUGCUUUUGGAUUAAACCCACAAAUCUUUGAUGAUCAAGUAAAACCUGACCAUCAGAUUCCUUCAUCUGGUCAAGCUUCCUCUUCAUGUUUGUAGCAUAGUCAUGGGCGAGCUGGUGCAACUGUUUAUUCUCAUGCUUAAGCCCUCUAAUCUCCUGUUUGAGACUCAUCUUUUCAGCCGCCAAUGAUUCAACUUGGCAGGUUCGAGCAAAUAGGCGUUGGGCCAUAUUAGACACAGAACCUGCACACUGAACACUGAGAACUGGCGAAUCCUUAACAGCUAACUCAUCAGACCGUUUGGAAAGUAGUCUGUUAUCUUUGGGAGUGAGAAGGUUCCUGGCCACCACCGCAGCGGUCAUAUCAUUCUUCAUUACGGAAUCCCCAACGGUAAGAGGACCAGUAGGGGAGACGAAGGAUGGGCGCCAUAUGUUGUCUGGAGAAGGCGGGGCUGCCUCUUCAACAAGGUUCAAGUCAAAACGACGGUCGGAAGGGCCAGACAUUUUCAAAGGUGUUGAAGAGAGAAGAGGUCGGACAAAUCAAGAUCUUAGAAGUGCAAGAAUGGAGCUUCUACUGGUGGAUUUCAAGUGUGCUUUAGAACUUAAUGCCAGCCCUUAUAAAAAUCUGCACUCGACGGAGCUUUAGAAAUCGAAGAGGCGUUUGCUUUCUCAAAAGCUGGGCUGCUCAGAGACCACGAGGGUUGAUCUCAGAAAUCGAAGAGGCGUUUGCUUUCUCAAAAGCUGGGCUGCUCAAAGACCACGAAGGCCAAUCUCAGAAAUCGAAGAGGCGCUCGCUUUCUCAAAAGCUGGGCUACUCAGAGACCACGAGGGCCGAUCUCAGAAAUCGAAGAGGCACCUACUUUUCCAGCCUUGUCAGCACCUGUCACACGCACACUCAACUUUGCGGAAAUUAUGGGCAUUCUGUCGAAGACUUCUGGUAAAGUAGAAAACACAUGAACCUUACUGCUCAAUCACCCACUUCCCACACGCAACAAUAGCUCAUGGGUACCACAGAUAACUUUGCCAAAGUUCUCUGCCAAAGUUGAGCACGUGAAGCUUGCAGCUCCUACUACAUCGCUCUAACCAAGAAGGGUAAAAGAAUAGUAAAGAAACAGCACUAACAAAGUUUAGACACAUAAAUUUUGAAGGCCUAGCUACCAUAUUAUUACCCACAAGGGUAAAGGAACAGUACCACUGCUGGAUAAUUGGAAAGUCCCUGUGUGUCAACCUCUGUGCUUCGUGGCAAGGUAGACUAGCAAACAUGCCCAACAUUUACUCACAUUCGAGAAAACUCCCAACAAGAUUGCUUGCUCCAAAAUCGAAGAGGCACCGUCCUCCGAAUCUCGGGAGCCAGACUCCCAACAUGACUACUGUCUCAAAAAUCGAAGAGAGGGUAAGGGAACAGUACCAUUGCUGGAUAAUUGGAAAGUCCCUGUGUGUCAACCUCUGUGCUUCGUGGCAAGGUAGACUAGCAAACAUGCACAACCUUUACUCACAUUCGAGAAAACACUCCCAACAAGAUUGCUUGCUCCAAAAUCGAAGAGGCACCGCCCUCCGAAUCUCGAGAACCAGACUCCCAACAUGAUUACUUUCUCAAAAAUCGAAGAGACACCGCUCUCCGAAUCUCGAGAGCCACACCCCCAGCGCGAUUACUUUCUCAAAAAUCGAAGAGGCAUUGUUCUCCGAAUCAAUCGAAGAGGUGCUCGCUUUCUCAAAAGCUGGGCUGCUCAGAGACCACGAGGGCCGAUCUCAGAAAUCGAAGAGGCACCUACUUUUCCAGCCUUGUCAGCACCUAUCACACGCACACUCAACUUUGCGGAAAUUAUGGGCAUUCUGUCGAAGACUUCUGGUGAAGUAGAAAGCACAUGAAUCUUACUGUUCAAUCACCCACUUCCCACACACAACAAUAGCUCAUGGGUACCACAGAUAACUUUGCCAAAGUUCUCUGCCAAAGUUGAGCACGUGAAGCUUGCAGCUCCCACUACAUCGCUCUGACCAAGAAGGGUAAAAGAAUAGCAAAGAAACAGCACUAACAAAGUUUAGACACAUAAAUUUUGAAGGUCUAGCUACCAUAUUAUUACCCACAAGGGUAAAGGAACAGUACCACUGCUGGAUAAUUGGAAAGUCCCCGUGUGUCCACCUCAGUGCUUCGUGGCAAGGUAGACUAGUAAACAUGCCCAACCUUUACUCACUUUCGAGAAAACACUCCCAACCAGAUUGCUUGCUCCAAAAUCCACCGUCCUCCGCAUCUCGAGGGCCAGACUCCCAACAUGACUACUUUCUCAAAAAUCGAAGAUGGUAAAGGAACAGUACCAUUGCUGGAUAAUUGGAAAGUCCCUGUGUGUCAACCUCUGUGCUUCGUGGCAAGGUAGACUAGCAAACAUGCCCAACCUUUACUCACAUUCGAGAAAACACUCCCAACAAGAUUGCUUGCUCCAAAAUCGAAGAGGCACCGCCCUCCAAAUCUCGAGAGCCAGACUCCCAACAUGAUUACUUUCUCAAAAAUCGAAGAGACACUGCUCCCCGAAUCUUCGAGAGCCAGACCCCCAGCAUGAUUGCUUUCUCAAAAAUCGAUGAGGCAUCGUUCUCCGAAUCAAUCGAAGAGGCGCUCGCUUUCUCAAAAGCUGGGCUGCUCAGAGACCACGAGGGCCGAUCUCAGAAAUCGAAGAGGCACCUACUUUUCUAGCCUUGUCAGCACCUGUCACACGCACACUCAGCUUUGCAGAAAUUAUGGGCAUUCUGUCGAAGACUUCUGGUGAAGUAGAAAGCACAUGAAUCUUACUGUUCAAUCACCCACUUCCCACACACAACAAUAGCUCAUGGGUACCACAGAUAACUUUGCCAAAGUUCUCUGCCAAAGUUGAGCACGUGAAGCUUGCAGCUCCCACUACAUCGCUCUGACCAAGAAGGGUAAAAGAAUAGCAAAGAAAUAGCACUAACAAAGUUUAGACACAUAAAUUUUGAAGGUCUAGCUACCAUAUUAUUACCCACAAGGGUAAAGGAACAGUACCACUGCUGGAUAAUUGGAAAGUCCCCGUGUGUCCACCUCAGUGCUUCGUGGCAAGGUAGACUAGUAAACAUGCCCAACCUUUACUCACUUUCGAGAAAACACUCCCAACCAGAUUGCUUGCUCCAAAAUCCACCGUCCUCCGCAUCUCGAGGGCCAGACUCCCAACAUGACUACUUUCUCAAAAAUCGAAGAGGGUAAAGGAACAGUACCAUUGCUGGAUAAUUGGAAAGUCCCUGUGUGUCAACCUCUGUGCUUCGUGGCAAGGUAGACUAGCAAACAUGCCCAACCUUUACUCACAUUCGAGAAAACACUCCCAACAAGAUUGCUUGCUCCAAAAUCGAAGAGGCACCGCCUUCCGAAUCUCGAGAGCCAGACUCCCAACAUGAUUACUGUUUCAAAAAUCGAAGAGACACCGCUCUCCGAAUCUCGAGAGCCAGACCCCCGCAUGAUUGCUUUCUCAAAAAUCGAAGAGGCAUCGUUCUCCGAAUCUCGAGAGCCAGAUCCUCGAUAGGAUUGCUUGUUCGAAAAUCGAAGAGGCACCACUUUCCCAACUUCAAGAGCCGGAUCUCCUUGGAUAAAGCUUGUCUGUAAUCUUCACACGCAACAUCAGCUUUCUAGAUACCACAGACCACUUUUUCAAAGUGCUCUGACAGAGUUAAAACAUGUGAAGCUGGCAGCUCCCACUACCGUGCUAUGACCAAGCAGGGUAAAGGAAUAGCAUUACUACUUGUUGUUAGGGAAACUCCUAUAUAUGUCGACCUUCAUCCCUAACGGACAGGCAGACCUGCAAAAAUGCUCAACCCUUCCUUAUAUCUGAGAGGGCACUCCCAACGAAGCCUUUCGAAAUAUUCAGCUUUCUUCCCCCCGAUAAUACCUCUGCAAACAAGCUAUACUAGAGCAAGAAUAUCUCAUAUCAUCAGGGUUAAAAGCAAGAGUAUCCCAUAUCAUGCUUUUUCCCUGUCUUUUCCUUUGGCCUUGUUCUUACCUGCAAGACAAGGAGAAAGAGAGCAAUCAGUCAGCACUUGGAAUCAAGCUUCCAGCCAGGAACUGACUGCCUGGAACCCCUUACCUGAUUACUUACCUGGCAUUGCUCUUGAGUACUCAUCUUCAACAUCUUAUGCUCCCAGGGAAGAUACCGCAUAUGCCUGAGGAACAGAUAGGGCAAGUGAGAAGGAUACAAGGAAGCAUAUGGAGACAAGCGUAACAGCACACGUGCCGAUACAUCCAUUACUCUGUCAAAAGCAAAAGUAUCCCAUAUCAGCAAGGUCGAACAUACUCUAGAUUUGAUGGACUUGUUUUGACCCUCAAAUUCUUCAGUCGGCCUUAUACACUGGAGGAAACCAGAAAACCCUCCAGCUCAGUUCAAGAAUAAGCCUGUGGAAAGUUACUUCUUCAAAAGCAAAAGUAUCCCAUAUCAUCUCUUCUCAUUUUUCUUCUCUUUAUCCUUCAUGCUGCCUGCAAGAUAAGGAGAAUGUGAACAAUCAGCCGGAGCUCUGAUUGCUUACCUUGUCUGUCACCUCUUUCAGCAGAUCCCCUAGCUCGGCGACUUGGGGACUCCUACUACAUGGUUUGUAUCGCGCUUGACCAAGCUUGAAACUACAAGUAAGCUUCAAGUGAAAUUGAUACAUUACCUUGUGCAUCUCCACCAGUUACAGAUACCACCCCUGGAUGGAGGAAGAGUACUUCCAGAGAAGAUGCCACAUCUACCUAUGAGACAGAUAAGGCAAGUCAAGACGAUACCACACUCCGGUACUUAGAAGUUUCGUGGUUACGAGAUCAUUCUCCCACAAUAUUUCCUAAUGUCAUUUGUACUAAAUCAUUCACUUGUACUCACUAAAGGAGAGCUUGAACCUACGUACUUGUGUAAACCCUUCACAAUUAAUGAGAACUCCUCUAUUCCGUGGACGUAGCCAAUCUGGGUGAACCACGUGCAUCUUGUGUUUGCUUUCCUAUCUCUAUCCAUUUAUAUACUUAUCAACACUAAUGACCGGAGCAAUCUAGCGAAGAUCACAAAAAGUGACCGUUUUCGCUACCUAGGAUCUAUCUUGCAGGAGAACGGAGAAUUAGAUGGAGAUCUCAACCAUAGAAUACAAGCUGGAUGGAUGAAGUGUAAGAGUGCAUCCGGCGUGUUGUGUGACCGUCGUAGGCCACUGAAGCUCAAGGGAAAAUUUUAUAGGACGGCAAUAAGGCCAACGAUGUUGUAUGGCACAGAAUGUUGGGCGGUGAAGCAUCAACACGUACACAAAAUGGGUGUAGCGGAGAUGAGGAUGCUUCGUGGGAUGUAUGGGCACACGAGAAAGGAUAAGAUUGGGAAUGAGGAUAUCUGAGGUAAAGUAGGAGUAGCCAAAAUUGAAGGAAAUAUGAGAAAAAAUCGGUUCCGGUGGUUUGGACAUGUGCAAAGAAAGCAUAUUGACGCUCCGGUUCGAAAAUGUGACUACGGGACAGAGGUUCAGGGCCGAAGGGGUAGAGGAAGACCUAGGAAAACUUUGGAAGAGACCCUAAGAAAAGACUUGAGUACUUGGAUCUAACGGAGGACAUGACACAAAACCGAGCGCAAUGGAGUUCUAGGAUUCAUAUAGCCGACCCCACUUAGUGGGAAAAGGCUUUGUUGUUGUUGUUGUUGUUUGACUAGAGCAGUGUACUUACUUUUUUGCACCCAAGUUGAAUUUAGUAUAAAUUAUUCUAUGGUUUGGAAAUGGAAAUAAAAAAAAUAAAAAAAGUCAAUUCAUGAAUAAUUCAAUGUAACGGAGUGUUUAAACGCAAAACUUGAGCGAGACAUUAGCGGAAUGAUAGUUUCAAUCCCGACCACAAAUUUGCUACACCAACUAGUAUAGGGCCUCGUAUCGGAUGGAAGAUGUCGAAGAGGACGCUUUCUGAAAAAAAACAGCAUACAUCACAGCCAUGAUGCGUAGUCUGAAAACUUUCUGACACAAAUCACCAAAUGGGCAAGCUCAAAGUUUACAAAUUUCCAAUUGGGUAAGUUCAAAGUUUACAAAUUUCCAAUUGGGUAAGCUCAAAGUUGACAAAUUCCCAAUUGGGUAAGCUCAAAGUUCACAAAUUGUCAAUUGAGUAAGCUCAUAUUACAAUAUUCACUUAACAGAGCAAUUUUUAAAAUGUGUGAUCAAAAGUAUAAUGAUUUGUCAAAACGUGCCUAUUGUGAUUAAUUAUCCUUGUAUUAUUAAAGCAAUGUCAUAUCAGAACGACAAUGUACUCACUUUAUGAAAAUUCUUCGCGUCCGUUACAUUUUAGAAUGUACACAUGGAAGUCAUUCAAAACAUAAUCACAGUUGCCAUGUGUUUUCCUGGUCCGCCAAAUGAUCAUUUUCUUGUCCUUUGUGUUUUGUUAAGUAGUUCCUGCAUUUUGGCCCCCAUUUUCUGAUUAAUAUAUGAAGGGCAUGAACCUUCGCAUAUAGAAUUGAUUAAACAGCAGUUUUAAAAAGUGAAAUCAAAAGUGCCACAAUUUGUCAAAAGUUGUCAAACUGUGAGUUUGUGACUAAUUGCCCUUGUAUUACUCGAGCAAUGUGAUACCACAUCAAUGGUAUGGUAUACUCGUUCUAUGGAAAGUCUUCAUGAUCUUUAUAAUUUAGAUAAGACAAAUGAAUGAAUCAUUCAAAACAUAAAGUUUUUUUAAUUUUAUUUUUAAUUUUUUAUGUUAAAUUUUUUUUCACGCAUUAUUGUGUUAUUUAUUUAAAAUAUUGACUAAAUGGCGAACUAGAUAAGUGAUUCUCGUGGAAAGAAUACAAGUUAGGGAUGGGCAAACAGGUAUAGGAACCACGGGUCGAGACGGGUUCAAAAAUUAUAAAUACAAAACGAGACGGAACAGAACAGGACGGGACGGGUAUAGGUAAAUAAUGGGGCGAGAUGGUUCUAGAAAUUGGAAAAAAAGGCCCCGGCCUGGACCGUUGAUUUCCCACCGUUGACUCUCUCUCUCUCUUUUUCUUGUCCGAGACUCCCAAGACCCCAUUCCAUUCUCAGACCUCCCCUCUCUAGGUCUCUCCUCCUUGAAUCUCAUUUGCUCUCUCGCCGCCACCAUCAUCAUCAGACCUUGAUUUCUCCUCCUGAUUCACUCUUGUCUUCCUCACUCGGUCCGCUGCCAUCAUUAUCAGGCCUCGUUCGCUUGAUCUUUGGCGACUCUUUGUGGUGCGCCGACGACAAGGUCGUUGAUGAGUUCCUGAUGGAGUAGCCAAUCCCGCCGUACCUGUUCGCGUUCGCCGUCAACAAAGGGUUUGGGUGGUUCUUUCCGGUGGUGGCUCUGGGAAUGCUGAGGUACAUGAUCGCCACAUCAAACAUCAUACAUGACUGCGACGAGGUCUUCAACUUUUGGGAGCCUCUCCAUCUCGAUUCUCUUUCUUUUUCCUCUCUGAAAAAUUGAAACUUUGUUCUUUUUAGGUGUUUUGUUUCUGGGUUUUGAUUGUUUGUUAUUUUCUGGGUUGUUUUUAUUUUGCUUGUUAUGAAAUUAUUUGUCUUUGUGGUUAUUUGAAGUUUAUUUGAUAUUAAAGAUGUUAAUAUAAUGCUAUGUUUGGUUAUAAUUUGUAGAGAACUAUUAAGCUCUGGAUUUAAUUUAUUGGGGAAGUUGGUUGUGUAAUUUCUCAAAAAAAAAAAAAGGAACAUAGGGCCCGUGUUCUCGGCCCAAACCGGCCCGUCCUGUUUCCUUUUUAAGUGGAUCAGGUCCGGUCCCUCCAAAUUUGAGUCUGGCCCGGCCCGGCCGGUGCCCAUCUCUAAAUUACAAGUUUCUAACUUUUCUUGUGCGCGUGGAUUGUCAUUUUGUGCUGUUGGUGGAAUACUGACACAAUUGCAAACCUAAUUCUUUUAAAAAAGGAAAACUAAUGAAAAAUGCUUGAAAACUUUGAGUUUUAAUGAUAAGGACAAAAUAAAGGGUAAAGUGAAUAGUACCAUGAUUGACUUUUUAGUGUAAAAAUGUGGUUUUUCGUUAAAGUGAACAGUACCGGGUGCUUUUAGUUAAAGUUCCCUUUAAAAAAUUUGUUUGUUUUGUAGCUUCUUAUCUUCAAAGUUUUGUUUUAGAGGCGUUUGGUCAUAUGUCAUUUUGUUUUGUCUAUUUUCGUUACAUUAGGUGUAACUUUUUUCUUUUCUUUUCAUUUUAAUAAAUGGGGGUAAGGCUAGCCGACAUUCACCUCUCACAGACCCUGCGUAAAGCGGAAGCCUUGUACACUGGGUACGACCUUUAAUAAAAUUUCCUUCUACCAUUGAGGUUCUACCAGAAGAAAAUGACAAAUGAAAAAUAAUCUACCCACAAUUCAUCUAAAUUAUGAAAACAAAGAAGAAUUUAGACCCAAAACACAAUGGUUUGAAUAGAAAAACCUUAUCCCAAGAUAACCCACAAUUUGUGAUAUUUCACUCCAUGAAAAUCCUGCUCAAUUUUCAUUCCUUAAACAUCUAUUCAGGAUAUGGCAAGUAAAGCGUGGAGAUUGGUUACAGCCCUUGUGACUAAACGUAAACGAUGGUAAAAGGAAUUAGCAUAGCAAAUUGAAUUAUUGCAGAGCUCUAAAUGUUGUGAACUGUAAUGGAGGAUCGCUCAGUAGAAGAAAUAAAUAAGUAGUGGUGAUGUAGGACUGUUUUGUAAGGGAUUUUGGGUUAAAGUGUAAGGGUUUUUGUAAUCGGGUUCAAUUGUAAUCACCUAAGUCUUUAGUGGAGCCUAGUUAAUUUGUUAGUGGUGUCCAGCUGGCACACAUGUAGUGGGGAAAAUAACACUGGCGCGUGGUUAAAUGGUGGCCAGAGGAAAUUGUAAGGGCAUGAUGAAAUUAAUGAGCAGAAUAUCCUUCUCUCUUUUCUCUCUACUCUGUCCCUUCAUCACUGUCGCCACAGCUGCCAUUGCAGGUUGAGGCCAUAGCAGGUCUGGGUCUUAUCACUAAAGUCUUUUGUGGUCUGGAAUCUGGAUGCGUUGACUUUCAUAAGCGAUCAGAUGAGUUCGAUGGAAACAAGUCCCUUCAUCUUCAUGAUCAUCUGAAAACUUCAAUUGAUGCAGUAAGUUCUUCUUCCAACAAUAUCUAUAUGGGAAAGCCAUUAUUUAUUCGUUAUUUAUUUCAUUUUCUUCAUCUUAAUUGCAGCUAAAUAUAUAUAUGGUUUCAUGUUCAACACUUUGUUAAUUGCACUAAAGUUUUCAAAUUCAACUGAAAUCUGAUUGAGCCCCUGUGUAGCCGAUUGAACAUAAAGAUUUUAACAUGUAAAAAGCAUAUGGUUUUUAACAUAUAUACCCGAUUGAGCCCCUGUGUAGCCGGUUGGACGGUUAUGGAAUUGCAUAAAUUUGUAUACAAUAAUUAGUUUCAUCUGUUUUAAUUGUGCAGCUGUGACUACUUGUGAGUCUUGAUUGGUAUUGCUUAACGGAUCAAACUUCCAAUUCAAGAAACUAUGGCGGCAGAAAAUUUUCUUGUGGCAUUCCUCCAAGUGCUGGUUGACAAGUUGGCGCAACGCGAGGUCUUCAAGUACUUUGGACUCGUAAAGGGCAUCGAUCAGAUACUGAAGAAGUGGAGUGCCACCUUGUCUGCAAUUGGAGCGGUGCUGAAUGACGCGGAGGAAAGGCAACUGACUGCUGAGAGCAACGCACUGAAGCUCUGGCUCGAUGAUCUCAGGGACUUGGCUUUUGAUGCGGAAGACGUGUUGGAUAAAUAUCAUACUAAAAUGUUGAAACGUCAGAUACAACAUGCUCAUUCCAGCACAACAAGCAAAGCAUGGAAAUCAAUUCCUAAUCGUCUUUUCAACUUCAAAAUGAAUUUGGAAAUACAGAAGAUUACUGAGCGAUUACAAGAGAUAUCUGAAAGAAAAGACCAGCUUAGUUUGAAAAUUGAUACUGGGAUGUUGACUACAAGGGCACAUCAACACAUAUCGCCUAGUUCUAGUCUACCGGAUGGACCUGUGAUUGGAAGGGAGGAGGACAAAAGGAAGAUUGUUGAGCUGCUGUCAAAGCAAGAGCAUCGUGCUGUCAAUUUCGAUGUAGUUGCAAUUGUUGGUAUGGCUGGAGUUGGAAAGACAACACUUGCUGGACAAGUACUCAAAGAUAUUGUUGCAACCCAAAUGUUUCAACCAGCCAUUUGGGUGUGUGUAUCUGACGACUUCAACCUUCAAAGAGUGACAAAGCAAAUUCUUGAAUCAAUCACAUCUCGACAAUGUACCACAGAAGAUCACAAUAAGGUUCAAGAUGAUCUGCAUAAGGAGUUAGCAGGGAAGAAGUUUUUAAUUGUUUUAGAUGAUGUUUGGAAAACGUGUAGCUACAGAGAAUGGAUGAAGCUGCAGUCCCCUUUUCGUGAUGGAGCACAAGGAAGCAAGAUAGUUGUGACAACACGUGAUACAGAUGUUUCAAAAAUGAUGGGAGCUGCCACGCUGGUUCACAACUUGGUGCCUAUGGAAAAUCAUUUUUGUUUGCAAGUAUUUGAGCAGCAUGCAUUCUUAAAUUUUAACGACAAACCGCCAAAUUAUGAGUUACUUCAGGAGAAAAUUGUUGCAAAGUGUAGGGGAUUGCCUUUGGCUGCGAGUACCCUCGGUGGUGUUCUACUUCGUAAAGAAAUAGACAAAUGGGAAGAAAUAUUGAACAACAAGUUGUGGAGUGUCUCAAAUGAGCAUGACAUACUUCCUGUGUUGAGACUAAGUUACUUUUAUCUUCCUUCACAUUUGAAAAGAUGCUUUGCCUAUUGCUCAAUACUUCCAAAUGACUAUGAAUUCGGGGAUAUGCAAAUGAUCCUUCUGUGGAUGGCCGAGGGUUUGAUUCUUUCUCGACCAGAAGAUAAUAAGCAAAUUGAAGAUUUAGGCGCUGAUUAUUUCCGGGAGCUCGUAUCUAGGUCAUUGUUUCAAAAGUCAACCAAAAAUACUUCAAAAUAUGUGAUGCAUGACCUCAUUGGUGAUUUAGCAAGAUGGGCAGCUGGAGAUAUUUGUUUUAGAUUGGAGGAUAAGCAAAAUGAUGAUGGUGUACAACUUAGAUGUUUUCCAAAGGCACGCCAUUCGUCUUACUUUAUGGGUCACUAUGAUGGGGCUAAAAGAUUUAAGGCAUUUUCUAAAGUGAAAUGUCUGCGAACCUUCUUGCCACUAAGAAAGGGUUCUGGCUACAAUUACUUAAGCCAUCAGGUUACUUCUGAUUUAUUGCCAAAAUUGCAGUACUUGCGGGUGCUCUCUUUUAAUGGCUAUAGAAUAACUGAGCUGCCAAACUCAAUUGGUGAUUUGAGAUAUCUACGAUAUCUUGACCUUUCCUACACAGCUAUAACUAGUUUGCCUAAAUCAAUCAGUACUCUUUACAACUUGCAAACAUUGUUAUUGGAACGCUGUUCCUAUUUGAAGUCAUUGCCUGCAGACAUAAGUAAUCUAAUUAAUUUGCGCCAUCUCAACAACUCAGAUGUAUCUUGGGUGGAAGGAAUGCCUCCAAAACUAGGUAGAUUGGUGAACCUCCAAUCUUUGCCUAAUUUUGUGGUCAGUGGUAGAAGUGAUCAAUCAGGAAUAAGAGAGAUAGGGCCUCUAUCGCAUCUCCGAGGGACAUUGUGCAUAUCAGGAUUGGAGAAUGUGACUGAUGUCAAGGAUGCUCAGAGGGCCAAUUUAAAAUACAAGGCGAGGCUUGAUUCGUUGGUCCUAAAAUGGUCUUAUUCAAGCGACACAAGAGAAAUGGAAUCUGCUGUGCUUGACAUGUUAGAGCCUCAUAGAAAGAUCAAGGAGCUCACCAUCAAGAGUUAUGCCGGAAAGGAAUUUUCAUCAUGGGUUGGAGGUCAUUUGUUCUCUAAUAUGGUGCUUGUGCGCUUAGAGGAAUGUAACAAUUGUUUAUCUUUGCCACCUCUUGGACAAUUGCCUCAACUCAAAGAACUUUAUAUUAGAGGAAUGAAUGCAGUGGAAAGUGUUGGUGCUGAGUUUUAUGGAGAGCGUUACUUGCCUUUUCAGGUAUUAGAGACUCUUGAGUUUGUGGAAAUGCAGCAUUGGAAAGAAUGGCUUCCUUUCCAACUGGAUCACGAAAGUGGUGUUUUCCCUUACCUGAAAACACUCAUAGUAAAAAAAUGUUCUAAACUGGAGGGUAAGCUGCCAGAGAACCUCAAUUCUUUAGGUAAGCUUGAAAUUGUUGAAUGUGAAGAAUUAGUGGUUUCGACUGCCAACUACAAACAACUUCGUCAAUUAAACAUUGACGGUUGUGAAGUGUUGGUGCAUACAGCUGCUAAGGUUGAGUUUGAGUUAUUAGAGUCCUUGUGGCUUUCAAGCAUUUCAGAGGUGAUGUCUCUACAAACAGGAGAAUUGUUCAACAAGGGAUUAAGCAAGGUUAAAGAUUUGAAGAUUAAUGGAUGUGAGGAGGUGACGUCUUCAUUCAGGAAUGAGGCUAGAUUAUUGCAGCAGUUGACUUCUCUUGGCUGUUUGGAAAUUGAAGGCAACUCUCUUCUAGUUGAAGAAUUGGGAAAGGAAGCAGAGGAGUUGCAAACAUUGGAGUGCAGGAUUGAAUGUCUGGAGUUAAACAAGUGCGAAAAUCUUAUGAAGCUACCAAAAGGGUUAAAUCAAUUGUCGUUUCUUCAAAAGCUUGGCAUACACGAAUGUUCACGUCUAGUUUCUUUCCCAGAUGUUGGUCUGCCACCUUCUCUUAAAGACAUCGAGAUUACAUCGUGUGAUUCGUUGAUAUAUUUUGCAAAAUUCCAGAUUCCCCAAAAUCUCAGAAGAAUAGAGAUAAGAGAGUGCAAAAGUUUGAAAUCACUAGUAGAGGAUGAGGCUUUUGGUUCUUCCUGGUCGUCUUCUUCUCAUAGUUGUCUUGAGUACUUGUUUAUCGAUGGAUGUAAAACUCUGACGUCGUUAUCAUUGAGUGGCCAGCUUCUCAGGACACUUAAACACUUUCAGACAUACAGAUGUGAACAACUGGAGUUAAUUGCACAAGAUGGGUUCUUCUACGACAACACUAAUUACUGUCUUGAAUAUUUUAGGAUAUGGAAGUGUGAAAAUCUGAAAUCCUUACCGGAUGGUUUAUGCCACCUCAGCAAUCUUCAAAAGCUACAUAUUCAAGAAUGUGGAAGUCUUGUUUCCAUCCCGAGACUGAGUGGGGGGAAAAGACCCUCCAACCUGAGGGAGAUCGAGAUCAGAAAUUGCGAGAAAUUGGAGGCGUUGCCCGAAGACAUGCACAAUCUCAACUCUCUUGAGGAUUUGAGAAUCGACUACCGUGAAGGUUUGACUUUUCCUCCCAACCUCACAUCACUUACAAUUUGGAAAGUCAAGAGCUGUAAGUCAUUGUGGGUGUUGGAGCGGGGGUUGCACAGACUCACCUCUCUUAGCAAGUUGGGGAUCUAUGGUGAUAACCCGGAUACGGUGUCGUUUCCACCAGACAUGGUCCGCAUGGAGUUGCUCCUCCCUAGAUCUCUCACUCAACUCCAUAUUUGUGGCUUCCCGAAUCUGAAGAAACUGAGCAGCAAGGGCUUUCAAUUCCUCACCUCCCUUCAAUCGCUUACACUAUGGAAUUGUCCAAAGCUAGCAUCCAUUCCAGAGGAGGGUCUGCCUCCUUCACUUACGAAACUUUGGAUCUUUGGGUGUCCUGUGCUAAAAGAGAGAUGCCAACCAGGAAAAGGACGCUACUGGCACAAAAUAUCCCACAUUCCUUCCAUGCAGAUAUAGAUUUUAAGAUGAUUUGAAGCUGAUGGUCGAUUCGAUCCCAUUCUCUAGGUUCAGGUAUCAUCUUCUCAAGGAAUGUUUAAUGCCAUGGUCUUCCCCCCAGAAAGCUUUUGCUGCAUAUCUGAAGGUACUUUUAUGGUUUAAAGCCAUGGUCUUAGUAGCUAUUGCUUUGGCAUUUUUGGCUAGUCAAUUUUUAGAUACUGCUGGACUAAGUUCCAAUAUGCUCAUUUGCAGUCCUCUUGCCCAGAAACCAUCAAUUAAACAACAGCAGAAUGCGAUAAACUCUAUUCAGUAUACUCUUCAGUAAUAAGAGCUUUUGAUCAAGAAGAGGUAAUGUUUACCUUUAUUCUCAUUUUUCCUUUCCUUGCUCUAAACUACUUUUGUGCUGGCAGUUUGGUUGUUAAAGGAGCAAUUUUCCUUCUGCAAAAUGUAAAAUGCCUGUAGUUACUGCCUAUUGAAACCAAGAUACUUGUAAUAAUUGGUUUUUGUUUCUCGUUGCAGAUUUUCAAAGUCUAUUUGUGGACAGUUUCUUGAGCAGGCGACACCCUUUCAAGCCGAAAUGUAAUUGUUAUCUCAGAUAAUUGGCAGACUGAUUGUAGUUUAGAAGAGUAACAAGUUCCAUUGGCAGAAGGCCAAUUGCCUAAGCUAUUGAGUAAUUUGGUCAGCAUCUCCUGCUGCUUUCUUGUUUCUUUGGCACCGCCACUUCGACUGCCACUGGUUAGUAUAGGGCUUCAUAUCGGAUGGAAGAUGUCUAAGAGGACGCUUUCUCCAAAUAAAAAAAAAAAAGCAUAUCUGAAAACUUUCUGAUACAAAUCACCAACUGGGUAAGCUGAAAGUUUAGAAAUUUCCAAUUGAUUAAGCUCAAAGGUGACAAAUUUCCAAUUGGGUAAGCUCAAAGUUAAAAAAUUGUCAAUUGAGUAAGCUCAUAUUUCACCCCCUUUCCAAUUAAUGAAGGACACUAUAUAACUUCUUACGGAUACAAUUUAUCAAAACGUACCUAUUGUGAUUAAUUACCCUUGUAUUAUUCAAAUGUGAUAUCAAAAUGAUAGCGUACUUACCCUAAAAAAAUUAUUUAUGGCCGUUACACUUUUAGACUAUACACAUGAAUUAGUCAUUCAAAACAUAGGAACAAUUGCCAUGCGUUUUCCUAGUCUGCCAAAUGAUCAACUUUGUCUUCUUGUCCUUUGUGUUGUGUUAAGGUAGUUGUUGUAUUUUUGCCCCCUUUUAUAGAUAAAUGAAGGGCACUACGAACCUUCACAUAUAUAUUAUAAAAUUGAUUAAAAAAAGCAGUUUUAAAAAGCGAAAUUAUAAGUGCCACCAUUUGUCAAAAGAUGUUCACAAUAAGUUUGUGACUAAUUUUCUUUAUAUUAUUCUAAUUUUCUUUAUAUUAUUCAAGAAAUAUAAUAUCAUGAUAACUGUAUAUUGUUUUAGUACCGUUACACUUAAAACUAGGCACAUGAAUCAAUUCUUCAAAACAUAAAAGUUUUUCUAAUUAUUUUUCUUUGAUGCUAAGUUAUUCAUCGCGCAUUAUUGUGUUAUAUUUGAAAUAUUGACUCAAUGAUAAAGUAGAUAAGUGAUACUCGAAAGAAUAUAACUUAUUAACUUUUGUUGUACGUGGAUUGCCAUGAGGAUAGUGGAACUGCAACUUUUCUAGCAUGUGGAAUUCUGACACAAUCGCAAACCUAAUCCUUUUAAAAAUUGUUUGUUUUGUAGCUUUCUUAUCUUUUAUAUUUUGUUUUAGAGAGAUUUUGUCUUUUAUUUUUUUAUCUAUGUAUUUUUUUUUACAAAGAGUAAGGUUUAUGUUUUUUUUUAUAUCAAAAAAAUUCCUUGUACCAUUGAGAUAUUACCAAAAUAAAAUGACAAAAGAUAAAUAAUCUAUAUUAAAUUCAUCUAAAUUAUGGGAAGAACUAGGAUUUAAACCCAAAAUACUGGGGCAAUCCACUUGUAAUAACUUCACUCCAUCAUGAAUCUUACUCAAUUUUCAUUUCUUAAACAUCUAUUCAAGGGAUAGGCUUUUUAGCCAAAAUAGUUUCUGAGAUUUACAUAACUCAUCAUUUUGUUUCUGAGAUUUGAAAUCAAUAUAAGUGGUCUAUAAGAUUGUCUACCAUCAAUCAUUUUGAUUAUUCCGUGAAACAUUAUGUUAAAUAAGGAUCAAAAUGAUAAAAUACAUUUAAUUUAAUAAACAAUAGGCCAAAAUGAUCUGACAAAAAUUAAGAAUAUUUUUGUCAUUUUAUUCUUAUUUAAUGAAUAUUUUUCAUAGAAUAACCAUUAAUGUGGACAAUUUCAAGAAUCAAUUCUAUUAAUUUCAAAUCUUAAAAACCAAAAUAAUGAAUUAUACAAAUUUAAAGAACUAUUUUAACUAAAAAAUCUUCGGGACAUGGUAAGUAUAAGUGUGGAGUUACUGCUCUUGUGACUAAACGAUGGAAAAGCCGAAUCAGGACUCAUGGCGGCGACUUCGGUAAAAUCUAGUGUCGGUAGGGUUAAGAGCUCUUGGGGUGUUUGCCAAUUUCCAAUGCUUUUUCGUGAUCUGCCAAAUCAUCAACUUUGCUUUCUUGUCCUUCCAACUGUGUGGCUCACGAUAAAAGUUGCAUUUUUACUCCUCAUCUUAAAUUAGGAUGUACUUUCAUCAUAUAUUUUAAAAGAAAAACUAAUGAAAAGGUUUUGAAAACUUUGAGUUUUAAUGAUAAGGAUAAAAUAAAGGGUAAAGUAAAUAGUACCAGGAUUGACUUUUUAAUGUAAAAAUAUGAUUUUUCGUUAAAGUGAACAUUACAGAGUGCUUUUCGUUAAAGUUCCCUAUUUUAAAUUCUGUUAUGUAUUUUUAAUUUAACUCUGAUUAAUUUUUAUAUUAAACAUUUUUUUUAAUUUACAAAUUUAAUCAUCUUAACAUUAUUUUUUUUAUUUUUUUAUAACAAAAAUUUAUGACCCAAGGAUAGUAAAGAGGGGAUAACAAAAAUUUUUGCCACAAAGGAUAUAUCAUGGUAAAUUGAAUUAUUGAAGAGCUCUAAAGUCUUUUGCCAUAUGGAAUCUAGAAUUGUUGAUUUUCAUAAGCGAUCAGAUCGAUGGAAACGCGUCCCUUCAUCUUCUUGAUCAUCCGAGAACUUCAAUUAAUUUAGUAAGUUCUUCUUCCAGCUAUAUCUAUAUGGGAAAUCCAUUAUUUAUUCAUUAAAUAUUUCAUUUUCUUCAUCUUAAUUGCAGCUAUAUAUAUAUGGUUUAAUGUUCAACACUUUGUGCAGUCUUAAGCUCGAGAGAUCAAGCUUCCAGGGAACUACUUAAAUCUUAAUUGCACUAAAGUUUUCAACUGAUCCUCGGAAGCAAGUGUCCUCGUGAUCCGACGACUUCCAUGUAAGUUCUUGCUACACAUCCGGUUUUAUAUUCAUUCGAGUUUCGAGUUAUGUAACUUGUCGUGUCCUAAAUUAAUAGUGGUAGUUUAAAAUGUAAACAAUAUAUAAUUUUUGACAUAUCUGAUUGAGCUUCUGUGUACCCAUAUAAUUAGUUUCAUCUGCUUAAAUUGUGCAUUUGUGACUACCAUGUGCUGCUUCUUGUGCUUUGUGCUGUGCGCUCAGGACAAUAGUUUUUUAUUACACAGAGGAAACAGGAGAAGACAAAAUUAUGCCCUGCGACAAUGAAGAGAUAGAGAAAAGAAAGAGGAGGAUUUAUCAUAGCAAAUUGAACUAUUGAAAGCUCUGAAGUCUUUGUCGUCUGGAAUCUGGAUUCUUCGACUCCAAUACGAGAUCAGAUCAGAUCAGAUGCAAUCAAGUCUCUUCGUCUUCAUGAUCAUCUGAAAACUUCAAUUUAAUGCAGUAAGUUCUUCCAAUUAUAUUUAUAUGGGAAAUCCAUUAUUUUUAUUUAAUUAUUUCAUUUUCUUCAUCUUAAUUACAGCUAUAAAUAAUAUAUAUAUUUAUGUGGUUUAAUGGUCAACAGUUUGUGCAGUUUUAAGCUCGAGAGCUCAAGCUUUCAGGGAACUACUCAGUCUUAACUGCGCUAAAGUUUUCAACUUCAACAAAAACUUGAUCCCUGGAAACAAGUGUUCUCUUGAUCUGACGACCUGACGACUUUCACGUAAGUUAUUGCUACGCAUCUGGUCCUCUUACUAGUGUAACGUGUUUCAAGUUGUGUACCGUGUCGGAUUAUAAAUUAAUAAUGUUAUUUUAAAAUGUAACAAAGAUAUGAUUUUGUAGUCUCGAAUUUAUCUUUUGUGCUUUGUCUGUCAAAUUAAGCAAUUUUGAGUAAAACGUAAUUGAACUUAUCAUGUAAUUGAACUAUUUGACAGUAAAACGUAACGUGACUCACAUACCCGAUGGAGCCCGUGUACCCAAAUAAUUAGUUUCAUCUGUUUAAAUUGUGCAGAUGUGACUACUUGUGGGUCUUGAUUGGUAUUUUUUCAACGGAUCAAACUUCCAAUUCAAGAAACUAUGGCGGCAGAGGCUUUUCUUGUGUCAUUCCUCCACUUGCUGGUUGACAAGUUGGCGCGUCGCGACGUCUUGAAGUACUUUGGACUCGUAAAAGGCGUCGAUAAGAAACUGACGGAAUGGAUUGCCACCUUGUCUGCAAUUGGAGCUGUGCUGAUUGACGCGGAGAAAAGGCAACUGGCGGAUGAGAGCAACAUACUGAAGCUCUGGCUCGAUGAUCUCAGGGACUUGGCUUUUGAUGCGGAAGACGUGUUGGAUAAAUAUCAUACUGAAAUGUUGAAACGUCAGAUACAUCAUGCUCAUUCCAGCGCAACAAGCAAAGCAUGGAAAUCAAUUCCUAAUGGUGUUUUCAACUUCAAGAUGAACUCAGACAUACAGAAGAUUACUGAGCGUUUACAAAAGAUAUCUGUACGAAAAGACCAGCUCGGUUUGAAAAUUGAUACUGGGACGUUGACUACAAGGGCACGCCAACACAUACCGCCUAGUUCUAGCCUACCAGAUGGACCUGUGAUUGGAAGGGAGGAGGACAAAAGGAAGAUUGUUGAGCUGCUGUCAAAACAAGAGCAUCGUGCUGUCAAUUUCGAUGUAGUUGCAAUUGUCGGUAUGGCUGGAGUCGGAAAGACAACACUUGCUGGACAAGUACUCAAAGAUAUGGUUGCAACCCAAAUGUUUCAACCAGCCGUUUGGGUGUGCGUAUCUGACAACUUCAACCUUGAAAGAGUGACAAAGCAAAUUCUUCAAUCAAUCACAUCUCGGCAAUAUACCACAGAAGAUUACGAGAAGGUUCAAAAUGAUCUGCAUAAGGAGUUAGCGGGGAAGAAGUUUUUAAUUGUUUUAGACGAUGUUUGGAAAACGUGUAGCUAUGGUGAAUGGAUGAAGCUGCAGUCCCCUUUUCGUGAUGGAGCACAAGGAAGCAAGAUAGUUGUGACAACACGUGAUACAGAUGUUUCAAAAAUGAUGGGAGCUGCCACGCUGGUUCACAAUUUGGUGCCUAUGGAAAAUGAUGUUUGUUUGCAAGUAUUUGAGCAGCAUGCAUUUUUGAAUGCUAACAACAAUAGACCACCAAACUACGAGUUACUUAAGGAGAAAAUUGUUGCAAAGUGUAGGGGAUUGCCUUUGGCCGCGAGGACCCUCGGUGGUGUUCUACUUCGUAAAGAAAUAGACGAAUGGGAAGAAAUAUUGGACAACAAAUUGUGGAGUCUCUCGAAUGAGCAUGACAUACUUCCCGUGUUGAGACUAAGUUACUUUUAUCUUCCUUCACAUUUGAAAAGAUGCUUUGCCUAUUGCUCAAUACUUCCAAAUGACUAUGAAUUCGGGGAGAUGCAAAUGAUCCUUUUGUGGAUGGCCGAGGGUUUGAUUCAUCCUCGACCAGAAGAUAAUAAGCAAAUUGAAGAUUUAGGUGCUGAUUAUUUUCGGGAGCUUGUAUCUAGGUCAUUGUUUCAAAAAUCAACUGCAAAUAUUUCAAGAUAUAUGAUGCAUGACCUCAUUGGUGAUUUAGCACGAUGGGCAGCUGGAGAUAUUUGUUUUAGAUUGGAGGAUAAGCAAAAUGAUGAUGGUGUACAACUUAAUCCGAAGGCACGCCAUUCGUCUUACCUUUUGGGUCAUUGUGAUGGGGUUAAAAGAUUUGAGGCAUUUUCUGAAGUGAAAUGUUUGCGAACCUUCUUGCCACUAAGAAAGGGUUCUACCUACUUUUUUAAGUCGUCUGGUUACCUUUGAUUUAUUGCCAAAAUUGCAGUACUUGCGGGUGCUCUCUUUUAAUGGCUAUCGUAUAACUGAGCUGCCAAACUCAAUCGGUGAUUUGAGACAUCUACGGUAUCUUGACCUUUCCUACACAGCUAUAACUAGUUUGCCUAAAUCGAUAAGUACUCUUUACAACUUGCAGACAUUGAUAUUGGAAGGCUGUAAUGAUUUGAAGUCAUUGCCUGCAGACAUGAGUAAUCUAGUUAAUUUGCGCCAUCUCAACAACUCAAAUGUAUCUUCGUUGGAAGGAAUGCCUCCAAAACUAGGUAGAUUGGAGAAUCUCCAAUCUUUGCCCAAUUUUGUGGUGUGUGGUGGAAGUGAUGAAUCAGGGAUAAGAGAGAUAGGGCCCCUAUCGCAUCUCCGAGGGACAUUGUGCAUCUCAAGAUUGGAGAAUGUGACUGAUUUCGAGGAUGCUCAGAAGGCUGACUUAAAAUGCAAGGAGUGGCUUGAUUCUUUGGUUCUAGAAUGGUCUCAUUCAAGCGACACAAGAGAAACUGAAUCCGCUUUGCUUGACAUGUUACAGCCUCAUAGAAAGAUCAAGGAGCUCACCAUCAAGAGUUAUGCCGGAAAGGAAUUUUCAUCAUGGGUUGGAGGUCAUUUGUUCUCUAAUAUGGUGCUUGUGCGCUUAGAGGAAUGUAACAAUUGUUUAUCGUUGCCUCCUCUCGGACAAUUGCCUCAUCUCAGAGAACUUUAUAUUAUUGGAAUGAAUGCAGUGGAAAGUGUUGGUGCUGAGUUUUGUGGAGAGCGUAUGUUGCCUUUUCGGGUAUUAGAGACUCUUGAGUUUGUGGAAAUGCAGCAUUGGAAGGAAUGGCUUCCUUUCCAAGCCGAUCACGAAGGUGGUGCUUUCCCUUGCCUGAAAACACUCUUAGUAAAAAAAUGUUCUAAACUGGAGGGUAAACUGCCAGAGAACCUCAAUUCUUUAGCUAAGCUUGAAAUUGUUGAAUGUGAAGAAUUAGUGGUUUCAAUUGCCAACUGUAAACAACUUCGUCAGUUAAACAUUGACGGUUGUAAAGUGUUGGUGCACACAGCUGCUAAGGUUGAGUUUGAGUACUUAGAGUCCUUGUGCUUUUCAAACAUUUCGAAGGUGAUGUCUCUGCAAACAGGGGAAUUGUUGAAGAAGGGAUUAAGCAAGGUUAGAGAUUUGAAGAUCAGUGGAUGUGAGGAGGUGACGUCUUCACUGAAGAAUGAGGAGGGUAGAUUAUUGCAACAGUUGACUUCUCUUGGCAGUUUGAAAAUUGAAGACAACUCUCGUCUAGUUGAAGAAUUGGGAAAAGAAGCAGAGGAGUUGCAAAUAUCGGAAUGCAAGCUUGAAUUUCUGGAGUUAAAAAAGUGCGAAAAUCUUUUGAAGCUACCAAAAGGAUUAAAUCAGCUGUCGUCUCUUCAAGAGCUUCGCAUACACAAAUGUUCAAGUCUAGUUUCUUUCCCAGAUGUUGGUCCGCCACCUUCUCUUAAAGACAUCGAGAUUAGAGAGUGCGAUUCGUUGAUAUAUUUUGCAAAAUUCCAGAUUCCCCAAAAUCUCCGAAGAAUAAAGAUAACAUGGUGCAAAAGCUUGAAAUCACUAGUAGAUGAGGAGACUGUUGGUUCUUCUUGGUCGUCUUCUACUCAUACUUGUCUUGAGUACUUGAGUAUCAAAGGAUGUGAAUCUCUGACGUCGUUAUCAUUGAGUGGCCAGCUUCCCAGGACACUUAAACACCUUGAGAUAGAGAAUUGUGAACGACUGGGUUUAAUAGCACCGAACGGGUUCUUCAGCGACAACACCAAUCACUGCCUUGAAUAUAUUACCAUCUGGAAUUGCCAAAAUCUGAAAUCCUUACCGGAUGGCUUAUGCCACCUCAGCAAUCUUCAAACUCUAGGUAUUCGAAAAUGUGGAGGUCUUGUUUCCAUCCCGAGACUGAGUGAGGGGAGAAGACCCUCCAACCUGAGAAAUAUCGAGAUCACCGAUUGCGACAAAUUGGAGGCGUUGCCCGAAGACAUGCUCAAUCUCAACUCUCUUGAGUACUUGAGCAUCGACUACCGUGAAGGUUUGACUUUUCCUCCCAACCUAACAUCACUUAUAAUAUGGAAGGUCAAGAGUUGUAAGUCAUUGUGGGAGUUGGAGUGGGGGUUGCACAGACUCACCUCUCUUAGAGAAUUAUGGAUCAUCGGUGAAGACCCAGAUACGGUGUCGUUUCCACCCGACAUGGUCCGGAUAGAGACACCCCUCCCCAAAUCUCUCACUCUUCUCAAAAUAGAAGGCUUCCCGAAUCUGAAGAAACUGAGCAGCAAGGGCUUUCAAUUCCUCACCUCCCUUCAAUAUCUGGGACUUUGGAAUUGUCCAAAGCUAGCAUCCAUUCCAGAGGAGGGUCUGCCUCCUUCACUAGAGCAUCUUAACAUCCAUAAGUGUCCAGUGCUAAAAGAGAGAUGCCAACCAGGAAAAGGACGCUACUGGCACAAAAUAUCCCACAUCCCUGCCGUACAUCUGUUUUGAGAUGAUUUGAAGCUGAUGGUCCAAGUAUCAUCUCUCGAGGAAUGUUUUAAUAUUAUUAGUAUGGUUUUGGGGGUUGAGGAGUGGCUGCUUUGGGAGGCCUUCAAUUGGCGACAACCGGGAUAUUUCUCGGCCAACGUUUCUUCUUCCGGAUUCCUAUGUUUGCUUGCUCCCCUUUCACUUAUCUCUACUUAUUAAUGCAACCCCCUUUAUCAAUCAAAAGAGGGUAAAAAGAUAAUUUAAUCUUUUAUCACACACAAAAAAAAUGAUGGACAAUAAUGUAAUUUUAUAGGUCUAAAUUUUACUGUUUUUUAUUAAAGUUUCAUCCACAAGUGAUAUUAAAAUACCUUCAACAUUAAAAAACAAAAAUAAACAAAACAAAAAAAAACAAAAACAAAAAUCUCCCACUCCCCUCACGUUCUCUCUCUCUCUCCCUCUCUCCUUCUCAUUUUCUAAAAAAAUAUGUUCAUACACACAAAAGUGUGUAGGCAAAUGCUAGUUUGUAUUAUAAGUGUGCUACUCCUUCUCCUAACUUUAUGCCAACUAUGCCCCUUAAGUAUACUUAAUUCUUUAAUUUUCUUGGGUUAGAGUCAAGGUUAACAUGUUUUUGCACAAAACUAACUAAGAAAACACUCUAGUUACAUUAUAUUGUCAAAUUAUCGAAUUUGAUACUAAAGAAUUAUACAUAAUUAUAUUUAACCGUUCUUAAUUGAGAUUAACAGUGUAAUAAUAUAAAUUUAUCAUCCUUCAUGAUAAAAGAAAGCUUUCUUUAAUGAUAAACUGGUGUUAAAUAAUUGAUAACCGUUAAUGAAUAACGAGUCAUGACUUGCAAUAAACCUCACACACACCAUCAAAAAAGUUUGCAGUCGUGAAUAGACUUGGCAUACGGGUCUUAUUUGUCUCAUCCCGUUAUAUCUUCAUGGAUCUUAUCGUGUCAAACUAUUAUUUUAACAUGUUCUUAACAGGUGACCCUAUAACGACCUAAUUCGUUAACGAAUCAUGUCAUUUCUUGUCAAGAUAACGGAUCAUGCAAGAAAUUGAUAUAUCUAAUGUCUAGAUCAUGCAAGAAAUUGACAAAAUGCAUAAUUGAGAGUGAGACCCACUCCUCCAUGUUAUUAUAUUGACAAUAUGUUCCCUAACCUGGAAUUGGAUCCUCGCCGGAUCUAAUUGCUGGGGAUCCUAGGGAUCAACCCACGUGGGCCGUUGAUCAAAAAUCGUGCGGUCACAAUUAAAUGUUUUAAAAGUAAAACAGUCUCGUUUUGAUUGAAAAAUAUAAAAAAGAAAAAAAUUGUGGCCGCACAAUUUUUUAUCAACGGCCCACAUGGAUUGAUCCCUAGGAUCCCCAUGAAUUAGAUCCGGCGAGGAUCCAAUUCCCCCUAACCGCACAAUUUAUUAUAUCCAAUGUCCAGAUCUAGCAAAAGAUGUCUUAUCGAGUUUUUAAUGGGUGACACCUAAUGACCCGAUUCGUUAACGGGCUCUUAAUGGAUGACCUGAUUCGUUAACGAGUUGAUCAAAAACAUGUUAUUUUUUGUGUCAUUGCGUGUUAGAUUAAUAGUUGAUGCAAGAAAUUGACAAAAUGCAUAAUUGAGAGGGAGACCCACUCCUCCAUGUUAUUAUAUUGACUAUGUUCCCUAACCUGACCAAAAUCCACCAUGAAAUUCCAUAGCAUUGAAACAUGACGCCCCCAGCUCCCUAAUACGCUGUCGUUUUGAGAUUCCCCCACCCCGAAAAGUCCCUCAUAACCGUUGCUAACCCUCUCUCAGAACCCACGCGCCCAUUCUCCAACCGUUUAAACCCCACUCACUCCCACUCUCUCUCUCUCUCUCUCUCUCUCUCUCUCUCUCACUCACUCUAUACAUGUUCUCAGUCAAAAUCUCCAAGUCCUCUGCUUUGGCAACGAAAAUCGAAAACCCAUUUGUUUCCAUCCAUCAGAACUCGAAAUCUCCAUAUUCAUGUCUCCAAGAAAGCUUCUUGUUUUCUGGGUCGACGUCUUCUUCCUCAUAACUCUCUUCCUCCGCCGUGGCUCGGCCGAGAACGUCAACUUCUACUUCCCAUCUUUGAACUUCCGAAACCUCACCUUCCUCGGCGACUCCCACAUCCGAAACGGUGUCUUGGGGCUCACCGCGAGCUCACCGUCCCCUCCUCCAGCGCCGGUGCCGUCAUCUACAACAACCCAAUUCGGUUCUUCGACCCGGAGUCCAACAUCACUGCUUCUUUCUCCACAAAGUUCGCUUUCUCCAUCGCCAACGUCAAUCCGAGCUCCUACGGCGACGGCAUAUCGUUUUUCCUCUCGCAGGAGAACUGGACGCUGGGCAGCCCUGGUGGAUAUCUGGGUCUCGUCAAUUCCUCGCAAUUGACCAAGAACAAGUUCGUAGCCGUCGAAUUUGACACGAAGCUCGAUCUUCACUUCGACGAUCCGAACGACAAUCAGGUCGGAUUGGACAUUGAGAGCCUCAAUUCGAUCAAGACCGCUGAUCCGAUUUCACAGGGUGUCGAUUUCAAGGGCGGAAUUCGAUCACUGCUUGGAUUGAUUACAAGAACGACCAAUAAAAGCUUAAAGUGUAUCUGAGCUACUCGAAUUUCAAGCCUGAAAAGCCGGUUUUGAGCGUGGACAUCGAUCUCUCCGAGCAUCUGAAGGAGGUUAUGUUCGUGGGUUUUUCAGCCUCAACGGAGGGGAGCACGGAUAUUCAUCUGGUUGAGAAUUGGAGCUUUCAUACCUUCGGGUUUGUUGCGAAAAUGCCGAGGUUGUAGCCACACAAUGUGUCCGAUACUUAGGUGGCGGUGAGUCCGAGGAUUCCCGUGUCCGGUUCAGGGGAUAAGCAUCACCGGCGGCUCGGUUUGGGACCUGGGAUUGCUGGGCCAGCGUUCUUUUGCGUGGCGCUGGUGGUUUUCAGUUAUGUUUCCGUGAUGAAAUGGAUGGAGGUGAGAAAACAGAAGAGCUUCAAAGCAGAGCUGGUGGCAGGGCCAAGAGAGUUUAGUUACAAGGAGCUGAAAUCUGCCACAGGAGUGUUUCAUCCCAGUAGGUUGGGACUGUUUACAAGGCGUUUUUUGUGUCUUCAGGCACCAUUUCUGCGGUGAAAAGAUCCAAGCAUUCCCAUGAAGGUAAAACCGAAUUCCUCUCUGAGUUGUCGAUUAUUGCUUGCUUGCGUUACAAGAAUUUAGUUCACCUUCAAGGCUGGUGCGUUGAGAAGGGUGAAUUGCUUCUUGUUUACGAUUUCAUGCCUAAUGGGAACCUCGAAAAGGCGCUGUACCAAGAAUCUGUACAACGAACUUUGUUAGAUUGGUCUCGGAGACUGAAUAUUGCGGUCGGAUUGGCGUCUGUUUUGGCAUAUCUGCACCAGGAAUGUGAGCAGCAGGUCAUCCACAGAGACAUAAAGACUGGAAAUGUGUUGCUUUACGGGAAUUUAAACGCAAGGCUCAGUGAUUUCGGGCUUGCAAAGCUCAUGGAUCACGAUAAAAGCCCUGUUUCCACACUGACAGCGGCAACAAUGGGGUACCUUGCGCCUGAGUAUCUUCAAUAUGGAAAGCCACCGAAAAGACUGAUGGUUUUAGCUAUGGUGUGGUGAUCCUUGAAGUGGCGUGUGGAAGGAGGCCAAUAGAAAAAGAGCCGGGAAGUGAGAAGGCGGUGAAUUUGGUUGAUUGGGUUUGGGGGCUGCAUUCAGAAGGGAUGAUUAUCGAGGCGGCUGACAAGCUGCUGAAUGGGGAGUUUAAUGUGAAAGAAAUGAGAAAUCUGUUGCUUGUCGGAUUAAGUUGUGCUAACCCUGAUAGUGCGGAGAGGCCUACGAUGAGGAGGGUUCUGCAGAUUCUGAGCAAUGAGGCAGAAGUUCAAGCCGUCCCAAGGGUGAAGCCGAGUCUGAGUUUGUCUAGCAGAUUGCCUUUGUCCCUUGAUGACAUUGUUUCGGAUUGUGAGGAGGAUUCCAAUAGCCCUACAAGCUCGAUGUGUGAGAUCGUCAUUCACUGAAAAAUAUAUGCAGAUUUGAAGAGUUUAUAGAUAGUUGGAUUCUUCCAUUCUUUUAACUUUACCACUGCUUUUUUUUUUUUUUUAUCUAUCCUGUAGUUUGAAGAUUAGAGACUGUAUAGUCCACUGGCCUGAGUUCAAAGCUUUCUGUUGAACUGUGUGGUCUCUACUUUGUCCAGGACAAAAAAAGCUUCUUGCUUGAAUAUUUCAACUGUAAUGGAAGACUAAUUUCUGACUGGUUUACAAGUUGAAUGUUACACACGAACGAUUUCUAUACUAUUCGAUCUUACUGUUCUUAUACCGUUCUGUUUCUUGGGUAGUUUGAUUUGGUCUUUCCUAAUGGUACGAUACUGAGCAGUGGGUGAUCUGUAGAGUGAUUCUGUUUGCACCCGUAAAUCUGUUCGACACACACCCUCUCCCUCUCUCAGGCUAAAGUAGCCAUGGCAAAGGGAGGAGAACUAGGAAGGUUUUUGAGAGAUAGAGAGAGAGAGAGAGUGUGUGUGUGUGUGUGUGUGUGUGUGUGUGUGUGUGUGUGUGUGUGUGUGUUCUUUGGGUGUGAGAGUAAGAAGAUGCAGAAAGUAGAUAUAGCGAUGACAUUCAUAGAACUUACAGAUUCUGAACUUUUUUAAUCUCCCUCUAUGCCAGAAGAGAAUUUGAACUAUCUGCUUUGCAGAACUUGAGAAUUUUUCGGAUUGCAUCGCUAUCAGGAGAAAUUCUCAAGUUUUGGUAGUGAAGUAUUCAAGAAUAGUACACUGCAAUCCUUCUGUUUCAUAAUUGACCUCCUUUAUACACGCAGAUUUGAAGCUUUUCGCCAUCGGGAUAAAUUCUCAAGUUUGGUACUGAAGUGUAUUAAGCAGAUAAGUACGUGCAAUCAGUUAUGGAAGAAUUCGACCUGCUAUGCACAAACAGAACUAAGAAAGUGGACGAGUUCUUAUGAGCACAAGAUUUUGAAAUUUACCGGAUCCUUGCGUCUAAUUACCAUUGACAUUAUUCCAGUUCAACUCCUUUUUGAUGUACAGAUAAAAACUGUGUACCAGGCAAAGCCAAACCAGAACGUUCUGCAAGUAAGAACUCCGUGCUGGUCAAGUAAUCUGCCAGGCCCAGACUCAAGGCAGCAAGCUUGGAGAAAUGCUGAACCAGAAUAUGCAACAUCGUUCUUCUCCCCUGAAAUCGAAUUGUGCACAACAUCAGUGAAUUCUCGAUGGCCCUUUUUGUGGUCUCCCUCUCCGAUCCUGGUUUCGGAUCUUUGUUUUGCGAAAUAGGUCUUUACUGUUCCUUUCACGUCGACGAUGAGCCAGGAGUAUGGAACUUAAGAAGUAUCCCUCAUGACAAAGCAGAUAACCGUAUCAAUCACUAAGCGGUUUACAACAUCAAGUUUCCGAAGAACAUUUCAAUGCUGUACAAGACCUGCAAAUUAGCAGCAAACUGCCGUAGCUUAUCAAUUGUGACAGAAAUAAGUUAAACUAACCUUGUAUAUUUGAUCAAGAGCUUCAAAAUAAUUCAUAAGAUCUAAUAUUAAAAAAAAUGUAAAAGCAAAUACACUGAAAGAAAACACUUAUGGUGAAAAUAUUUUUGGAACCAAUUAUUUGUGAAAAUACAAGUAAAUCCUCGAAAGCACUUAAAAAAAUACAUUUCUAAAAGAAACAUUUCAAUCAUUUUGAAAAGCACUUCAACUUCUUCUCAUCAUUCUUACAAAAUAAGAAUUUGUACAAAACUGACAUAUACUUGCUUCAACUGAUUAUUCUGCUCCAAGAAUCAUCUGCAUAAUAUAAAUACAAAAUCCACGAGGAAAAUAGAGUUUCGCGGUUUACAUAGGAAUUAAACAAUAAUGUACACACAUACACAAUAUCCACAAAUUAAGUGAUUUCCCGAUUCACCAUAUAGAAUGUUGAGCUUGUUGCGAGUUAUACAUUAGUUAAAGUAUAAAUAGUAGUUUAUUGUCCCAUAUUAGUGAAGUACAUAUGUAAUAUCAAUUGUAACUUUUAUAUAUACUCCACUUUGGAGAUUAAUGAAUAUAUAAGAAAUUCACAAAUAUUAUCAUAUAUAUUUUUGGUAUUUACCAUGUUGAGUUUAAUAUUGCUAUUUACCAUGUUUAGUUUAAUAUGGUAUCAGAGCAAUUCGCUCUUGGUGACCAGUGUGCUUUAAUUUUGUGCCCACAUUUUUCGUGAUCUCCUAUGUGAAAAAAAAAAUUAGUGAAUAGUGUCGCGCUACAAUACAACGUUUGCUACAGUGCAUGAAUAGUGGUCCUCUACAUUGCCGUGCACAGUGAUUGCUACAGUGCCGUGAAUAUUCUCUGCUACAGUGCUGUGAACAAUGAUUGCUACAGGUUCUGGUAAAUUGUUUUCAUUCUGCUGCGUAUCUUUUGUGCCUUUAUUGUUCGUGAUUUUGUUCAAUGACUCAAUAUAAUCAUAGUAUUGUUAUGCAUCUUGGUGGAACAAUAAAUGGAUAAUUGAUACUGGGGCUACUGAUCAUGUGACUAGUGACCCUAGAGUGUUUGAUGAGUUAUGUGACUAUGUUUGUGAUCCGUAUAUUACUAGUGCAAAUGGAGCACUUUCCCCUGUGAAGGGUGAAUACACUAUCUCUCUAACUCCAACCUUAUCACUGGUCUGUGUUUUACUUGUUCCUGAUGUUAAGUGCAAUCUUUUGUCGGUAUGAAAACUUCUUGAUACCUUAUAUUGUUCUGCUUACUUCUAUCCUACGUAUUGUUAUUUUCAAAACAUUCAAACUCAGAAGAUAAUUGGUCAUGAUAAAAAAAUAGGGGGUUUGUACAUCUUGACUAUGGAGGAUACUGUUGUUUCCGGUUCAAAUAAUCAUCAAGUUUUAAGUGCUAAUGUCACAUCCCGACCCAUGGUCCACCACAUCCCGGGCUCGCUCCACCACCGUAACACGAUAUUGUCCGUUUUAGGCCCCGACCACGCCCUCACGAUUUUGUUUCUGGGAACUCACAUGAGAACUUCCUAGUGGGUCACCCAUAAUGGGAGUGCUCUCGUGCGCUACUCACUUAACUUCCGAGUUCCGAUGAACUCCGAACCCAGUGAGCUCCCAAAAUGCCUUGUGCUAGGUAGGGAUGGGAAUAUACAUUUAAGGAUCACUCACCUAGGCAAUGUGGGAUCUUACAAUCCACCCCCCUUAGGGGCCUGACGUCCUCGUUGGCAUACCACAGCCAGGGUUAGGCUCUGAUACCAAAUUGUUACAUCCCGACCCGGGGUCCACCAUAUCCCGGGCCCGCUCCACCGCCAUAGCACGAUAUUGUCCGCUUUAGGCCCUGACCACACCCUCAUAUUUUUGUUUUUAGGAACUCACACAAGAACUUCCCGAUGGGUCACCCAUCAUGAGAGUGCUCUCGUGCGCAACUCGCUUAACUUCCGAGUUCCGAUGAACUCCGAAGCCAGUGAACUCCUAAAAGGCCUCGUGCUAGGUAGGGAUGAGAAUAUACAUUUAAGGAUCACUCACAUGGGCGAUGUGGGAUCUUAUAGCUAAAGUGGAUGACAGACAUCAAAUUUGGUUGUGACAUCGACGAUUGGGACAUCCAUCAUUCAGUUAUAUGAAGCAUCUAUUUCCUUCUUUGUUUCGCACUUGUAGUGAUUCAGAGUUUAAGUGUGAAACAUGUGUCAUGGCUAAGAGUCAUCGUGCUUCCUUUCCUGUAAGUGAUUCUAAAGCUACUUUGUCAUUUGAUUUGAUACAUUCUGAUGUGGGGUCCGGCGAAAGUUACUUCUAAUGGAUUCCGUUGGUUUGUUACUUUUAUUAAUGAUUAUACUCGGUUAACUUAGGUGUUCUUGAUGAAGAAUAAGAGUGAUGUUCCGUUACUUCUUCAAGAAUUUUGUACAAUGGUGUCUACUCAGUUUCAGACCAAAGUUAACGUCUUCAGGUCUGAUAACGGAUGAGAAUGUGUAAAUCACACUUUGACAUGUUUUUUUCUCGUGAUUAUGGUAUUAUUCACCAGACUACUCCAUUUACACCCCAAAAAAAUGGUGUGUCCGAACAGAAGAAUCGUCAAAUAAUGGAGGUUGCUCACUUUUUGAUGUUGGAUAAAUGUGUUCCUAAUCAUUUGUGGGGUCAUGCUGUUUUGGCUGCUAUGUUUUUGAUCAAUCGUGUUCCAAGUAGGGUUCUUCAUUUUCAGACACCGUUUGAUGUGCUACAAAAACAUGUUUCUCUUGUUUCUGUAUUAAAGCUUCUUCCGAAAGUGUUUGGGUAUAUUGCGUAUGUGCAUGUCUACUCUCAUCAGCGGAGUAAACUUGAUGCAUGUGCUCUCCGGUGUGUCUUUAUUGGGUAUGCUAACAAUCAAAAAGGCUAUAAGUGUUAUCAUCAUCCGACUCAAAAAACUUAUAUUACCAUGGAUGUUACCUUGCAUAAGAAAAUUUUGUAUUUUAUGAAGCUCUCUUCCGACUCUCCACUUCAGGCGGAGAGGGGGAGUGAAAUGCAUAUUCAAAUAAAUGGUAUGGAUGAUGUGUUACAGGCAGAGUUGGGAACAUAACCUAUUAUGUUGCGUGAUACUAAUCAGUUGGCUACAGAUAAUGAUCGAUCACCUGUCAUUCCCGGAACUAUUUCUACUGAUGACAGAUCAGAUGUGCCCAAUGAAUUGCCUAUUAGUAUGUCUAACGAAUUACAUUCUGAUGAUCGGUUGUCUGUUGCUAAUAUGUCUAAAGAGUUGCCUGAUGAUGGUUCGUCCAGUGAUGAUUCUUCUAACAGUUUGGUACACAUGAAGUAAAUUCUGACGAUUCUUCUAUUUAUCAGUUGCCUCCAUGAGCUAAUCGUGGAAAACAUAAAGUACAAUAUGAUCCUGAUAUGCAUGCCAAAGCCAAAUAUCCUAUCAACAAUUAUCUGUCUACUCAUCGUUUGUCCAAACCAUAUGCAUCUUACAUAUGUCAGCUAUCUAGUGUAUCAAUUCCAAUAAAAUUGCAAGAUGCUUUGUCUAACCCUAAGUGGGUUAAUGCCAUGAAAGUUAAGAUGGAAGCUUUGGAAAAGAAUUCUACUUAGGAUUUGGUUCCGUUACCAAACGGGAAGAAAGUCGUUUGAUGUAGAUGGUUGUUUACUAUUAAGCACAAAGCAUAUGGUUCUAUUGACUGGUAUAAAGCCAUAUUAGUUGCUAAGGGUUAUACUCAAACCUAUGGGGUGGACUAUCAGGAGACCUUUACUCCUGUUGCCACACUUAAUACUGUGCGUGUUCUUUUGUCCUUAGCAGUAAACCAGGAUUGGCCUCUGUUGCAGUUUGAUGUUAAGAAUGCUUUCCUUCAUGGUGAUCUUAAGGAAUAAGUGUAUAUGGAUCUCCCACCUGGUAUUGGAACAUCUCCUGGAAAAGGUGUUGUAUACAGGUUACAAAAGGCCUUAUAUGGUUUGAAACAAUCUCCUAGAGCGUGGUUUUUGAGGUUUACAAGUUCAAUGAAGAAGUUUGGGUAUAUCCACAGUCAUUCAGAUCAUACUUUGUUUCUAAAGCGACAAAAUGGUAAGCUAACUACAUUGAUUAUAUAUGUUGAUGACAUGAUAGUGACUGGUGAUGAUCAGAAUGAGGAGAUACAACGCCUUCAAAAGUACCUAGCUACUGAGUUUGAGAUGAAAGAAUUAUGUGAAUUGAAGUAUUUUUUUGGAAUCGAGGUUGCACGAUCUAAGCAUGGUAUUUUUCUGUCUCAACGAAAGUAUGUUCUUGAUUUGUUAGCUGAAACAUGUAUGUUAGAUUGCAAACCUGUUGAUACUCUGAUUGAGCAGAAUCAUCGUCUGGGCUUAUUUCCAGAUCAAGUUUCUACUCAUAAGGAACAAUAUCAGAGGCUUGUGGGGAGAUUAAUUUAUUUGUCUCACACUCGCCCUGACAUUGCUUAUGCAGUUAAUGUGGUAAGUCAGUUUAUGCACUCACCUAGUGAAGCUCAUAUGGAUGAAGUAACCCGUAUUUUGAGGUACUUGAAGAUGGCUCUUGGCAGAGGCUUGGUUUUCUCCAAGAAUGGUCAUUUGAAUAUCGAAGGGUAUACAGAUGCAGAUUGGGCAGGUUCUAUCACUAAUCGGCGAUUUACAUCUGGAUACUUUACGUUUGUAGGUGGUAAUUUAGUUACUUGGAGAAGCAAGAAACAAAAAGUGGUGGCUAGGUCAAGCACAGAAGCUGAGUUUCGUGAUAUGUCUCAUGGUGUAUGUGAGUUGUUGUGGUUGAAAAAAUUGUUGAGAGAUCUUGGGUCUAAACCCAAAGGUGCUAUGAAACUUCAUUGUGAUAACAAGGCUGCUAUUGAGAUUGCUCAUAAUCCAGUGCAACAUGAUCGAACAAAACAUGUGGAGAUUGAUCGACAUUUCAUUAAGGAAAAAUUGGAUGCUAGAAUUAUUAUGUUUCCGUUUGUGAGAUAUGAAGAUCAACUUAUUGAUGCUCUUACUAAGGCUGUGUCUAAUAGUGUGUUUUCCAACUCGCUUGACAAGUUGGACAUGCGUGACAUCUUUGCACCAACUUGAGGGGGAGUAUUGCGAGUUAUACAUUAGUUAAAGUGUAAAUAGUAGUUUAUUGUCCCAUAUUGGUGAAGUACAUAUGUAAUAUCAACUGUAACUCCUAUAUAUACUCCACUUUGAAGAUUAAUGAAUAUAUAAGAAAUUCUCAAAUAUUGUCAUAUAUAUUUUUGGUAUUUACUAUGUUGAGUUUAAUAUUGGUAUUUACCAUGUUUAGUUUAAUAGAGCUAUAUAUAUAUAUAUAUAUAUAUAUAUAUAUAUAUAUAUAUAUUAUAUAUAUAUAUAUAUAUAUUUGUAGAUAACAAUGUUCCUUAAUUUUGUGAGAGAAUAUCUUACUUUGAGGUUAGAUCGAAGUAGAUCAGACGACGGUGCUGACAGAUGGGAAUGUAAGAGAUGAUGACAGAAGAAGAGAAAGCACACUCCCAGCAACGGUAAAGACUCUCCUUAGCCGAUGGCGGGUUGUGCUCUCUCUCUUCUGUCAACAUAUAUGAACUCUAACCUCAUUCCCCAUCUCAUCUAUACACCCUUAAUGCCACAAAACUCAUGCAUUCAUCCCUGCAGAGCAAACCAUCAAUUAAUAGGGUGAGGUAACGCAUUCAGGCUCAUAUAAAUCUGAUAUAUUGUAUACAAUGCAUAUUAGCAUGUCUACUACCCCUUACAUACAUACAUACAUACAUAUACAUAUAUAUACAUAUAUAUAUAUAUAUAUAUAUAUAAGCAUAUCAUAUGUAUAGAUACUGGCGCAGUUGUAGAAGAGGUAUUUAAUGGCACAAACCCGGUUUAGUGCAACUUUCGGUCUCGAAGUCAGAUUUUGGCCCAUGAGUUGCGGGGGACAAACAGUUUGUGCCGUGAAACUCCUCUUCUACUCACACACCAUACUCUGCAUAGAUAUAUGAUUUUAAAUAUCCGUUAAUUCAUUAUUAUAAGCAUAAUUUUUGCUAACAGAUAAAUAAUUAAACAUAAGAACUUGCCUCUAUAUAUAGCCAAAAAUUAACCAUGAUCUGGGAUUUUUUUUUUCAUCAAGCCAAUAAAUAUGUACUGAUCAUGAAACAAACUGAUCAAUAUCAACAUCCAUCACCAUGAAGGGGUAAUUUGUGAGUGAAAUCAAUACUGAAUUUAUAAAAUUUAUAUGUAUAUAUAAUGUGUUCAGAUAUGUAUUUAUAUAUACCUAAUGUAUGCAUAUGCAUCAAAAAUCAGAUUAAAACAAUAUAUCUACUUAUCACAGGAACUACUUCAUACAAAUAAAUAUAAUUUAUCAUGACAGUUUAAUCAAAACACUGGCUAAAAAUUGAGAGAGAGAGAGAGAGAGAGAGAGAGAGAGAGGAGAGUGAGAAUUUUACUCUUAGGGUUCUUCAACUUUUGCUUAGCUGGUCAUCAGAUACGAUUUUCACUGCAGAAACUACUAGUUUCUCUUCACUUUCCAUGAAAGAUAAAGAGGAAAGAAGAAAUAAAGAAGUAGAUAAAAGCAGAGAACAAGUGUGGGAGUGAGAGAUACGUAUAAGCUACAAAUUCUAUACCUCAAUGUAUCAGUUGUUGAUGAAUAGUGUUCAUCUUAUAGGGACCUGGCCGCUGACUAUAACCGGUGACUUGUAGUAUGAUUUAUGACCGUCUAGUGAGCGUAAACUGGUUUCGACACUAGUUUUUAUUUUAUGAUUUAGAUGUUGUAUUAAACAUUAUGGAUAGCCACCGUUUUAAAUAUCAAUAUGCGUGAAAAUAUCAAUAUGCAAAUUUAUAAAAAUGUAGGUGGACACGUCGAUAUCGGUUGCCUUCAUAAAUAUUAAAGAAAUUUGCAAUGUGUGAUAUAUCUCAUUCAGAUUUAGUUGAAAUUAAAAAAAAAUUCAUAAAAUUUCAAAAGUUUGAAAUUUGAAAUGAGUUCCCGCAAAAUAUAUGUAGUGUAUUAGUAAAUAUUGUAGAUAUUUAUUGAUUUUCUUUAUCUUGGUGAUAUAGGAUGAAGUUUGUAUUUUACCCCUUCUAUAUUGAUUCUUAAUUUUUUUUUAAUAUUUCAACGAAAAUAUUGACGAUUUGUAAAUAUUUUAAACACAAGGUAGUAUAUAGGAUUUCAAAUAUAUUCAAACCCAAACGUUACUAUUAUCCGGAAUUAAACUUACAUUUUAAUUAAAAACAGGCUACCUGAUUAACAUAACAAGAUAUAAAAUAACACUUCCUUUUUCUCGAGUCUGCAAGCUUAUCCGUUUGUACAAAUUUGGUGUUAGGACUUGGGAGAUUCUUUUCAAACGUGAUGAAACUUUUCACUGUCAAAGGACUCAAAGUCGUUAAUGGCACCAAUAAAAUUUAAAAUUUAAAAUUGUAUUUAAUAAAGAAGAAAAUGACGUUGAUAAAGAAUAAUAAGACCCGUGGUGUAAGCAACGUCAUAAAUGGGUAACCAAAAAUGGUGGGGGUGGAUGUUGACCGGCUAUUUCAGGUCGGCCGGAUCCAAGAAAGGGUCUUUGUUUCUCUCUCACCUCACCUGACAUCACCCGUGAUAACCGAUAAACUCGUCGCUUUCGCGACUGUGGAGAAUAUCGAGACCGUUGAGUGGUGCCACGUGGAGGACAUGCACGGGUGGUAGGCUGGUGAUUUGGGAUAUGAACAGUGACUACCUUCCUCUCAUGAAUUUUGCAUACUUUAGUUUAUUAUCUUAUUUUCCACGCCGAAACUUUAUAUUAAAAAAAUAAUACAUUUGUCAAAAGUGCACGAUAAAAAUUUUUAAAAUGCAAACAACAGUGUACUAAUUAUUAGAUCGGUGCCAUGCUAAUCUCUAUGAUUUAGUGAAACUCUUCGUAAUACAUUGUUAUUAAUAUACCAAAUCAAAUCAAAAUUUUCAUUUACAAUUCAAACAUAUUACUUUUACCACAUUUUCAUACUAUAUUUGUACCAUCUUUAUAAUAAAAAGGGGAUCUAUAUGUGUCGGUUGGUCCUACUUCUAUUAAAAAGUGGUACGAAUAAUAUGAUAUGAAAAUUAUAGUUAAGUGUAGCAUUAGACUACUUUUGCAGACGUUCGUGGUACUGAUUUUAAUCUUCUACUAUAAUACACCUAAACUUGUUAUUUCAUCAUGUUAUUUAUUUUUAUUUAAAUGAGAAAUAUUAUGUUCGAAUCUCAUGAUUGAUUAUAUUUCCCGACUAAUUACCCAGAUAGUUUAAAUAUCGAUCGUUGUAAUGUCAUUGUCCACCCUCUAAUUCAAAUUAGCAGCAUUAGGGAGGUCCAUUUAAUGGGGUCAUCAGCCAUGACAAGGAGCUUGAAAGAUUAAUAGACUCUGAGCAUCUUUGAUUGGUCAACACUCGUUAGGUCUUAUUCUUGUAGCUAUAAUUGGAGAGAUUUUUCAACAUAUUUGAAAUACGAGACUGUACAUUACAUGACACUGUACAAAUGAAAAGAUACUUGCAAAACUUAAAAUAAAACUUUUGUUUAUAUAUAUAAUGACAUAUUAUGUACCACCCAUGUUUCGAAUAUAUUGAAAAAUUACUCAAACUCAUGUGAAAAUGAAUGUUUUCCCUUUUCAGCCACACGUAAAAUAUAUGGUUCCCAUAAAAAUUCAAAAAUCAAGAGGAAGCCUGCAAUAUUGCUAUCAGAAAGCUCCCCUCAUCAUCUCAGAUGGUCCUGGGGAGAGGAAUCGAUGAAUGGAUCACAACCGUUGGAUCCAUUGAUUGAAAUGUGGGGCCUUCUGCCACGAGACACGUGUUCAUGCCCUAGAGAUGCAGGUGAAGUUCAUGCGCCGAUACAGAAGAAAAAUGAAAAGGCAUGCUGAAAAUAAUUCAGAUAUUUUGAUGCCUGAGAGCGACCGGAGACAUAUAUCCAUUGACGUCACUCGUCUAAUCGAUAUUUCUCAUACGUUAAAAAAGUGAACUAAUCGUUCAUCUUACGUUUAAACCGUGAAUCUGCUUGAUCGUUAUCACAAGUAAUGUAUAAUUUCCAAUUAACCUCAUUUGUGUUCAUAAAAAAGAGUGAAUAAUCGUAAGUGCCAAAGCCUUGAUACAAUGGAUUCAAGGCAAAUGAGAUUUGGAAACAACUGGCAAUAAAUCAAAUCAAUAAUUCAUAUAAGCAUCGGCUAAAAAAAUGCCAUUUUAGUACAGAUAAUUACAUUUCUUUUCUUCAUAAUCUCACGUUCCUAACAGCAUAACAAAAUCUCAGUAAAGUACAGAACCUGCAGAUUGCUUCAAGACAAUGUCACAAUAAGUAGAAACUGUAUGAAUUAGUUUGAAUCACUAAGUCAGCAAAACCUCCAAUCCGGGUACUAAUUAGUUCUGAUUCGAUCGCCUUCAGAAGUAAUUAAAGUGUCUAUGAUCUUGUAAUGUGAGAGACGCCCACGCAACGGAUCAUCUUGCGCAUUAUCUGUGUUACUUCUCAGUUUUUCAGACUUCGAAGCAGGAUUCAUAUCACUUUUCUCAUCGAAGAUCUCUCGUUUUAGGGUCUCUGAUGCUUCCUUGGAUUCAACCAAUUUAGUUUUCCAUUUAAUACCAACUGCCUCAGCCUGAUCUGCAAACAAGACUUUUGCGCUAGCUGAACUGCAGAUUUCUUUGUAAGUUUCAUAAUUAGCAGCUCGGGUGCUUCCACCUUCCAAAAGUCCCGUGAGGGGAUGCAAAACCGAGACUGGACCAUCACUUCUCUCUAAUGUUUCCUUCAACGCCAGAAAUUCAGAGACAAAUUUUUCCUUGCUAAACUGAAUGAAUACUGCAGUUUCAUCCAAGUGGUAGACAGACGUGACAGAGGUCGGGCCAAAGACUUUUGUGAUGCACUCCCUUAUAUCUCGUGCCUUGAGUUUUGAUGGGAAUCCCCAGAUUAAAGCAAUGUUCUCAAACAUAAUCUGCGCGUACCUCUUUUUGUGAUUAUUAUACCCCGAAGACAUUGCUUUCUUCUUGCCGGUGGUUAAAUCAAUAAUGUCUCCAUUACUCCAACUGAGGUAUAAAAGGUUGAUUUGCUUCUGGAGCUUCUCAUUGUGGGGCAACUUUUCAGAUGACAAACAAGCCUGAAAAUCAAUUCCGAGAUGACUGCAUGUCUGAGCAAAGACACAGCCUGUCAUAAAAGCAUCGUAUCCUGCUUCAUGUUUGGCUCCAGAAUUCCAGUUGGAGGACCUGCAAAUAGAUAAUCGUGAUAUGAAAGACUUAUUCCUUUGCUUUUCCUUUCAUUUGUAUAUAAACUGCCAAUUUUAGUUACAUUACUAAAACUAUCUUUCUCCAUAUGUAAUGGUUAUUCUUUUAACCAAUAUGUAAUGGUUAUUCUAUGAGAGAGAGCCACGUGGCAUGCACAAGUAUAUACAUCUCGUAAAGCAAGUAGAAAUAGAAACAAAUUGACAAACUUAUACGAACUUGUUAUCCGACAGAUUUCUAAAGUUGGUUGCAUCUAAAGAAUGUAAUGUGUAAUUAACCCCGGUCAAAAAUGUCAUGCCAACCUAGUCGUUUUCAGACAGAUCUCUAAGUGCCCUACGCCAUUAAUGAAAGUUAAUGAAAAUGCUCUCCUUCAUCUGUCGGGUUUCAACUCUAUAUCUUUUUCCAUUCAAACUGUGACAAUGGAAACCACUGAGACCAACUAAAUGAAUUGAGCACGGCCGAGAUAUCAUUAUGGACAGAGAAUGGAAAAAGCAAACCUCAAAUCAUCCACCUGAACUUCAACUUUGACACACAAUUGGACUUCUGAAUCAGUGCUUUUCUUCCCAAGAGCAAUUUGCGGGCAUAACAAAGCAAAUGCUGACGAAAGUGAUGUUCUGGACUUCUUCAUCCGUUGUUGGAGCACAUUAUCUGUAUUCAACAGUACUUUGGUGUCAAUGAUGUGUGGAAAAUACUUGUUAACAGCAGAGACAAAUUCCUCAGCAGUCGAAGGUAGAGGUCCCAAGAAUUUGUUGUAUAUAUGGGCAAUAUCUGUAUGACAACAAGAAGACAUCUUAGUAAUAUAUAAAAUCAAAUUGACCUUUUAUGAAAGUAACAUCAAUACUCAUACCAAGAAAGCAAUUGUGACCAACAAUCAACUUUUGUUCUGAGGAAAGAAGGUCAAUAACAUGACGAAACCCAACUGCAGCUUGAACUUUCACCUCUGCUUCCCUACGAUGUUCAUCCUUAACCUCUUUCUGCAAAAGAUUGCAUACAGAAAACUAUAAUUCCUCCUGAGGUGUAGAUGAUCAUCACAUAAUAACAAAUACACUGACUUCCUUUGGUGAUAAUUUCUGUUCUCCCUAAUGCACCAACAGCAUUAUGCAAAAUUUAUGCCCAGAUAGUAAUUAUCAUACACACUGCCGUUUGUUUAUUAACGAGAAAUUAACAGUGUUGAGACAUUUUAGUUAAGACUUAGAAGAAGAAGAGAAAGAAGAGUUUCAAUAUCUCUAAUGGUUGUUUCGAUGGCUACGAUAGAAAUCCAGAGAAAACUUGUUGAUUGACUUAUUGGAAUACUAAAAAGUAAAAACAACUCCAGGCCCAAACUCGGACCAUCAAGACCUUUAGAAAGUAAAUCAUUUUCAAUAAGAAAACAACCAAAUUCUAAUAACCGAAAGUCUGAAAACUAUUUCACAAAGUAAACAUCCUAAGUAGUCUUUCACAGUUGAAGAGCAUUUGAAAAUUUCACAUCAUAUAAACUGGAGGACACAAAUUACUUACCAGAAGCAAAUCCCUGUCAUCCUUGGAAUCUGUCCGCACAACUAGUUGCUGUUGACACGACUUUUCACCAUUUACCUGAACAUAAGAAAGAUCUUGGAAAUGCUUUCUCAUGACCUGCAAACGUUAAUUUUAAUAUUCAGCUUAACAAAACCAUGACUAAGAAGAAGAAAAAAUGUUUUUUACGCAUAUAGAGUACAUCUCUGCAUUAUUAUAAAAAGUAAAACAAUACUUUUUUUUUUUUUUCGUACCCAGUGCACAAGGCUCCCGCUUUACGCAGGGUCUGGGAGAGGUGAAUGUUGGCUAGCCUUACCCCCAUUUAUGGAGAGGCUGCUCCCAAGUAUCAAUCAAAUCAUUUGCUUGGCUAAAAAGGUUAAAAUACAAUAAAUAUAUUCACAUCCAAUUUAUGAGAUAUCAUGCAAAAGCAAAUGUGAAUGAUUACAGAAUCAUGAAUGCGAAUAAGAAACACAAACUUGCCAAAAAGAAGACCUAUUAUAGUGUGUCAAGAUACUCGCAGCAUAAAGUGUCAAGAUAACUGCAACAAAAUAUCCAUCCAAUGACUUAAGACUCAGAUCAAAGUCAAAUAAAAGUUGUUGCUUCAUAAUUUCCAAUUUCAGUUCCUUACCAGCCUCAGUGAGCAUUUCACCAAUUUCAAUCUCUUCCUAGAACUUUUAUACUUAUCUAUAACAAAAAUUUCAAAACCCGGUUUCGAGUUACUUUUCCUUGAACAACCAGGGAAAAGGCGAAUAGACAUAGAGUAAGUUUUUGAAUUAUUUGAGGCAAUUACUAAAGAAUACCUAGGAUCAUGUCAUGGAUCACAUGUCCAAGAUUAACUUGUUACAAGUGAGAAUCUUAUGAUAGAUGAUCAAAAUGUAAAAACCAAACCCACCAUUUGAAUCAACCUAAGCUGAUGAGAAGUGAAUCCCUUCAAACUAAGAGCUGGACGCAUCUUGAAGAAAAUGGUUUGUAACUGUUGGGAAUCAUUUGAGUUUUGCUGAAAUUGGAAUCCUCCAUUACUACUUCUCAAGUUCAACAAACCAUCACGCCAUUCAGUGAAUGUGUUCUUCAUCCGUUCAGCAAAGAGAGUGUCAGCAAUCUUGACCACUGGCAUGUGCACAGGUUCUUUCAAGUUUGAACAUCUAGUCAAUAACUCAUCAUCAUAUGUCAAGCUCAAACGUCUCAGUGCCUCACUUUCCUGCCCUCUGGAUAAAUAAGAUAUUCCUGAGAUUGUACAACCAUUUAACUUUACAAACUGAAACCAUCAUAAAAGAAAAGCCAGGGAAGUAACUUUCACACCAGUUACAAAACCUUAACCAUUACUUCAAAAAGAAAUCAAACAAUUUCACUACCUUCAUGUAUGCAGACAUUAAAAUCGAACUGGUAUUUAGCUAAGAAAUCAAUCGAUGUUGUCUGGCAAAGAAACUCAUAAGUGGGGCCUGCAACCGGAAGCUCUUGACGCGGAAAAAUGUAAAAAUUGUGCCUGUCAGCACACCCAUAGUAUUACACAAUAAAAACCACAUAAAAAGUUCAAAACGAAACACCAUCAUUGCACAAACUUAUUCAUCUCGGAAAUUGUGUGCCUUCGCAUUUGCUUCAAACAAUCCUAGACAGCAAACACAUGUAUAAUAUAAUUUACAAACCCGGCAAAGCAACCGAUUUUACGUAAAAAAUUUCAAAAUUUAAAUUUUUUUUCUCCUUUUAAAGUUCAACUUACUACAUUUACCAGAAAAUCCAGUCACAUUUAGCUUUUCAAUCCAAAUAUCAUGAUCAAAGCAAAAGACUCGAACUUUAAAUUUUAUCAGCUAACUAACACGUAAUUGCAAGAGAGAGAAGCAAUUGCCAAUGUUUCAAUAACAAUAAAAUCAAGCAAAAUCCCUAAUUUUUGUUCCUUACUUUCUUCCUCACUUUCUGGGCAGCCAAACAGAGCACAAACAAAAAUCAAGAAUGGAAAAGAAAAAGUCACAUACGGAUGAGCAAUGAAGGAGCGCUUGGAGGAGUCCCAGCGGAAGGGGCAAACUCCGAACUGAAGCACGGCGAACUUCUCGGCCGAGUCCUUGACCUUAAGGUAGCAGACGUCGGCGCGGUCGAAUUCCAGGGAGUCACGCCACGGAGCGCUGGUGAUUCCGGUCAUCUCGAGAUCGAUGGCCACGAAAUCGGCGGCGGCGACAUGGCGGCGCAGGUCGGCGAGGGCCGGCUCGAAGUUGGAUUUGGUCACGUUUUUUAGAGGGAAGGUGGAGGAUUGUUGUUGUACGGACGACGAAGAGGAAGAGGAGUGGGAUAGGGCACGUGAUAUCGCACGUGACAGUGCCCUCACCGGGCGGUGAGUGUUCAUUUUCUGAGCAUUUGCCUGAGCUUUCGGCCCUCGGGGGUUUAUGCAGAGAGUUUUCGACCCAAGGUAGAAGAUGAAAUGAUACCGCCUACGACGUCGUUUCUGCAAUUUUCAAUAAAUCUUUUCCUGGGGGAAUCGGGUCGGGUUAGCCCAACUUGAAAGCUAUAUAGAAAGGCCCAGCCAACCAAGGGAGUUCUGUUUUCUGCCCGGAGAAAUGAUUUUUACGCGUCAUUUUCUCUUUCUUCAAACGUUCACCUGGAAUGUGUAUAUUUUCCUUCUUGUAUGAUUAAGUCAUUUCUUAUUUUGAUUCUGAUUACGAAUUAACAAACGCAUACUUUUUGUGCUUAGAAUUUCUUGUUACGAUGAAACUCAAUGAAACUACACGUUUGAUUUACUUACAUUCAUAAAGCUCGAGUUAAACGAGCGGCUAAUGCGAGGGAACGCUUUGCUAAAGGGUUGGAGAAAUAGAGACGAAUAAUAAAGAGGACUCCCCUGAAAAAUUAACACACUUGAUGAUGACACACAAUCUAAUACAGACGGCUCUAUUAUUGUAUAUAAGACUCACUCGUUGUCUUAUUAAAAAUUGUGUCAGCAGGUGAAUCAAUUUUGUAUGUCUAAUAACAUUAUCUUUAUUCAGUUAGGGACAAAAGUAAGGACCAAGAACAAGCCAUUGCUAGAGCACGUCCAUAUUGAAGGUUCUGAGGUUAAUUUACAAGAAAGGAAUAACUUAUUUUAAUGGCAUACACUUUUUGUGCUCACUUUUUUCAUUGUGAUGAAGGGGAAAAGAUGUUUUGGGAAUAUGUAAAGUAACAAGAAACUUGUGGUUUGGUUGUAGAGAGCUAUACAUAUUUAUUGUCAAAUCUUUUUGUGUUAGGCACAUCUUAUUGACGAACAAUUUUUCGGUGUGUCGGAAAACGGCUCGAUACACUAAGCGUAAUAAUAUAAUUGAAUAUAAAUUUGAAAAAAAAAAGUUGCAACCAAUUGUAUUGAUACUUGACACGCCAAUCGUGCUUCGGACAUUGAAAAAAUUCUCUUAAUUGACGACUAGGACCAGAUAAUGUAUGGCAUGAUUCAUGGAUAUGUAAGUGCAACGUAGACAACACAAAAGUCUAUGUAGGGUUGGAGUAUUUAUAAUUUAAAAAUUCUCUUAGUCCAACUGUUUUGCCAACUUUUAUGUAACUUUCUUCCAUGAAAUGAAUUAUAAAGAAAGAUUUUCAAAGUAUAAAUUUUAUAUAAAACACUUAGAGGGAGUUGGAGAAAAAAAAACUUAAUUAGUUGGUAACUUAGAUGUUUUUUUUCAACUGGUUUUUAGUUGUGAAAUCUUCAGUGUCUUUAUUUAUGUCAUUCUCUAAUUUAUUAUGAAAUAGACUUAAAACUCAAGUGGUAAGACACCUAUUAUUGUGUUUAGUUCCCUCACCUCUUAAUAAAUAAGUCGUAAUUCACUAUUUUUUAAUACAAGUGGUCGGGGCAAAUUUCAAACCUAUAUUUCACACAACACAUCAUGUAUUCUCUCUUUGAAGUUGAUGAAUUACACGAUGGUGCCCUGGGGGAGGUUAAAAUGUCUAUGUGAGUCUUCUAGACUCUCAAAUAGUAGAUUGUCACAGCGAAGCGACCAACUGAUCCCCUUUAAUAAAAGAAACACAAUAAAGUUGAAGAUGAAAGGCUUGACCACAAAACAAUCCACUACUUACAAUGGUAAAUAAUUACUAAUAGUAAUAUUUUUUUUUAACAAGCAAUAGUAUUUACACUAAGGGGUGGGAGUUUGUCAUAAUAAUAUGGUUCAAUUUUACCUUUGAUGAGAAUCGAAUUUAAAACAUCUCAUAUACAAGCGAAAAUAAAUAUUACUAAUUUGAAAUACUAAGUGACACUAAUAGCAAUAUUAUUUACAAUCUUAUAUUUUCAUACUCUAUAUGCACUCAACUUCAUCCUUUUAUUCCUACAAUUGGUCAUCAUUCAACAAAGCCCCACAUGAUGACCCUCCAAAUGUCACCAUUUAGGACGUCCAAAUUGUGUCCAUGUUUCCAAUUUUGCUUGUUUUAUUUCAUCAAAAAAAAAAAAAAAAGCAUAUUUGGGUUCAAUGUUUUGGUUGGUCUUGGAAUAAAGUUGUUAACCCCCGGAAGCUCUUUUCCUUCGCAAUUAAGAAAGUCCCAAAAGUAGAGGGCCGAAACAUGCACGUACAUGCACUACUAGUCACUACUAGCCAUUUUCGAUUUUACCAAGGAAACACACAUCAUUGCUUCUGUUUUCCUUUUUCUUUUUUCUUCCCUCACGUAUCGGAAAGAGAUUUUUCAGUGUAUCAAAAACACAAUUCGGUACAUUAACUGUCAUAAUACAAUAAUUUGAAACUUGAAAAAAAAAUUUCAAUCAAUUGAGCCGUAUUCCUGGCACAUUGAAAAAUUUCUCUAUAGGAUAUAUACCAUUUUCACAAAUGCAAACUUGAUUGACAAUCUCGUUUGAAACUGUUUUUUAUUUUUAUUUUUUUUAACACUUCUAUUCACAAACACUUCUAGUAAAAUUGUUUUUAUUAAAAGCGCAUAAAUAAAAAUACUAAGGGUUAGCUUUUGUUGCCAAACAUAUCGUUAUGUUCUAUCAUCGAAGUUAGGAAUCCAAAAUAUAUAUAAAUUCUUACAAUAAAUCAAUUUUUAUGAAUUUAUUUGGUGGCCAUUUUAUGUGAUAAAUACGAUACAACCAAGUAUAAAUUCGGCCCAAAGAGAUUUAUUGGAGAAACUUAAAUUAGAUACGGGUGAUGUUAGUAAGAAAAUAAGAAACCAACAAAAGUAAAAGAUCAAAACAGAGAACAAAAGAUCAAACACCAUUUUUGGUCUGGAUUUAGCAAAUAUUUACUUAGAAGGAUAUUGUAGCAAAUUUGGAUUCAAACAUUGCUUGGUAAGAAAAAGAAUUAAUAUUGUAAUAUAAUUUAUUUAUUUUCCUGGAUAAUAAUAAAACAUAAUUUAGGAAAAUUAAGCUACUUAACAAGCUGGACAUAAUUACAAUUAUACUUUUUGAACAUCAAACAAGUUAAAUAAUAGAGACAUUAACACAAUAAUCUAGAGUCACAUUCAAUUCAAAUUAUCUUAUUCGUUGUAUCAGGAUUUUCAUGAUAGAUAUGUGUGUUAAGUCAAUGUGUUUGUUUGUCGCAUCCAAUUCAUAAUAGAUGAAUUUUAUAUGUGUUAGACUAAUUAUCUAAAGUACUGUGUCGUUUUGUCUCAUAUAAUUACAUUCUCACCAUGAUAAUAAAAUAGGCCCAAAUGGAGAGCACAAUGUAUAUUUAAUUAUUAUAUUUUAUUUUUUAUGAAAAACAAUUAUUUUAUUUUUAUCUCCUCCCUUUAUCUAUGUCUAUUUUUUUUUUGUUUUUCCGAAUUUUACUAUAAUUUCCUGCCCCCUCUAUAUAUACCACACUCUAGCUUCUUUCUCAGUUAUUCAUUUCUUCUCCAAUUCUCUGCUUCCCUUUCUGUCUCUGUGCGAUCCUCAUCAAAACCCUAAUCUUGAUCGCGAAGAAGCUCAAAUUUCCUCUUAUCACUCUCGAAAAAUCGAAGCUUGACGAUCCGAUCGUCGUCAAACAGCCGCUACAAAACGUUCCUCACUUCAAUUUUAGUUGCCGCAUAAUUUUAAUUUCCCCAAUUCAGUCUCUGCUCUUCGAUCAAUUCUUGGUUUUUUAGCGAUUGAUCGGGUACCAAUUCAAGGCGGUUCUCAAUCGUGCAAUGCUUUCAGUUCCAAUAUGAAGUUAAAGAGAAGGAGGGCGGUUGAAGUGGUCAGUAUAUUUCACCUGUGGAAUCGAUUAGAUUCUUGUAUGCAUACUGCGCAUAAUAUAUAUAUGUAUGUGUUUGUACAUGAUUAAAGUACUGGGUUUUCCCUAUGUUUUGAUUUCGAGAAGAAGUUGAUGGUUCUGGGUUAUGUUCUUUUUCUCUUUUUUUUUUUCUCAUUUCCCAGUGAGUGGCACUUUUGUAUGCAAUUGCUUAUAUAAUUCGUUUUGGGCAUCUAUCAAUUUGAUGUUUUCUUUGGUUGUUUAACUAGGGACUGAUACAAGAUAAGAAAGUUUAAUUUUUUUUACCUUAUUAUUGAAUUGUUUAUAUAAUUCGGAGUACGAAAAUGCAAACAUAUUCAGCUUAUGAAGUGAGGUUUUCAUUCUUGCAUGAGGAUUACAACCAGUACUAGGAAGAUCCUAGAGACAUGAUUAUACAUGAUUAUUCAUGACCAACCCAGUUGACUGUAUUAGUUUCGUUAUUGUUUCUUAGUUCAAAGAGUUAUUUUCUCCAUCGAAUGUCUAUAUGACUUUAUAUGUUUUUGUUGAAAUUGCUAGCAUUGAGAGAGAGAGAGAGAGAGAGAGAGAGAGAGAGAGAGAGAGAAGAAGAGGAGGGGGUGGAGGUUUGGUCGGUUCGUCAGUCUGUUUAUCAGUGUGUUAACGUUCAUGGAGCAAAUGUCAUGCAUGACAGAUUAUUUUGUCGAAAAAGAAGUUUUAAUCUUUUUAUAAGGAGGCAAUAUCUAGAUGGAACAAGAUUAAUUGGUUUUGACAUUUAUGCUUUAAUGUUUUGUAGAAAAUGUGUGGAAACUGGAUAAUUGUUACAGCAAGGUGAAGUUAGGAGUUCGUCGUUUUCUUUAAGACUUUCGCUAUGCAUUAAACAUGUGUGAAGUUAGGAGUUCGUUCGCUAUGCAUUAAACAUGUGUGAAGUUAGGAGUUCGUUGUUUUCUUUAAGACUUUUCUAUGCAUUAAAAUAUGUGGGACUUAGAUGUAUGAAUUGUUUUCAAGUUAUAAAUUUAGUACAUUCACAUCACACAGAAUAAAAUUUUGCUCAAACGGAUACUGCGCUUAGCUAAAAGUGUGAGAUGAAAUGGUGAGUGCGUGAAUGAUCUUAGUUCCUUAUAUGCAUCUCUUUGAAUAUGUCACUCUUAAGAUUUUCAGUAAUUAAAUUUUAUUAAGUGAACUUAACCAUAUUAUGUUAAGGUUCAUUAAGGUCAAUCCAAGCCACCUCAAUCCUUUCUUUAAAGGUACCAGACAAGUGUGGCACUAUUAACAACAUCUAUUAACAACAUUUUAACUUGUGUGCUUCUUGAAACUUUUUGACAUUAGUUUCAAUGUUGUUUAUUUCCUGUUAGUAGUAUGGAGACUUCUAACAAAGUGAUAGGGGGUAAUGUGUGUUAAAACAAAUUAUCUCUAGGAUAUGGUCUUGUUUGCACUAUGUUGUGUGUACCCUUCUCAUUGUUUGCACACCUUGAACAUCCCUUAUUGCACUUGAAGAACUUAUGUUUACAAAUAAGUCAUCUAUUUAUUGUUUAUUUGUUGUCUCUGUGGUACUGGGUACUAAUUUUAUAUAAAAGCAAUUUGGCGAGUCUGCAAAGUACUAACAACUAUUUGUUUGGUCUUGUUUUGUUUCAGCCCCCAAAAAUUAGAUCCUUCAUCAAUAGUGUCACUGCCGUUCCCUUUGAGAAUAUAGAGGAACCUCUGAAAGGUUUCAUCUGGGAGUUCGAUAAGGUGAUUUUAUUACCUUUAACUGUUACAUUAAUACAGUUAUUUACAUGCAAUAUGAUUUAUAUGCUUUUAUUUCUGGUGCAGGGAGAUUUCCAUCAUUGGGUUGAUCUUUUCAACCAUUUUGAUUCAUUUUUUGAGAAGCACAUAAAAUCCAGGAAGGAUUUGCAGGUUGAUGAUAAUUUUCUAGACACUGAUCCUCCUUUUCCGAGAGAAGCUGUUCUUCAAGUUCUCCGUGUAAUAAGGAUAAUUUUGGAGAAUUGCACAAAUAAGCACUUCUACAGUUCUUAUGAGGUAAAAUUUCCAUCAUUCACCUCUCCGUCGUUGGUGUGUAAUUUUCAGUUGUUUAUUAUUAGUUAGUUUUUAUUCCUUCUAGAUAUACAAUUAUACCAUUAUUGCUUUUUGGGUAUUGUAUAUGGGAUGAAGGCUUAUUUUUAGCUGGGUUGUGAUAAUUAACAACUCUGAUUAUUGUGCAUUUGAUUGUGUUAAUUUUUAUUCUUUACAUCAGUCAAUUUCAUUUAUUUUCAAUUCCUCCUUUUCCCAUUCAUUAGUUUUAUGUCUUUGUUUCAUAUGUUAUUGCAGCAGCAUCUUUCAUCUCUUCUUGCUUGCACUCAUGCGGAUGUGGUUGAGGGUUGCCUGCAGACAUUGGCUGCAUUUUUAAAGAAAACAGUUGGAAAGUAUUCCAUUAGGGAUGCUGCACUAAAUUCAAAGUUAUUCGCUCUUGCACAAGGUUGGGGGGGAAAAGAAGAGGGUCUUGGAUUAAUUGCUAGUGCAAUACAGAAUGGUUGUGACCCUGUUGCUUACGAGUUAGGCUGCACCCUUCAUUUUGAGUUCUAUGCAUCAAAUGAUUCAACAGGUGACAUCCCUGCCAACCAAGGUUUACAAAUCAUUCACUUACCCAACAUCAAUACUCAUCCAGAGACGGAUCUUGAGCUUUUGUGUAAGUUAAUUGCCGAGUACAAAGUACCCUCUAGCUUAAGAUUUUCUUUAUUGACAAGAUUGCGGUUUGCAAGGGCUUUUGGCUCUGUAGCUACUCGGCAGCAGUAUGCAUGCAUCCGCUUGUAUGCCUUCAUAGUUCUUGUUCAAGCAAAUAGUGAUGCUGACGACCUUGUUUCUUUCUUCAAUGCUGAACCUGAGUUUAUCAAUGAAUUAGUGUCAUUGUUGAGCUUUGAGGAUGUGGUUCCUGAGAAAAUUCGAAUUCUCUGUCUUCUUUCACUGGUUGCUCUUUGUCAAGAUCGAUCCCGGCAGCCUACUGUUUUAACUGCUGUCACAUCUGGUGGGCAUCGUGGAAUCCUGUCCAGUCUCAUGCAGAAGGCCAUUGAUUUUGUCACCAAAGAUACAUCAAAGUGGUCUGUUGUUUUUGCUGAGGCUCUAUUGUCUCUUGUCACAGUUUUGGUGUCAUCAUCAUCAGGUUGUUCAGCCAUGCGUGAAGCUGGUUUUAUUCCCACCCUUCUGCCUUUGCUUAAAGAUACAGACCCGCAACACCUUCAUUUGGUCAGCACAUCUGUGCACAUUUUAGAAGCUUUUAUGGAUUACAGUAAUCCUGCUGCUGCAUUGUUUCGGGAUUUGGGUGGUUUAGACGAUACAAUCUCUCGCCUACAGGUGGAAGUGUCUCAUGUAGAAAAUGGCUCAAAGCAUGAAGAUGAUGAUUCUGACAUCAUUGGGAGUAGUGCACAAGUAGCUGUAGGAACUUCCACAGAGCUAGACAGCAUGCAGCCUUUGUAUUCAGAACCACUGGUUUCAUAUCACAGACGAUUGCUUAUGAAAGCUCUAUUGCGUGCUAUAUCCCUGGGGACUUAUGCCCCUGGAAAUACUGCUCGUGUUUAUGGCUCAGAGGAGAGUCUAUUGCCACAAUGCUUAUGCAUAAUAUUUAAAAGGGCAAAGGAUUUUGGUGGUGGGGUAUUCUCACUUGCGGCAACUGUCAUGAGUGAUCUAAUACACAAAGAUCCUACCUGUUUUCCAGUUUUAGAUGCAGCAGGCCUUCCUUCUGCCUUCUUGGAUGCUAUAAUGGAUGGUGUUCUUUGCUCUGCAGAAGCCAUUACAUGCAUACCACAGUGUCUGGAUGCCCUAUGUUUAAAUACUACUAAUGGUCUUCAGGCUGUGAAAGAUCGCAAUGCUUUGAGGUGCUUUGUGAAGAUAUUUACUUCAAGAACUUAUCUGAAGGCCCUGACCAGUGACACACCAGGUUCGUUAUCUAGUGGAUUGGAUGAGUUAAUGCGCCACGCUUCCUCAUUGCGUGGGCCUGGAGUGGAUAUGCUGAUUGAGAUCUUAAAUGCCAUUUCAAAAAUUGGACAUGGGGUUGAUGCUUCGUACAUGUCAAUUGAUCCUUUGGGCUCUUCUACUCCUGUUCCCAUGGAAACAGAUGGAGAAGAGAGGAAUUUGGUCAUGUCUGAUAAUGGGGAAUCAUCCAAAACGGAGAGUUCAGAGCAGACUGUGGAACCACCUUCUGAUUCUUCAGUGGGGAAUGUUGAAUUAUUUCUUCCUGAUUGUGUGAGCAAUGUUGCACGUCUUCUUGAAACAAUACUUCAGAAUGGUGACACAUGUCGUAUAUUUGUGGAGAAGAAGGGGGUUGAAGCUGUCCUGCAGUUAUUUACCUUGCCUUUGAUGCCUCUUUCUGUUUCAGUUGGCCAGAGUAUUUCUGUCGCAUUUAAGAACUUCUCACCACAACAUUCUGCUUCUUUGGCUCGGGCAGUAUGUUCAUUCUUGAGAGAGCAUCUGAAAUCAACAAAUGAACUUUUAGUUUCAGUUGGAGGGACUCAACUUGCUUUGGUGGAAUCUGUGAAGCAAACUCAAGUUUUGAGACAUCUUUCCAGUCUUGAAGCUAUUCUGUCUCUGUCUAAUGUUCUGUUGAAAGGGACGACUACUGUGGUGUCUGAACUGGGUGCAGCUGAUGCUGAUGUAUUGAAAGAUCUCGGGAGCACCUACCGGGAAAUAAUUUGGCAAAUCUCUCUGUGCAAUGAUGUCAAGUCAGAUGAGAAGAUCAAUGCUGAACAAGAACCAGAGAGUGCUGAGGCAGCUCCGACUAAUGCUUCUGGAAGGGAGAGUGAUGAUGAUGCAAAUAUUCCAAUGGUGAGAUAUAUGAACCCAGUUUCUAUCAGGAAUCAGCCCUUGUGGGGUGGAGAACGUGAGUUUCUAUCAGUUGUUCGCUCUGGUGAAGGUUUGCACCGUCGUAGUCGUCAUGGUUUUACACGCAUAAGGGGUGGAAGGACAGGCCGGCAUUUGGAGGCUUUAAAUGUUGAUUCUGAAUCUUCCUCAACGGUAUCAGAGACAUCUACUUCCCAAGAUUUGAAAAAGAAAAGUCCUGAUGUUCUUGUGAUAGAAAUCCUCAACAAGCUGGCUUCCACACUGCGUUCCUUCUUCACAGCUCUUGUCAAGGGAUUCACAUCACCAAAUCGGCGUAGAGUCGACUCUGGGUCGUUGAGUUUGGUUUCCAAGACUCUUGGAACUGCCCUAGCUAAAAUAUUUCUCGAGUCUCUUAGCUUCUCUAGGCAUUCUACAUCAACUGGGCUCGAUACAUCACUGUCAGUCAAGUGUCGAUAUCUUGGCAAAGUUGUCGAUGAUAUGGUAUCACUUACAUUUGACAGCAGGCGACGUACUUGUUAUACUGCAACAGUAAAUAAUUUCUAUGUCCAUGGUACUUUUAAGGAGCUGCUUACAACAUUUGAAGCUACUAGUCAGUUGUUGUGGACACUACCAUACUCCGUGUCAACGUCAGGUAUUGAUCCCGAAAGGACAGGUGAAGGAAGUAAACUGUCCCACAGUUCGUGGCUGCUUGAUACUUUACAGAGCUAUUGCCGUGUGCUCGAGUAUUUUGUUAAUUCUUCUUUACUCUUAUCCACAACCUCUGCUUCUCAAGCACAGUUGCUUGUUCAGCAGCCAGUUGCAGUUGGUUUGUCAAUUGGGCUUUUCCCUGUGCCAAGGGACCCAGAAGUUUUUAUUCGUAUGCUGCAAUCUCAAGUUCUUGAUGUGAUACUUCCUGUCUGGAACCACCCUUUGUUUCCAAAUUGUAGUCCAGGUUUCAUUGCUUCUAUUGUCUCGCUUGUCAUGCAUGUAUAUUCUGGUGUUGGAGAUGUGAAGCAGAAUCGCAGUGGCAUUGCUGGAAGUACAAACCAGCGAUUCAUGCCCCCACCACUUGAUGAAAAUACUAUUACCACCAUUGUUGAGAUGGGUUUUCCAAGGGCUAGGGCAGAGGAAGCUCUUAGGCGGGUGGGAACAAAUAGCGUUGAAAUGGCCAUGGAGUGGCUCUUUAGUCAUCCUGAGGAUCCUGUGCAGGAUGAUGAUGAACUGGCUCGAGCACUUGCUCUUUCACUGGGAAAUUCAUCAGAUGCAUCUAAAGCUGAGAGUGUUGAAAAGCCUGUUGAUGUGCCGGCAGAAGAGGGUUGUGUGAAAGCUCCUCCUGUUGAUGAUGUCCUUGCAGCGUCGGUUAAAUUACUUCAAAGUAAUGAUACCAUGGCAUUCCCUUUGACAGAUUGCUUGUGACACUUAGCAACCAGAACAAAGGGGAAGACCGUCCAAGAGUUGUAUCUUAUCUUACUCAGCAGCUAAAGAAUUGUCCAUUGGAUUUUUCUAAUGAUACCAGUGCGUUGAGUAUGGUGUCACAUGUUAUUGCAUUACUUCUUUCUGAGGAUGGAAGCACAAGGGAAGUCGCUGCACAGUAUGGUAUUGUGACUACUGCAACAGAUAUCUUGAUGAACUUUAAGGGCAAAGAUGAGUCAGGCAAUGAGCUUCUUGUCCCAAAAUGUAUCAGUGCUCUACUGCUUAUUUUGGAUAACAUGUUGCAAUCAAGGUCCAGAAUUUCUGAAAAGGUUGAAGAUACUCAGACAGGGCCUUUACCUGAAUUAUCUGGAGAGCGUAUGUCAAUCCCUGCAUCAGAUACAGAGAAAAAACAGCUUAUGGAUGCCUAUGAAAAGGAUUCUGCCACAGCAUUUGAGAAAAUAUUGGGGAAAUCUACUGGUUAUUUGACUAUGGAAGAGAGUCAUAAAGUGCUAGCAGUUGCUUGUGACUUGAUAAAGCAGCAUGUCCCAGCAAUGAUCAUGCAGGCUGUUUUACAAUUAUGUGCUCGCUUGACAAAAACUCAUGCUCUAGCUUUACAAUUCCUUGAAAAUGGAGGCUUGGCAGCUCUAUUUGGCCUUCCAAGAAGUUGUUUUUUCCCGGGAUAUGAUACUGUUGCAUCUGCUAUUGUUCGCCAUCUCCUUGAAGAUCCACAAACACUGCAAACAGCAAUGGAAUUGGAGAUUCGCCAAGCCCUGAGUGGAAACAGGCAUGGUGGGCGCACUUCUGCACGAACGUUCUUGACAUCAAUGGCACCUGUAAUCUCUAGAGAUCCAGUAGUUUUUAUGAAAGCUGCUUCUGCAGUUUGUCAGUUGGAGACAUCAGGAGGUAGAACCUUUGUUCUGUUAUUGAAGGAAAAGAGAAGGAAAAGGAAAAAUCUAAAGCAGUAGGUGAUGAGGCUGGAUUAUCUUCCAAUGAGUGUGUACGGAUUUCUGAAAAUAAGAUACAUGAUGGAUCUGGUAAAUGCGCAAAAAGUCACAAGAAGAUCCCUGCCAAUCUCACUCAAGUGAUAGAUCAGCUUCUUGAAAUAGUCUUCAAAUACCAUUUCCCAAAUAGCCAGGAAGACUAUUCGAAUAACCCAUCUGCUAUGGAAGUAGAUGAACCCUCUAUGAAGGUGAAGGGUAAAUCAAAGGUUGACGAGACAAGGAAAGUGGAGUCAGAAUCUGAAAGAUCUGCAGGGUUGGCUAAAGUUACCUUUGUUCUCAAAUUACUGAGUGAUAUCCUUCUUAUGUAUGUACAUGCAGUUGGGGUUAUACUUAAACGGGAUUUAGAAAUGACUCAGUUGCGGGGAUCUAAUCAAACAGAUGGUCUUGGACAUGGUGGUAUACUUCACCAUGUAAUUCAUCGAUUGCUUCCACGCACCAUUGAUAAAUCUGCUGGACCUGAUGAAUGGAGAGACAAACUGUCUGAAAAAGCUUCUUGGUUCCUGGUAGUUCUGUGUGGUCGUUCCAGUGAAGGGCGCAGACGAGUAAUUAGUGAACUUGUAAAGGCUUUAUCCUCGUUUUCGAAUUUGGGAUGUACUUCCACCAAGAGCAUCUUAUUACCGGAUAAAAGCGUUUAUGCUUUUGUUGAUUUGGUGUAUUCAAUUUUGUCAAAAAAUUCAUCAUCCAGCAACUUACCUGGUUCUGGGUUUUCACCAGACAUAGCAAAAAGCAUGAUAGAUGGGGGAAUGAUUCAGUGUCUGACUGGUAUCCUCCGGGUGAUUGACUUAGACCAUCCUGAUGCUCCCAAAACUGUGAAUUUGAUACUCAAGACGUUAGAAAGCCUAACAAGGGCUGCUAAUGCUAGUGAGCAAUACUUUAAAUCUGAUGAGACGAGCAAGAAAAAAUCCACAGGGUUGAAUGGAAGUUCUGACGAUCAGGUAACUGCCCCAUCAGCUGAUACUACUGUGGGGGAUAAUCAGAAUGCAAGCAGUGAACAGGGUGUGAGAGACGUCGUACAGGUUGUUCAAGGGGAUCAAGGAAUUUCUGAAAGUGAAGGUAAUCCUGAAGUAAAUCUGAUCCAGUUGGUGGAACAAGAUAUGAGGAUAGAAGUUGAAGGACCAAUAGCUUCUAAUCCACCCAUGGAGCUUGGGAUGGAUUUCAUGCGUGAGGAGAUGGAUGAAGGUAAUGUACUACACAACACUGAUCAAAUUGAGAUGUCUUUUCGUGUUGAGAAUAGGACAGAUGAUGACAUGGCUGAUUUAGAAAACGACAUGGGUGAUGAUGGUGAGGAUGACGACGAGGGAGAGGACAUGGCUGAUUUAGAAAAUGACAUGGGUGAUGAUGGUGAGGAUGAUGAGGAUGAUGAUGAGGGAGAGGAUGAGGAUGAGGAUAUAGCAGAGGGCGGUGGUGGCAUGAUGUCACUUGCUGAUACUGAUGUGGAAGACCAUGAUGAUACCGGCUUGGGAGAUGAUUACAAUGAUGGGAUGAUUGAUGAAGAUGAUGAUGAUUUUCAUGAGAAUCGUGUCAUAGAAGUGAGAUGGAGAGAAGCCCUUGAUGGGCUUGAUCAUUUGCAGGUACUUGAACAACCUGGAGCUGGAAGUGGUCUCAUUGAUGUUGCUGCUGAACCUUUUGAAGGUGUUAAUGUGGAUGACUUGUUUGGUCUGAGAAGGCCGAUAGGUUUUGAUCGCCGCCGUCAGACAAGUAGGUCUUCCUUUGAGCGAUCUGUUGCAGAAGCAAAUGGAUUUCAACAUCCUCUCCUUUUAAGACCAUCCCAGUCUGGGGAUUUGGUCUCAAUGUGGUCAGCAGGUGGAAAUUCAUCCAGGGAUUUAGAAGCUCUGUCAUCAGGGAGCUUUGAUGUUGCUCAUUUCUACAUGUUUGAUGCUCCUGUUCUACCUUAUGAUCACGUACCAAGCAAUCUUUUUGGUGACCGGUUGAGUGGUGCUGCACCCCCACCAUUGACUGAUUAUUCAGUAGGUAUGGACUCAUUGCAGUUAUCGGGGAGAAGAGGGCCAGGUGAUGGUCGAUGGACUGAUGAUGGCCAGCCUCAAGCAGGUCCUCAAGCUGCUGCUAUUGCACAAGCAGUGGAGGAACACUUUAUAUCGCAAUUACGCAGUCUUGCUCCAGCUGAUAUCCCUGCUGAACGACAGUCCCAGAACUCAGGAGUGCAGGAGAAACAGCCAGAUCUCCCUCCUUUAAGUGAUAGUCAAGUAGCAGGGGAGUGCAAUGACAGCCAUGAAAGAAAUGAAGAUCAGCGUCAAGAUGGGGUUGAUGAAACAACACAUCAAGUUAACUCAAGUUCUGACACUGCUCCCUGUCAAGAACAAGUCAAUCCAGAAUCUAUAGUCGAAGGUGCAGGGGAGUUCUUACAAGCACCUGAACCAAUGUCAAUUAUGCCACCUUCAACGAACAGUACACCAAGCGAUAGCAUGGACAUUGGUGAUGGAAAUGGUGCUGCUGGUGAGCAAGUAGGGUCAGUGCCAGGUUCUGUCAACUCGUCUGCAGAAAUAAGUGCUGGUUUACAAUGUGAAGGGGGUUCUGUGCCUUCUAAUCCCCAUGAUGUUACUGUGGAGGCUGUGGGUUGUGAUAGAUCCUCAAGAGCAGAGGGUCAGGUUGGUAAUGUGUCGGCAAGUUUGGGUUUCAAUGUGCCUAAUCCAGGUGAUUCUCAUACUUCUUUGGUGCCAACAAAUAUUGACGUUGAUAUGAAUUACAUUGGUGAAAUAAAUGAAUUGGCCAUCCCAUGCCUACUUUUGAAAAUCGUACAGUUGAACCAUCAAGGGAAAACACAACUGUUGCUCCAGAAGCUAAUCAGGCUGAACAAGAUUUGAAUAAUGAGGCUGCUGGUGCUAAUACAAUUGAUCCGACCUUCUUGGAUGCUUUACCUGAAUAUUUGAGGGCCGAAGUUCUUGCUUCACAACAAGCUCAGCCGGUUCAACCUCCAUCUUAUGCACCACCUUCUGCAGACGACAUUGAUCCUGAGUUUUUAGCAGCCCUUCCUCCAGAUAUCCAAGAAGAAGUUUUGGCUCAACAAAGAGCACAAAGGGUUGCACAUCAGGCUGAGGGACCAGUUGACAUGGACAACGCUUCAAUAAUUGCUACUUUUCCUGCUGAUUUACGUGAAGAGGUUUUCAUCUGGAACUGCAUCUUUCAUGACCUUGAUUGUAAUGAUUAUUUGUCUUAUAUAUGUAAUUUUUCUCUUGGUCCAGGUACUUUUAACUUCUUCAGAAGCAGUUCUGUCUGGAUUGCCUUCUCCAUUGCUCGCUGAAGCCCAAAUGCUAAGAGACCGAGCAAUGAGUCAUUAUCAGGCUCGCAGCCUUUUUGGAACCAGCCAGAGGCUAAACAACCGGAGAAAUGGAUUGGGUUUUGAUCGGCAGACGGUGAUGGACAGAGGUGUUGGAGUCACAAUUGGCCGGAGGGCAGUUUCUGCUCUUGCAGACAGCUUAAAGGUUAAGGAAAUCGAAGGAGAGCCACUUCUGGAUGCCGAUGAAUUGAAAGCCUUAAUUAGGCUAUUACGAUUAGCGCAGGUAAAUUCAUAUUCCAAUUAAUGGUAAUUGGAGUGUUUAUAACUGGUUAUGAAAGUUUUAUGUUUCGUUGAAAUAUGAAUAUUAGGUUUUCUUUUUAAAAAAUCCAUAUAUGGUUAGAAAGUUUGGAGGUUUGAACAAAUUUAUGUGUACUAUAUAAGUGUUAAAGCUCCUGUUGAUGGGAAUAAUAAUGUGUAAAAAACGUCAUAUGAAGAAUUUUCGGUUGGCUGAAGAGUAGAAAACCAAGUGGGUUAUAUUUUCUCAAUUUGUGCUUUAAAAGACCUCAAAAUAACGCAUUAUUUGAAAAUCGCAUGUACACAUACAUGUACUACUUUUUUUUUUUUUUUUUCUACAUACUGUCACAUAAAAUCAUUCAUUAAAUGACUAUCUUCUGCUAACAUGAUCCAUUUAUUUUUUUGUGUGUGGUUAGCCCCUGGGCAAAGGACUCUUGCAGAGGCUCUUGUUGAACUUAUGUACCCAUAGCGUUACACGAGCAAUCUUAGUUCGUCAUUUGCUUGAUAUGAUCAAACCUGAGGCUGAGGGCUCAGUCGGUGGAUUAGCAGCUAUUAAUGCUCAAAGGCUUUACGGUUGCAAUUCAAAUGUUGUUUAUGGUCGAUCACAGUUGUUAGAUGGUAAGUCAUCUGACGCUCCAACAGUUAUCUGCAAUACAUUUGUUUCUUCUAUUUAUGGACUAACAAUUUGUUUGCUUUAUAUUCAUUUUCAAUAGGUCUUCCUCCCUUGGUGCUACGUCGAAUUCUUGAGAUCUUGACUUAUUUGGCCACAAAUCAUUCUGCUGUGGCAAAUAUGUUAUUCUUCUUUGAUUUCUCUGGUGUUCCUGAGUCAUUAAGCCCUAUCCAUAUGGAAACCAAGAAGGACAAAGGCAAGGAGAAAAUUGGAGAAGGAGGAUCUUCAUCAAAACCAUCUGGAAACACCCAGGAUGUGGACAUUCCCCUGAUAUUGUUCCUGAAGCUCCUGAACCGACCUCAUUAUGGCACUGCUCAUCUUGAGCAGGUACUACCUACUCUAUGGUUAACCAGUUUAAAAUGACCUCGUGGAGAGAUUAGCUGCUGUUUGUCUAUUCAUUUAAAAGUGUAGUGUGUAAAUCCCUUGGUAGUUGUUAGGUAUCCACAUAUUUAGUACUUCAACUUGAGAGCUUAUAUGAAUUUAAGAUUGGAGUAAUUCAAUUGUUUGUAAUGUUUGACUCGUUAACUAUUCUGGACAAAGGCUAGUACCUGCUCCAUAACUUUAUUUCUCUCCUUAAAAAUUAAGAAAAAAACUAAGUAUAUGGUAGAGAACGUGUGUAUUGCUUGCCGUAUCUCUAGUUGUACAUGUGGAGUCAUAAUCUUGAUUAUUUUAUUGCUGAAGCAUGUCCUACAGCAUGAUCCUUUCAAAAAAAAUUAUAAUUCAGCACCAUCUCAUGUUUUUAAUUUUUUUUUUUUGUGUGCUACAGGUGAUGGGCCUGCUUCAGGUUGUUGUGUAUACUUCAGCUUCAAAAUUAGAGGGCCAGUCUCAAUCUGAGAGGGCAGAUAAGCCUGUUGGUGAAGCUUCAGGAGAUGGUCAAAAGGUUCCUCCUUUGGAAUCAGAAUCUAAUCAGGGAGAGAAGCCUGUUAGUGGUGAAUCAUCAACUUCAGAUGGAAAGAGGAGUACGGAUACAUAUAAUGUUUUCUUGAAGCUGCCAGAAUCUGAUCUACACAAUCUUUGCAGCCUUCUUGGUCGUGAGGGGUAUUAUUAGCUCACUAAUUCUUAUAUGUUCAUUCUUUGAACGUAGAUGCAGUAUUUGUCAGAUUAACUACUCUCUUCUUUGUGCUACUAUAUGAACUGUGUUUUUAUGAGUGUCUAAUCUGAGUCCAUUUACUUGAUUAGGCUUUCAGAUAAACUUUAUAUGCUUGCUGGUGAGGUCUUGAAGAAGUUGGCCUCAGUUGCAGCACCCCAUCGAAAACUAUUUGUCUCAGCGCUGUCAGAACUGGCUCAUCGCUUGAGUGCCUCAGCUGUUGGUGAGCUUGUUACUCUCCGGAACACACAUAUGCUGGGUUUGAGUGCCGGAUCAAUGGCUGGGUUAGCAAUCCUACGUGUAUUACAAGCACUUUGCUCUCUCACUUCACCUAGGGCUAGUGAGAAUUCAGGAUUGGAGAAUGAUGCGGAUCAGGAGGAGCAUGCCAUCAUGUGGAAACUAAAUGUUGCACUUGAGCCACUGUGGCUAGAAUUAAGCAACUGUAUAAGUGCGACUGAAACAGCACUGGGUCAGAGUACUUUUUGUCGAACCAUGUCUAUAGUAAAUACUGGGGACCAUGCACAGGGUUCUUCUUCGUCUCCUCUCCCUCCUGGAACCCAGAGACUCCUGCCUUUUAUGGAGGCUUUUUUUGUUCUGUGUGAAAAGCUACAAGAGAACCUCUCUACUAUGCUGCAAGACCAGGCGAAUGUGACUGCAAGAGAAGUCAAAGAGUCCUCUGGAAACUCAGAUCCUUCAACUACCAAGUGCCACAGUUGUGGGGAUUCUCAGAGAAAGCUUGAUGGUGCUAUUACAUUUACAAAGUUCGCUGAGAAGCAUCGCCGGCUUUUAAAUGCUUUUAUCAGGCAGAAUCCAGGUUUGUUGGAGAAAUCCCUUACUAUGAUGCUGAAGGCACCAAGGCUAAUUGAUUUUGAUAACAAAAGAGCAUAUUUCCGGUCAAGAAUUAGGCAGCAGCAUGAGCAACAUCUCUCUGGUCCUCUGAGAAUAAGUGUUCGGCGGGCAUACGUUUUGGAGGAUUCUUAUAAUCAGUUGCGCAUGCGGCCUACUCUGGACAUGAAGGGACGAUUAAAUGUCCAAUUCCAAGGGGAAGAGGGUAUUGAUGCUGGAGGUCUGACACGAGAGUGGUAUCAAUUACUGUCAAGGGUCAUAUUUGACAAGGGGGCAUUGCUUUUCACCACCGUAGGAAACAAUGCAACUUUCCAGCCAAACCCUAAUUCUGUCUACCAGACAGAACAUCUGUCUUAUUUUAAAUUUGUGGGCCGUGUGGUAAUUCUUCUGGACUAUUAUUGACUUUUUGAAACUGACUUUAUAAGCUUCUUCCGUCUGUGUUAGAUUUUUCUUUAACUUUUGCUGCUGUGAUAAUUUAUUCAGGUUGCAAAGGCACUUUUUGAUGGGCAACUUUUGGAUGUUUAUUUCACUCGAUCCUUCUAUAAGCAUAUACUUGGUGUAAAGGUGACUUACCAUGAUAUAGAGGCUGUGGAUCCUGAUUACUACAAGAAUUUAAAGUGGAUGUUAGAGGUUAGCGUGCUUUUGAUCACACUCUGAUUUUUAAGAGUUCAAGGUUGGAUUGGAAUGGGUUUCGUUGUAGGUUUUUAUAUCUUUUUAACUGAUCUAAAAUGUGUCAUAUUCGUUAUUCUGAAAUUCUCUGCAGGAUUAAGACUCAGUUCCUCUAUUGCGUAAGUUUCUUUAAUUUGAUUUUUUUUCUCGUGUCCAGAAUGACGUGAGUGAUAUUCCUGACCUGACGUUUAGCAUGGAUGCGGAUGAAGAAAAGCAUAUCCUUUAUGAGAAAAACCAGGUAUUUGAAUUUAUAUGUUACUUUUAAGUUCUGUUCUUUAUUUUUGAAAGCUUUUGGGUUUUCACGUAGUGUUAUUGUAAAGUCUUUACUUAAAUGCCAAUCUGAUUUUCAUUCAAUGUUAUAACAUUAAAUUGAGCUCGCGGGUUUGACUAAUGUUGUACUUGUUUGUUGUGUUUUCCUUUCUUUAUACCUUCUUGAAAAGGUUACUGAUUAUGAGCUGAAACCUGGAGGAAGAAAUAUUCGGGUUACAGAAGAGACGAAGCACGAGUAUGUUGACCUUGUAGCUGAACAUAUCUUGACAAAUGCUAUCCGACCUCAAAUUACUUCCUUCAUGGAGGGGUUUAAGGAAUUGGUCCCGCGAGAGCUUAUCUCAAUUUUCAAUGACAAGGAGCUUGAGCUACUUAUCAGUGGUCUUCCAGAGAUAGAUUGUGAGUUGCAUUUAAAAUGAGCUUAUUACAUAAUUGAUAUGGUCUUUUGUUUCUCUUGUGAUAUCUGAAUGGUGGCAUUGUCCUUACAGUGGCUGAUUUGAAGGCCAAUACCGAGUACACUGGCUACACAUCAUCAUCUGAUGUUGUUAAAUGGUUCUGGGACGUGGUUGAAAGUUUCGACAAGGAGGACAUGGCAAGACUGCUGCAAUUUGUGACUGGAACAUCAAAGGUAACUGUUUGUACUACAAAAGAAAUAUGAAAAUAGUAUAUAUACUUCUCCAUAUCCGCUGGUUCACGACUAAAAGGGAUUUUGUAUGUGCUUUUGUACUUUCUGAGUGUAUGCGACCCCUCUUUUCCCUUGUCCCAUCCCUUUUUCCCAACAACCCAACCCCUCCCUUUAUAAUGUUCAUAACUUUUUUAAAGGGUCCGUUGAAGUGUGACUUGCGUUGAUUUUACCUUGAUAUCAUUUGUCAAUUUCAUUUCCUUUUUUUCACAGGGUCCGUUGGAAGUGUGACUUGCGUUGAUUUUACCUUGAUAUCAUUUGUCAAUUUCAUUUCCUGUGAACAUGGUUUUUCACAAUGCGCAUGUUGUCUCAUUGAACUUUGCCAUUGUAUAAUGAUUGGAGAUGGCAUGCGUAGCUAAUGAUUUAAAUGUAUGCUUGCAACAUGAUGCAUAUGUGGGGGCAAAUUUUUGUACUCGGUAAAACUAACAUAUUUGUGACUUUCAGGUUCCAUUGGAAGGUUUCAGGGCUUUGCAAGGUAUCUCUGGUCCUCAGAAAUUUCAGAUCCACAAGGCUUAUGGAGCUCCUGACAGGCUACCUUCUGCUCAUACAUGGUUAGUGUAAACAUAAUUUGAAAAAGUUAGUUUCUUUGAAAAAGUCAGUUUCUUUGUCCCCUUCACAUUCUCGUCAAGCUCGAUGUUUCUAAUGUAGUCCUAUGUCUUUUCCAGCUUUAACCAGCUAGACCUUCCUGAGUACACCACCAAAGAACAGCUUCACGAACGAUUGAUACUUGCUAUUCAUGAAGCUAGUGAAGGAUUUGGCUUUGGUUGACAGAAGGAAUCUCAGCAGAUAUUUCCCCAGCAUUCCAGUCAUCGGUCGUAUAGUUAGCAUGUACAUGUCAGUUCGACAUCUUUUUUCUUUCCUUAUUUCGAAAACCUUGGUUAAUCUUUUCUGAAAUCAACUUAAUUGUAAUUCGUUUGUUUCUUUCUUAUUCUCCACCAUUCUUUGCGCAGAUGAAAGAACCCGGUUCCUGAAUUUUGUCUUCCAGUAUUACAGCAACUUCUGAGGAAACCGAUGAUGGAUUUUGUAAAGAAUUCCGAAAGCAUUAUCUAUUGACGGGAGGCCGGCAAGCUUCUCAGGUGACAAUGGAUUGGAAUCUUAGAAAUUCUUUAGCGAAUUCUUUACAUGUCGGAAAAUUGGGGAUUCGGUACAGAUGGACGUGGAUAGAAAAUCUGUUUUGGUGUUCAUAGUAGAUAUCUGUUUUAGAUUAGUCAGUUUUCACUUUCUCCGACCUGAAUGUUUGGUAAUAAGCCUAGGAACAUAUUUAUGUAUAUGUAAUUCCAGAUGGUUUCUUUUGGGUUUCAAUUUAUUUAAAGGCGAGAAGGUGAUUCCAAUUUUGCUCCUUCAAUUUUAUUUGUGCACUCGGACAUGCUGACAUGCCCUCUUGUUCGUGGUUCUUGCGAGAGAAACUCGUCUGGCUUUGGCGGUAUCCUAAGCCAAACCGUGUUUUGUCAUUUGCUAAUGGCAAUGCAUGAUUAGCUUAGGAUACUGUAACAAUUACAUCCUCUUUCCUGAAAGUCCUCGUGAUUUGCCGGAUUCGUAACCAUUUUUCGACAAUGCAGUACGCAAAGGGGAGUAUUCUGGCCAAUUUGCCUGACUCGCGUAUGCACGACACCAUCCGUGUAGCCUUUUUGCCAUGAUUUUCUGUAAUUUUUCUUUGAACGUUCUAGAAAAUUAUGCUUAAAAAAGCUCCACACUUGAAAAUUUAUUAGUUUUCACGAAUGGAGCAAAAAUGCUUGAUUUUCCGUUGACAUUUGCUUUGAAAUACAGAGAAAAGAAGGGAUAAGAAAGGAAGGGUUUGUUCGACAUUGCCUUUGGAUGCUUUAGGCAACGUACAAUGUGGUUAGGAUUAUAAAAACAUUUUUUUAGUACUUUUGGGACAAGGUUCUUCGAUAAGUACUUCUAAAUGCUGUUCCACAAGAAAUUGGAUUCUUCAUGAAGAAAAUGGAAGUGUUGUUGCAUUCUCGUUUUCACCUCUACACUUCCACGUCCACCCCACCUCAGCCGUACAAUUGAUCCUAAUGACCAGUUUGGCACUCACCCCCUCCUACUCCACUGUGUUCCUAGAGCUAUUCUUUCCAGAAACGUCCCCAGUGAUCGCAAAGACGAGCGAAGGGAUGAGCAUUACUAUCUGCAUUAUGACAACCAUGCUUUUGAUUUGUACUGCAAGCUAGAAUUUCCAAUUGUUCCCAAGAUGAACGAAUCAAUUCGCGUGGUUGGCAUCUGUAAUGGGCUGGUGUUCCUUGCAGUUGCAGAUGAUACACUCACUUUGGCUAACACCUUCAUAAUAUUCAACCCAUCUAUGAGAAAGUCGGUGACCCUUCCUAAGCCGACAAUUGGUCGGUACCGUACUUGUAUUGGUUUUGGGUUUGACGCUGUGACUAAUGACUACAAAGUUGUGAGAUUUGUCACUGAUCGUCCGAAUACUUUUCAUGAGGAUUAUUCACUUGCUGGAGGCUCAUGGAGUAAUCCUCGUUCUUUGGAUCAUGUGUGCGAAGUUAUGGAUCCUCUCAAAUCCCAAGCUUUUGUAAAUGGGGCGAUUCACUGGGGGGCAUGGCGCCGCUUAACAAACAGUUAUGAAUAUAUCAUUUUGGCAUUUGACGUGGGCAGCAAUUCAUUUCACAGGAUCAUGGUGCCAAUGAGUUUCAGUAACUCAUGGACCGCGCAAUUGUCUGUUUCAGGUGACGGGAAAUCCAUUGCUCUGUUCCAGCCUUAUUUCAUCUGUAUUGGAGAGCCUCGUCUUAUUGUGAGUUCUUAUCCUCCGUUAUUGACUGUUUCGUUUUUGUUGUAUUUCCUCACUCACUCUGUGUCUACGAAAUUGGCAGCCGGGGAAGUGAAGUUUGAAGCAAUGGUUAGCAGUUUGCCCAAGGAAAUCGUACAUGAUAUCGACUACCUCCUAAAGCUUUGAUCAGGUGCACCUCGGUGUGCAAGCCUUGGAACUCCACGAUAAAAAAAACCCCCAGCUUUAUUCGCACCCAUCUCAGUCGUAACAUCACUCUUAAUAACCAGCUUGGCACCCACCUCCUCCUUCUGCACUGUGUUCGCGGAGACAAUCCAGUGCAGCAGAAUUAAUAUUUGCAUUAUGAUAACCCUGGUUUUGAUGAGUACUGCAAGCUACAAUUUCCAAUUGUUCCCAAGCGCAAUAGAUUCCUUCGCGUGGUCGGCAUUUGUAAUGGGUUGGUCUUCCUUGCAGAUGACAGACUCCAUUUAGGUUACACCUUCAUAAUAUUCAACCCGUCGAUAAGAAAGUCAGUGACCCUUCCAGAGCCUCACCUUGCCUUCGACACAAUUGGCCCGUAUUCCGCUCUUGUUGGGUUUGGUUUUGAUGCUGUGAUCAAUGACUACAAGGUUGUGAGACUCCUGACCGAUCAAUGCGAGGAUCCAAAUACUUUUUAUGAGGUUUAUUCACUUGCUAGAGGCUUGUGGAGUAGUCCUCGUUCUUUUGACCCCGUUUGUAAAGUUUUUGAUUCUCUCAAAUUUCAGACUUUUGUGAACGGGGCUGUUCAUUGGCAGGCACGGCGCUGCUUGGACGAUGGCCGUUAUCAAAAUUUCAUUUUAGCAUUUGAUGUGGACAGUGAGUUAUUUCACGAGAUAAAGGUGCCAAAGAGUUUUAGACAGGAUAAACCAUUAGAUUAUCACCUGUCUGUUUCAGGUGAUGGAAACUCCAUUGCUGUGUUCACGAUGCCGCGGGGUCGUAAUUGUACUGAGGAUUUUCUUGACAUAUGGGUGAUGACAGAGUAUGGCAUCGAGGAUUCAUGGGCCAAACUGAUAACUCUAAGUCCACCGGAUCCAGAAAGCAGGGUGCCCUACAAGCCCUUAUGUUUUAGGAAGAGGGGUGAAGUAGUGUUGGUAUCGACUGAUGACUAUGGCAAUAUGCAUGAAUUAGUUUCUUUAGACCUUGUGAGCAAACAAUUUAAAAAUCUUGGGAUUCGCGGAUAUGGAUAUUACUAUGCUGAACCUUAUGAGGAGAGCCUCGCCUUACUUGACAAUGUCGAUGCAGUUUCUUACAGAGGAGCAGAUCAGGUAAUGUUAUAUCUAGCAUUGGUCUUCCUUUUUGUUUGGAUUUUCUUCUUGUUAUAUAUUUACGUCCAAGGUUCCAACUGUGUGUGACAUGAUAUGAGCUUUAACCCCAGAACAAAGUUAUAUGUGUGUUAAUUUGUUACUUGAUUUAAUUACGCAUAGCUUGCUGAAGUGUAAUCGUUGACAUCAUUCAUUCGCCCUUCGUGCAGGUAGAAAAAGAUGAGGCAGAUAGAUUUCAAGUCCUUGACGAUGCCGUUGUAAUGAAUGUGCUCAAUCUGCUGCUCAGUCAUCGUUUAUCUUGACUAUAUCACUUGUAUUUUGACGUCGACUAGUAAAAAGACGUCGCAUGUGUUGUGCUAGGAUAGCACCAAACCCGUUGGAACCAACUCAAGCUAACCCACAGGAAAUUUAUCAAAUGAAAAUGCAAGAACAAAAUAUUAAAGAACACCAAGAUUUUAACGAGGUUCCUCAACAGUCAGUGUAACUGGAGUACGUCCUCGGAGCAGUAGGAGCUCACCCAAUAAUCCACUAUCAACCAAAUGGGAGUUUACAAAGUGUUGGCAAUCUCACAACCCAAAUAACCCAAUACACCCAAUAUCUCUCACACACCAAAGAAACAAAUAGAAGAAGAAAUAUAAUGAAUAAGUUAUUCUCUAUACAUAUAGCUCAAAGCUAUUACAACAACACCUAUUUUGGUGGAUGAUUACUAACCAAAUGAAGCAGCAGCUUCUUCUUCCUUUUGGGCUCUCUGCAGAAAAAAACUCUAACUUCUCUCUGCAGCUCUCUCUUCUCUCUUCAGCUCUCUCAACUGAAAAAUGAGAGUUGCAUCUCUUUUCUUCUAUCCGAAACAAACCUCAAUAAUUAUGGUUAAUAAAAAAACCACAAAAGAAAAAAAAACAUCAUCAUGAUGUCUCCUCAUCAUGAUGUUUCCUCAUCAUUUUGUCUUUCUUUUUCUUUUGCUUUUUUUAAUAGCCGAAAGUAUUGGCCAUAAUUCAACAAUCUCCACCUUGGCCAAAUUUCGAAAACACCAUGAUAAGCCACCAACACAAUCAACACAAAAAAAAUCACUCCCAAACACUAGCAAGAGAACAACUCAUGCCGAGCCAAAUGCUCCAAAACUCCUACUACUCAACGCCUUCUUUAUAUAGGCAAAAUGUGAGCCAAGUUCAAACAAUGAACAAACUUGGCUACACCAACAACCUUAGUCAACAUAUCAGCGGGGUUGUCUUUAGUUGGAAUCUUCUGGAGAAUGAUUUCCCCUUCACCAACAAUUUCACGAACAAAGUGAUAACGCACAUCUAUGUGCUUGGUCCUCGCAUGAUGAACCUGAUACUUAGCCAAAUAAAUGGCACUCUGACUAUCACAAUGUACCUCCACCUGCUUCUGAUCAACCCCCAAAUCUCUAAUCAGCCCAUGUAUCCAAAUGGCCUCCUUUAUAGCUUCAGCAACUGCCAUAUAUUCAGCCUCUGUAGUAGACAAGGCAACAGACGACUGCAAAAUAGACCUCCAACAAACUGGUCCUUUAGCCAUAGUAAACACAUAGCCUGUAGUAGACUUCCUACCAUCCAGAUCACCUGCAUAAUCUGAAUCAACAUAACCAACUGCAAAAUGACCAAUACCAGAGUCAUCUCUCUCAAAGCAUAAACCAACAUCUUGAGUACCAUGGAGAUACCUCAAUAUCCACUUAACUGUUUGCCAAUGCUCUUUACCUGGAUUAUGCAUAUAUCGACUCACCAUGCCAACUGCAUGAGCAAUAUCCGGUCUAGAGCAUACCAUUGCAUACAUCAAACUACCAACCAAAUUUGCAUAUGGUAUAUUUUUCAUUUGCAGCUUCUCUUUAUCAGUUUUAGGACACUGUAAAGAACUCAAUUUAAAAUGAGGAGCCAAAGGGGUACUAACCGGUUUGGUUGAAUCAUGAACUCCAAAUUUCCGAAUCAACUUUUCAAGAUAUUGUCUUUGAUUCAAACUGACCAAACCCUUCUCUCUAUCUCUAGUGAUCUCCAUGCCAAGGAUCUUCUUCGCUUCACCAAGAUCCUUCAUCUCAAACUCAUUCUUCAUUUGCUUCUUCAAUUUCUCAAUCUCUUCAACAUUCUUUGAGGCAAUCAACAUAUCAUCAACAUAUAUCAACAAAUAAAUGAAAGACCCAUCUUGCAACUUCUUGAAGUACACAAAAUGAUCAUAUUGACUUCUAGAAUAAUUUUGGCCUCUCAUAAAUUUAUCAAACCUCAAAUACCAUUGCCUUGGAGAUUGCUUCAAGCCAUAUAGUGAUUUCUUCAAUUUGCAAAACAAGUUCUCCUUCCCUUUCAUUAUAUACCCAUCCGGUUGACACAUAUAGAUCUCUUCAUUCAAAUCACCAUGUAGGAAAGCCGUCUUCACAUCGAGUUGCACAAGCUCAAGAUCAUAUUGUGCAACAAGGGCUAACAUAAUACGAAUUGAGGAGUGCUUCACAACUGGAGAAAAUAUUUCAUUGUAGUCAAUGCCCUCCUUUUGUGCAUACCCUUUAGCAACUAAUCUUGCUUUAAAUCUCACAUUGCUUUUCUCAUCAUCAUCUUCCUUCUUGGCAUACACCCAUUUGCAACCAAUAGCUUUCUUGCCCUUAGGCAAUUUAGCUAACUCCCAAGUCUUGUUCUUCAAGAGAGAAUUCAUCUCAUCACCCAUGGCAUUGCACCACCUCUUCUUCUCCUCACUCUCAAUAGCUUCCUCAAAAUUGGAUGGAAUCUCUUCAGUGAUAAUAGGAAGAGCAAAAGCAACAUAGUCACUAUACCGAGCUGGCUUGGUAAUUUGUCUCUUUCCUCUGUUCUUGGCAAUAGACUCUUGAGGUGAAACUUGCUCUUCAACUUGAAUAGAAUCUUCAAGUUCAACUUCUUCAACAUCCUCAUGGUCUCCAACUUCCUCACUUGUAGUGGCUUCGACAUCAGCGGAAAUAGGAUUUGAAGUACCAGAGGCAACUUUCUCAAGCUCCACCUGUUGGACAUUUUUCACAUUCUUCUCAGAGCCUUUGUACAUACUUUCUUCAUCAAAUGUCACAUCUCUGCUGAUUACAAGUUUCUUCAAUUCUGGGCACCACAACCUGUAACCUUUGACACCACUACUAAAACCAAGAAAGAUAGCCUUUUUGGCUCUAGGAUCAAGUUUAUUUUCAGUUACAUGAAAAUAAGCAGGUGAACCAAAAAUAUGAAUAUGAUCAUAAUCAGAAGAAGGUUUUCCAGUCCAUACCUCCAUUGGUGUCUUACCCUGAACAGCAGCUGAGGGUAACCGGUUGAUGAUGUGACAUGCAUAAUUAACUGCCUCUGCCCAAAAUGACUUGCUUAAACCCGAUUGAGACAACAUACAUCUAACCUUCUCAAGCAAGGUUCGAUUCAAUCUUUCUGCAACUCCAUUUUGUUGUGGAGUUCCUCGAACACUGAAAUGUCUCACAAUUCCUUCCUCUUUGCAAACUUUAAAGAAAGGAUCGGAUGUGUAUUCACCACCAUUAUCCGAUCUCAAAAUCUUAAUCUUUCUCCCAGUCUGAUUCUCAACCAUUUUCUUCCAACCCAAGAAAAUGCACAACACCUCACUCUUGUGCUUCAUAGUGUAGACCCAAGACCUUCUUGAAUAAUCAUCAACAAAUGUCACGAACCAAUGUCUACCACUCAAAGAGGGAGUCUUUGUAGGACCCCAAACAUCCGAAUGCACAUAAUCAAGAAUGCCCUUUGUCUGAUGUACAGCAGUACCAAACUUCACUCUAGUUUGUUUCCCCAAGACACAAUGCUCGCAGAAAUCAAGCUUACAAGUCGUGGCACCUUUUAGAAGACCUUGUUUCACAAGCCCUUGUAGAGCUUUCUCACCGGCAUGGCCUAAUCUCAUAUGCCACAGUCUAGUAGUAUCUGAAUCAGAUGUGCCCAUAUUUUCAGAGACUACAGAUGCUUCACCUGUCACAGUGCUUCCCUGCAAUAAAUACAAAUGACCACAUCUAGGAGCUUUCAUCACAACAAGUGCACCAUAAGUAACUUUCAAUGUCUGUCCAUCUGAAUGAAACCUGAAACCCUUGGAUUCCAAAGUACCCAAAGAAAUAAGAUUUUUCUUCAAAUUCGGUACAUACCGAACACCUGUCAACUCUUUAACCAUGCCAUCAUGCAACUUCAAACGAACUGUACCAAUCCCUUUUGUUGUGCAAGGAUUGUCAUCUCCCAUGAACACAACGCCACCAUCAAACUCUUUCAAGCUUGAAAACCAAUCUUUGUGAGGAGUCAUAUGAUGAGUACAACCCGUAUCUAACACCCACUUAGUAGCACAAUCAAAUGAUGAGGAAGUGGUUAAAGCAAAAUCAGAAAAAUCUGUUUCAACCUCAGCAACAUUAGCUUCAGAACUUUCUUUUCCUUUGGUCUUCAACUUAGGACAAUCUUUCUUCCAAUGGCCCUUAUUAUGACAAAAGGCACAUUCAUCCCUUUCUAAAUGUUUUCUACCUUUAGAGUUUCCUCUAGGUCGAGACUGUGAUUUUUUCCUACUAGUAGAGGACCUCCUCUCCGAUGAUCUACCUCUAACAAAUAAAGCUUCAGAGGUACUAUCAUGAUUUUUAUCUCUAUGCCUCAUUUCAUAAUUCAUCAAGGCAUUUGACACAUCUUCAAAUUUCACAGUUUCUUUACCAUGCAUAAUAGUGGUAACAAAAUGCUCAUAAGAGUCCGGCAAUGAAUUCAACAAUAUUAAGGCCUUAUCUUCAUCCUUAAUAUCCUCAUCUAAAUUUAACAAGUCGGCAAUCAACUUAUUAAAAGCAUCAAGGUGUCUAAUCAUUUUUGUACCUUCUUUGUAUUGGAAGCGGUAGAGCUUUUUCUUCAAGUGUAGCCGGUUCUCUGCAUUCUUCGUCAUAUACUUGUCUUCCAAUUUUUGCCACAACACACUUGCUACCGUCUCCCACAUCACAAAAUACUUCUGAGUUUUUGCAAGGCACAACCGAAUUGAAGAGCAAGCCCACAAAUUUAAUUUCUCCCAUUCCGACUUCGACAUAGCUUCCGGUUUUUCUCCCAAAACGGCAAGUAGAUCUUGUUGAGCCAACACAUCUUUAACCUCACAUUGCCACAUCCCGAAGUUGUUUGUGCCAUCAAACUUUUCCACUUCGAACUUUGCAUUUUGCACCGUAGUUCUUGCAAACCCGGAGGUGCUUCCAAAAGGAUUUUCAUCUUGCCCAUCUGACAUCUUUGGCAACUAGACAGUACCCAAGAGCAACCAGUGCUCUGAUACCAAUUGUUGUGCUAGGAUAGCACCAAACCCGUUGGAACCAACUCAAGCUAACCCACAGGAAAUUUAUCAAAUGAAAAUGCAAGAACAAAAUAUUAAAGAACACCAAGAUUUUAACGAGGUUCCUCAACAGUCAGUGUAACUGGAGUACGUCCUCGGAGCAGUAGGAGCUCACCCAAUAAUCCACUAUCAACCAAAUGGGAGUUUACAAAGUGUUGGCAAUCUCACAACCCAAAUAACCCAAUACACCCAAUAUCUCUCACACACCAAAGAAACAAAUAGAAGAAGAAAUAUAAUGAAUAAGUUCUUCUCUAUACAUAUAGCUCAAAGCUAUUACAACAACACCUAUUUUGGUGGAUGAUUACUAACCAAAUGAAGCAGCAGCUUCUUCUUCCUUUUGGGCUCUCUGCAGAAAAAAACUCUAACUUCUCUCUGCAGCUCUCUCUUCUCUCUUCAGCUCUCUCAACUGAAAAAUGAGAGUUGCAUCUCUUUUCUUCUAUCCGAAACAAACCUCAAUAAUUAUGGUUAAUAAAAAAACCACAAAAGAAAAAAAAACAUCAUCAUGAUGUCUCCUCAUCAUGAUGUUUCCUCAUCAUUUUGUCUUUCUUUUUCUUUUGCUUUUUUUAAUAGCCGAAAGUAUUGGCCAUAAUUCAACAGCAUGUACUCCGGAUUUUCUCCGGAUGCCUUGUGAUAUAUGCCGGAUGCUGGCUAGAGGAGAACAUUUUUCCUUCAGUUUGUCUGCUAAUUUACAGUCCUAGAAGAAGUUACUUAUCAUAACAUGUUGCCAAUGUUCAUGGAUAUAUACCGUUAUAUUAAUGAGUUUCUUUGAAAUUGUUUGUGAUAUUUUCGUGCCAAAUAGGACGAGAAGAAAAUUGCAUAUCUCAGUUUUUUAGCUCUCAUAAAGAUUUAUGUCUCUCUCGUUGCGAAACUUAUACUAUAAUUUUUGCUCCUAUGGUCUAUCAAAAUAAUAAUAUUUCAGUAGAUACUUAGUAGUUUAUUACCGUAAAUUUUGUGUUCAACUGAAAGCAGGGAGAACAAUGUGUACCUUUUUCUUUUCUUUUUUCCCAAUGAAUUUUUUAACUUCUUCCUCUACAACUAGGGGUGGGCAAUUGGAACCGAAAACCGAAACCGAAACACGAAUCGAAUCGAACCGCACCAAACGGUUUGGUUUUGCGGUUUUGAAACGGUUUCGGUUUCAAAACCAAACCGUGGCACACAAAACGGUUUGGUUUCGGUUUUGGGUUUUCAAAACCGCACCGAAACCAAAACCGCACCGUAUAAUAAAUAAUAAAACAAAUGUUAUAUAACUUAUAAUUUAAACUUUUCAACUAGGUUAUAACUUAUAGGUUUGGUUUUGCCGUGGGUUUGCACUUUGACUUAACUGCUUCUGCUUGCAUCUCUACUUCUGCCUUUGCAAUUGCAUUUUUGUUGCAUUAUUUUUUAGUGCAAUUUUGUGCAGUUUUGGUGCAGUUUUUGGUGCAGUUUUGCUGCUGUUUUUUAUGCAGUUUUGCUGCAUUUUUUUGGUGCAGUUUUGUGCAGUUUUGGUGCAGUUUUUGGUGGUGUUUGGGUGCAGUUUUUGGUGGUGUUUUGCUGCAGUUUUUUUUCUUCAGUUUUGACUCUUUUUUGCUGCAAUUUUACUGCAUAUUCAUUAAUUAAUAUACGAGGAAAAUAAGACCGUUUUAUGCAUAAAUAGGUGUAUAUUUUAAAUUGUACAUUUUUUUUCUCAAAAACCAAACCGAAACCGUUUGAAACCGCACCGCACCGAACCAAACGGUUUGGUUUUAUUUCGGUUUUGGCUUCAAAACCGCACCGCAAAAUGUUUCGGUUUCGGUUGUGGUUUCACUCGAAACCGCACCGCGCCCACCCCUAUCUACAACCCUUGCAUGUAGGUUUGGCAGUAAAAGAAGAGUUUCAGCGCAAUUAAAAUAAGGUUUUUUUAGCCAAAAUGGUCCCUGAAAUUUCAAAUCAAUAGAAGUGAUCCAUGAGAUUGUCUACUAUCCAUCAUUUUGGUCAUUCCGUUAAAAACUCCUUUAAGUGUCCCGGAGCUGUUGGCCGGAAGUUUUGGCAAUUUUCAAAGCUUCGUAACUCAAUCGUUUCUUAACCAAAUUUGACCCAUAAUAUAUCAAAAUGAAGAUAGGAAAGUGUAGAAUAAGAUUAUAACUAUUUAGAAGCCCAAUGGUUGCCGGAGAUGGUCGGAAAAUAGCCUCAAAGUUGACUGGUCCGAGGGAAAACUGGAAAACUGGCCGGAAACUGGGUAAACUUUAAAAGUUCAUAACUUCUUCAAUACUCAACGAAAUCAAGUGAUUCAAAAACAAAAAUCAUACUUCUCAAUGAGACAAAGAGAAUGGAACCUUUUUCAAUGGCUAACUCGCAGUGGUUUGGCCGAAAAACGGCUCAAAAUUGGCUAACUCGAGCCUAAGGCAGCCACUUUCGAGCCGUUUUCCGGCCAAACCACGGCGAGUUAGCCAUUUCAAAAGAUACCAUUCUCUUUUUCUCAUCGAGAAGUAUGAUUUUCAUUUUUGAAUCACUUGAUUUCGGUGAGUAUUGAAAAAGUUACGAACGUUUAAAAUCUACCCAGUUUUCCAGUUUUUCCUCGGACCAGUCAACUUUGAGGCUAUUUUCUAAUCAUCUUCGGCAACCAUUGGGCUUCCAAAUAGGUAUAAUCUUAUUCUACACUUUCCUAUCUUCAUUUUGAUAUAUUAUGGUCGAAUUUGGUUAAGAAAGAUUGAAUUACGAAGCUUUGAAAAUUGCCCAAACUUUCGGCCAAGAGCUCUGGGACAUUUAACGGAAUUUUUAACGAAAUGACCAAAAUAAUGGAUGGUGGCCAAUCUCAGGGACCAAAGUGAGGAGUUAUACAAAUCUCAGGGAUCAUUUUGGCUAAAAAGCCUUAAAAUAAUGGCGAACUAGUCUUUCGUUUUUUUAUGAACAAUAGGAUAAUCUACACUAAAUUAUUUUUUCGUCUUUUGUUAAAGGAUACAUUAAUUGAAAAAAAAAAACUUGAAGUGUUUGGGAUCAUUUAAAUUCCAAUUUCAAUAUAGCUAUUGGUUUAAGUAACAUAAUUUUUAGUUUAGGUACCAAUGAAAAAAAUCAACUAAAAUAAUUCUAUAAAUACUAUUAUAAUUCAAAAUAAUUAUAUAAUUGCUACGUUUUCCGACCAGCCAACUGUAUUCGCAACCACCUCACCCUUACUGUCAAUCUUAAUAACCAGGUUUCGACUAACCUCCUUGUACGGCAUUGUGUUUGCAUACAUGAGCCAAGGGAGGAGCAUUACUAUUUGCAUAUGAUAAAUAACCAUGUUUUUUAUGAGUACCGUUGGCUAGAAUUUCCAAUCAUUCCGAAGGGAUAAUCAAUCAAUUGCUUAUUAAAUAUUAUUUUCUCUAUUCUUAAUGUAAAUUUUAUAAUGACCGAUUUUAUUAUGUUAAUUACUUUAAUUAGUUUAUUAGAGGUUUCUUCUAGUAUAAUAUAAGAAUAUUUAUUUAUUUCCAAUAUUUAACUUUCCUUUUAUCAAUUUAUGCAUAUAAAUACAUUUAAAACGUGUAAGUCGCGCGUAGCACGUCGUGAUUCAAAAAAUGUCCUCUGCAUAAAGGCUAGUAAAGAGAAAGUAAAAAGAGGAAUCUGUCUUUUUGGGCAGAAAGAGGAAGACUUGUUAUAGUCUUUCAACACCUAAUCAUCAUCGCAAUUUGAAGAGCCUCGACUAGAUAAGAAGACGUCGCAUGUACUCGGGAUUUUCUCCGGGAUGCCUUGUGAUAUUCUGAUAUUGCUGCUGGAAAUAAAUGUUGGAACUUGUGAGUGGGACUUAGUCCCACAUCGCCCAAACACAUGGUGGAAGUCCACUUUAUAAGUCUUUUCCUUCCUUUAUGGUUUGAAAAGAAUUGGUCCAAAGCUAUGGACAUUGGCCUUACAAAUGGAGGUUUGAGUGUAUAUAUUAAGGGUAAAAGACUGUUUACUACCCUAAUGUUUCGUGGUUUUCAACAUUUAGUACAUCAUGUUUUUUUCGUCUCAGAGUCAUACCUAAAGUGUAAAUUUUGGGACAGUCUCAUACAUCCGUUAGUCAAACUGUUAAGUUUUUCGUUAACUGUGACGUGGCGCACUGAGUGGGCGUCAUCCACGUGUCAUGUUUUUUUUUUUUUUUUUUUUUUUUUUUUUUUUUUCUUCUUCUUCCUUCUUCUUGCUCCGACUGCAACUUUCUGUUUUUUUUUUUUUUUUUUUUUUUUUUCUUUCCUUUUCCUUCUUCCUUCCUUUUUCCUUUUUUUUCUUCCCCUUCUUCCUUCUUCUUCUUCUUCUUUCUUCCUCCGAAUUCUUUUUUUUUUUUUUUUUUUUUUUUCUUCUUCUUUCCUUCUUCCUUCCUUCUUCCUUCUUUCUUCUUCUUCUUCUUCUUCUUCUUCUUCUCCGAAAUCAGAUUCAUUUUUCUUUCUUUCUUCUUCCUUCUUCUUCUCCUUCUUCCUUCUUCUUCCCUUCUUCGUUCUUCUUCUUCUUUUCUUUUGGGGGAAGAUGAAAGUGUUUUUUUUUUUUUUUUGAGGAAGAAGAUGAAGAAGAGAAAGAAGAAAGAAAAAAAAGAAAAAAAAGAAAAAAAAAAAAGGAAAAAAAAAAAAAAAAAAGAAUGAAGGAAGAAAAGAAGAAGAAAAAAAAAAAAAAAAAAAAAAAAAAAAAAAAAAAAAAAAAAAAAACGAAAAAAGUGGAUGACAAAGAAAGAAACGAAGAUGGGUGAGAGCAAAACUAAAAAAAAACAAAAAACCACGGAGGAAGAAAAACAACUGUAAAAAAAUAAAAUUACACUUUUGAUCUCUGAGACGAAAAAAAACUUGAUGUACUAAAUGUUGAAAACAAAACACGAAAAAUUAGGGUAGUGAAAACAAACUCAGUUCUUUUACCCAUAUAUAAUAAAUAAGAAGGCCUUGGAAAGGAUAAAACUGAAAUAUCAAAGAUGGGCCUUGGAAAGGAUAAAACUGAUGACGAACAGUUCCAACCGUUCUAAAAACGGUACACUUGACAUUUGAUUUGUUUUAACAAUAAACAUUUUUCCUUCAGUUUGUCCGUUCUACCUAGAAAAAAGUUUGCAGUUAUCACAACAUGCCAAUAUUCAGUUAAUAUACUUAAUGAGUUUCUAUGAAAAUGUUCUUGAUAUUUUCGUGCCAAAUGGUGAGUGCAUUAUCUAUUUGUUCUAGCCUUGAUUUCUAGUUGCCCUCCAACCAUCAACGUUGCUUUUGCUUAAUUGCCAACCUUUCAUCUCUUAUUGUGCUUUCUUCUCAAUAUUCUCACACCUUCGUAGGACGAGAAGAAAAUUGUAUAUCUCAGUUUUAUAGCUCUAAUAAGAUUUAUAUCUCUCUCGUUACAAAACUUUUACAUUAAGUUUUCCUCCCAUGGUGUAUCAAAUAAUAAUAUUUCAGUAGAGACAUCUAUUACCAUAAAUUUUGUGCAAUUGAAAGCAGCGAGAACAAUACCUAUUAUUUUAUUUUAUUUUAUUUUUUCUCAAAGAAUUUUUUUGGUCAUUUUCCUCUGCAACCCUUGAGUUUCAAUCAACCCACACCCACUUUAUUUAUAAGAGUAAGGAGAACAAAUUUUUAAACCAAAUUUUGUAAAUAAAAUGAUACAUUACCAAUAGAAAAUAAGUACGUUAAUUAAUACUUGAAUAAUUUAGUCUCUCUAGCAUUAUCUUUAAAAUAAUGGCAAACUAAUUCUUUUGUUUUUUUUUUACGAAUGAUAGAAUAAUCUAUAUUAAACUAUUGUUUCGUCUUUUUUUCUUUUCUUUUUGUGAACGAUAAGACAAUAAACAAUUGAGAAAUUUUAUUUGAACUCAUACUUUGUAUCUCAACACUCAACUUACUUUUUAUAUUCACAUUGUAUUUGAUUUAUCUAUCAUUAUUUAUUUACACCCAACAUUAUUUUCGAAAUCGCCCUUACUUAUCAAAACCCAACUCAAUCAAACUUCUUUUUACACCCAACUCAAUCUACUUAAAAAUAAAAAAAAUUAAAACUCUAACCAGUCUAUCAUCUUCAUGGAGCAAAUCCCCUUCUCCCUCUUUAAAAAUCCUUCCAUCUCCCAUGGUUGUCAUUCUGCACCCCCAUCUACUUCUCCGUAGUCACUAUUUGGACCCGAUUUUAUACCAUCGGCCCAAGCGAUCGAGGCUGUUGAGUGAGCAUGGUUCUUAACCGUCAAUUAAGAUAAUUUGAUAUUGUUAAGAGAUAAUAUUAUGGUUUUUAAUCAUAAUAAUUAUCUUUUAAUAAAUUAUCUCAAUUUUCUUGUACAAAAUAAAUGGAAUGCAAAUCAUAACCUCAACGUAGAGGCAAGCAGAACAGUCCGAGUUAAUUUGGAUUUGUUAGCAGUGUACUAUGUGAAAUUAGAGCAGCUUGGCUUGGACUCUUCACGUGGCAUAACAUGGAUCUGCAAGUUUUGGAUAAUGGUGAAUAGAAAACCUAAGUAGGUUAGGUUGUUUGAUGAAUGUUGUCAGACGGAUAGGCUUUUGGAUGGGUGAUGGGUUAGGUUUUUAUUAGCUUUGAAAAGUCAACCAUUUGAAGAUAGGCUUUAAGCCUAUGUCACGGAUCAGUUUGAGUUUCAGUCGGUUUCUUCUUAUUAUCCAGGCCGUGCCAAACAGAAAAUAUGUUCAUAUAAAUACAGAGGUAAUUGCAACGCAUAGAGGACCUCCAACUCAACACACAAACUGCCAUGCGUAAACCCUUGCUCUACGCGAAACCUUUCAAACAUCUUGAGAUUUUUUAUUUUCUUUUUCGCCAACACAUCUUUAGUUUGGAUAAAUAGCACUAUGAAGGCAACCGAUGAAUAUCUUCAGUUUGGAUAAACAACAUUGUUACCGUAGAAUUAGCCGACCACAGAGCACCUUCAGUUUGGAUAAACAGCACUGCGUCAAGGCCGACUGGUUAUCUAUCCAAGUCUCAGUCGAGAAGGAUUUUGGAAUCCUUAUUGGCAGAUGUCAUCUCAUUAGCCUUUUCGGCCAAGUGAUGUGUUACAAGUUAUUACAUUCAGCACAUUGAAAGCCGAAUUUGAUAUUGAACUUUGCAGAACUAGCAGCCUUGUCUUCAGGCUCUAGAACCCGAAGGCUAAGAGUGUUCCUUCCUCGGCCGCAGUCCCGAGAUUCAAAAGUCAGCAGCGCACCCAACGUAACAUCAACAUAUUUUACUCCUCAGCCGAGCUCGGCCGACGAGUUGGCACGCCUCGCACACAACUGAAUGACGUAGUUAGCUUAUUAAUUACUCGGCUUGCGUGCCACAUAGGCUUAGUAGUUUUUAGGGUCAACAUCACCUAAACCUCUUCCUCUUCCUUUUCUUCAUCAUUUGACAUCUCUAAAUUUCUAGAGCACUAAUUAGCUUAAUAAUCAGUAUGAGCUUCUGGUUAGAGUGUUUAAUGAGUUUGAUAUGUUUCAAUUAAAUGACAAUCUUCUAGCCUCUAUAUUCCUAUAUGUGGUAGAAAAAUGGGUACGUCCAUAAUAACUUUUGGUAGAUCAAUGAAUAUUUUAAAACGUGGAUAUUUAUUAGAUACAAAAGUUGCUGACAACAAUUCACAUUACAUUGAACUGUGGCUAAAAAGUAUAUCGUCUUAGCAUGUUUUAUAGGUGAACUCAUAGCUAAACAGUUUUUAUUGUAAAGCAAAACUUUGGGAAUUGAUCUAACAUGGAUGUGUAAUUGAGUUUAUGCAUUUUAACGAUUAAAAUGAUAAAUAUUUCGACUGUAAAUGGAUUUAAUAUCGUAGUAUCUUUUAGCCUCUAUAUGCCACAAAAGUUGUGGACAAAAAUUCACAAUACAUAGAACUGUGGUUAAAAAGUAUACUGCCUUUGCACGUUUAUAGGUGAACUCAUAGGUAAGCAGUUUUAUUGUUGACCAAAACUUCGGGAAUUGAUCUCACUUGAAUGUAUAAUUGAGCUUAUGCAUUUUAAUGAUUAAAUUCAUAAAUAUCUCAACCACAUAUAAAUUUAAUAUCGUAUUGUCCUUUAACCUCUAUAUUGGUAUCUGUGACAAAAAAAUGGGUACCUCCAUGAGAAAAUUUUGUAGAUCGAUUAAUAUUUUCAAUUUGGAUAUUUAUUAGAUACUAGAAAUUAUAAGUCUAUUUGCGAAAGUCUAAGUCAAUGCCACGUACAAUAUUUGUUAAGAUAUAUUUAGGGAACUGUUAUUAGCACUCCAAAAAUCUCAUUCUACACUCCACACAAGUGUAUUUUUCUUUCUAAUUACAAAAAGUUUGGAAUGCCAAAUGAGAUUUUUGGAGUGCUAAUAACAAUUUUCUAUAUUUAUAUACAUUUUAUUUUUUGGUCGACUUCCCUUUUUUUUUCUUUCUUUAUCAAGUUAGGAGUAUCACUGAUUUUGAACUUGUGCAACUAGUUGUUGAUUCGUUUUGAAUAAUCAACAUUAUUUUUGACAAUGUCUUGGGCGUAUGAAUAAUAGAAAGAAAAUGGUCAUGAUACAAGUUGAAUAGUAGUAAUACUAAUUAGUAAACAAUUUGUGCAUGAUGUUUACUUAUAACCAAGUGGCAUGAAGGGACAAAUGUGUAGGUUUCAUGCAUGACUUGAAAUCGUAUUAGUAAAUGCAUGAUGUUUGCUUAUAACCAAGUGGCAUGAAGGGACAAAUGUGUAGGUUUCAUGCAUGACUUGAAAUAAUAUUAGUAAAUGCAUGAUGUUUGCUUAUAACCAAGUGGCAUGAGGGGACAAAUGUGUAUGUUUCAUGCAUGACUUGGAAUAGUAUUAGUCGUCGGGAGAUUUUGCAUCAAUUUGUUUUUGUUUUUUUUAACCAAGUGGCAUGAAAGGACAAAUGUGUAGGUUUCAUGCAUGACUUGGAAUAAUAUUAGUAAAUGCAUGAUGUUUGCUUAUAACCAGGUGGCAUGAGGGGACAAAUGUGUAUGUUUCAUGCAUGACUUGGAAUAGUAUUAGUCGUCGGGAGAUUUUGCAUCAAUUUGUUUUUGUUUUUGUUUUUAAUAUGUAUAUAUUAAUAUCUAUUUUAAUGGGAUUGCUCUCCACCCCUAAGUUGUGAUAAUGCCUUUAUUUAUCGUUAUUAUGUGAGUUUAAUUAAAUUUUGAGAUUGUGUUUAUCCACUACAUACAUUUAGAAUAUUUUUUUUUUAGUCGAGCGACAACAUUAAUAAGUUAGAUGUUAGAUUAGUCACCGAUAGAAUUCGAACUCACGCCAUCAUGUAAGAGCACAACACUUUUUCACCAUUGUGGUAAAUGGCCACUUGCCAACAAGUUGAUUGGCCUGUGUGACUUUACUAAUACUACUCCAAGUCAUGCAUGAAACAUACACAUUUGUCCCUUCAUGCCACUUGGUUAUAAGCAAACAUCAUUCACAAGUUAUUUGCUAAUUAGUACUACUCUUAUUCAGCUUGUAUCAUGACCGUUUUCUUUCUGUUAUCCAUACGUCCAAGACAUUGUAAGAAAUAAUGUUAAUUAUUCAAAACGAAUCAACAACUAGUUGCACAGGGUCACAGUCAGUGAUAUUCCAAACUUGAUAAAGAAAGGAAAAAAAAAGAAGUCGACUUUCAAACUUGAUUAUUCUACAAAUAUUACUAUAUAGAAUUCAAAUAAUUAUACGAUUGCCAUUUUUUUCGACCUGUCAACUGUAUUCCCAACGACGUUACCCGCACAAUCAAUCUCAAUAACCAGGUUUCCACUAACCUCCUUGUACUCCAUUGUGUUCGCAUACAUGAGCCAAGGGAAGAGCAUUACUAUUUGCAUUCUGAUAAAUGACCAUGAUUUUUUUUAUGAAUAUUGCAGACUAGAAUUUCCAAUCAUUCCCAAUGGAGAAUGGUUCAAUCAUGACAUCAUGAGCUAAGAAUACAAUUUUGAGUUUAAAUUUCUCUCCACAUACAUCACGUUAAUUUAGUUUUUUUUCUACUUUCCUAGCAUGUUCUCUUUCGUGCAUUUUAAAUAGUGACUUAAUAGUGAAAAAACAGAUUCAUAUAGAGAUAUAAGUCUAAAAUUACUUGUCACUAAUUCAGUCACCAAGCUUAAGUCGUCUAUCUUUAAUCUUCAAAAUUAACACAAUAAGCUAGUAAUUUCACUUCAUCAAAAUAUUGCUCAAUGUUGUUUGACUUGUUUCCUUUCUUAAACUUUUAGAUGCUCAUUAAUUAUAUACUAAAAAACCUUGCUCUUCAUCUUCAAACGGAUCAUAAUCCAAUAUAGCUCUGUUACUAAAGGCUGGUUUGGUAUUGCUGCGCUUUGAAAAAAAGCUGUUGUGAGAAUAAGUGGCUGUGCUGUGAGAAUAAGCGGCUGUGAAAUAAAUCAGCAGAGUGUUUGGUAAACUUUUUUGUAAAAGUGCUUUUGGAAAAAAAAAACAGUCUGAUAGUGGGUCUUUUCAUUAAAGGAGCACUGUAGCUCUGUGUGCUUUGAAAAAAAGUCAGUUUUCCAAAGCUGCAAAUAGCAGCUUCAGUUUUUUCCUUUGAUUUCAGCUUAUUCUCACAACAGCUUCCAAAAUAAGCCUUUUUUUUUUUUCAGUUUACCAAACACCUAAAAGCCUCAUAACUUUUUUUGAUAGGUGCCUUUUUUUUUAAGCACCUCACUCCCAAACCCAACCUAAGUAGCAUAACUACAAGUCUGCAAGAUGGCAAAAGCAUAAUCCAUUGUAACUUUGGUAGAUCAGGUGUCGGCAGGAUCAUUUUCUUCUAAAUUCAAGUAGCAUAACUACAAGUCUGCAAGAUGGCAAAAGCAUAAUCCAUUGUAACUUUGGUAGAUCAGGUGUCGGCAGGAUCAUUUUCUUCUAAAUUCGGUGACGGAUGGAUCAUUUUCUUCUUGUUUCAAGUGUUGUGUGACUCAGGUUUUUUUAGAGUCUUUUACAGUUUUAAAUUGAUUGUCUCUACAUCAUCUACUAUGGCCUACAAACAAUUGAAACAAUCACCCUCCCAAAAUAAUAUGAUCGGUGUUGCAAGGGAUUGUAGCUUAGUUGUGUACAAGCAGAUGUUUUUUUUAGUAUAUCGAUAUUUUUUAUAUUAAGGAAGAGAAGAAGUUUGGAUGAGCCACACAAUAGAUAGUCUAAUUUGAUAUUAAAUUUUUCAUUCACGAGAUUCGAACAUAAGACCUCUACUUCUAAGUGAAGAGGAAUAUCACUAGAUCGUAGUACUAAGUAGCGCAAUCAGUCAUUUAUUUGUUGAGAAUAAAUCUUAUAUUAAUGAAAUGAGAGACUUUGUAUGUGCUUAUAAUAAGUAGUUGAGGUACUCUUCCUAUAGUCAAUUGUUUUUAUGGUGGAACUUCAAUCUCUUUUUCUUGCUAUCAAAACAAGUUGUCUCAUGUAUGAAGCAUAACGGCCUCACGUGAUCCACAUCUUUCGAAUUGUAUUAUCCACAUGUUAAACUUGAAAUUUGUCAUACGUAAUGGAAUGAAUCUCAUAUUAAAAAAAGAAAAAAAAAAGAGACUUUGAAAUCUCAAUUUUAUUGUAUUUCCAUCCAAAGUUCUAUAUUUUGAUUUCCCAUCUCCAAAAUCGCUCUUAUAAAGAAAAAGAAAAAGUAUAACGAACGUGUAGGACUUUGGAGAUAAGAAAUCAAAUAAAAAGACAACAAUAUGACCCCACGAUAUGACCCCACGAAAAGUACAGAGAGAAACGAGGAGUCCUUUGUGGUCCGAAAGGUUACAAGUCUUUCAACACCUAAUUAUCAAAAGCAAAUUGCAGCGUUCGAGAGUAGUCUGGAUUAGGGCUGGCAUUUUGAACCCGAUUCGUUAAUCCGAUCCGAUCUGAUCCGUUAAAACUAGUAUUUGGGUGAAUGCUUAACGGGUUAGGUUAUUAACGGGUCAACCCGUUAGUCACCCGUUAAGUAACGAGUUAUUUUGAGUCAACCCGCGAAACCCAUUAGCACCCGUUAACACCCGUUAAGAAGGACUUAUGUGUAAUUUCAUAGUUGGAAUAGAAAACCUAGCUCUCUCUGUUCUCUCACAUUCGAACCCGACUGAGUGGCUGCUGUUCUCUGAGAACUUCUCUCCCUCAUCUUCUUCCUCAAAUUUGGCUGCCGUUCACUAAGUUUGUCAUCCUCUCUCUGGUAAGUUCCGAUUCCCUUUCACCUCUUCUUCCAUGGCGAUUACUUUUCGUUUUUGCAAAUUAUAUUUUUUGUCUAAUUCUCAGUUUUCGCUUGAGCUUGGUUUGAGGUGGUAUUCUUCAGAUGAGCUUCAAAUUAAUUUGGAAUUAGUUGAUUUGUGUUUGAUGAUUUCAAUUGCGAUUGUGCUUUUGUUGUGCAAAUGGUGUUUUCUGUGUGUGAUUGUACUUUUGUUCUCUUCCUUCUCAAGUUAGAUAGAGAGAGAUCUUCCCACUUCUCCAUCCCAUCACACACUUGAUUCAUACACACACACAUACAUACGUUAUUCUUCUAUUAUGGGUUUGAUGGUGAUUGAGGAGGAGAAGCAGGCGGCGGCCAAGCCCUUCGACGAAUUGAGUUUUGAUUAGAAUUGGGUUUUGAUUAAAAUAUGUGUUCUUUUGCCUGAAACAGACUCUGGAUCUGUUGAUUUUCAUAAUCCAUGAAAACAAGUCCCUUCAUCUUCAUCUGAAAACUUCUACGUAGUAAGUUCCUCUUGCAACUAUAUAUGCGAAACUCAUUAUUUAUUAAAGUAAACUGUCGAUUUACCCCCUGAACUUUCACCUCACUUUCGAUUCCCUCUUGAACUUUUCAAUUGGAAAAUUAAGGACUCAAACUAAUUUUUUUAGCCAAUUUGCCCCCUACUGUUAGUUUUUCAUAUAUUCUAUCUAUAUUUCUGUUAAGUGAGACCAUAUGCACAACAUGUGAGGGUAGUUAAGUCAUUUCACUCUUAAAAAUGAUUAAAAAUUUGAAAAUAAAAAAAAAACAAAAUUUUCCCUCUAUUUUUUUCCGCUAAUUCCUAUCAUCGAUUUUAUUUUUCCCUCUCAUUCUUAUGCAUGAGAAAUGACAUAUGGUGUUAUUGUCUACCAUUUUUAUUUUCUCUAACAAAUUAAUAAUUUGACAAAUGCUAAUGGUGCUAUUGUCUCCAAAGCAGUUCAUUAAUAUAAGAAACUCUAGUCUUUUUUAUGGACAUGUUUCUUAUAUUAAUGUACUGCUUUGGAGACAAUAACACUAUGAGCAUUUGUCAAAUUAUUAAUUUGUUAGAGAAAAUAAAAAUGGUAGUACAUGCUUCAAGAAAAAGAUUAACUUAGCUACUUAUGAAGACAAUAACACUAUAUGUCAUUUCUCAUGCAUAGAAAUGAGAGGGAAAAAUAAAAUUGAGGUUAGGAAUUAGCGGGAAAAAAUAGAGGGAAAUUUUUUAUUAUUAUUUAUUUUCAGUUUUUAAUCAUUUUUAAGAGUGAAAUGACUUAACUAUCCUCACAUGUUGUGCAUAUGGUCUCACUUAACAGAAAUAUGGAUUGAAUAUAUGAAAAACUAACGGUAGGGGGCAAAUUGGCUAAAAAAAUUAGUUUGAGUCCUUAAUUUUCCAAUAGAAAAGUUCAGGGGAAAAUCGAAAGUGAGGUGAAAGUUCAGGGGUAAACCGACAGUUUAUCCUUAUUUAUUAAUUAAUUAUUUCAUUUUUCUUGAAGUUUGUAUAUUUAAUUAGAGAUUUCAUCAAUAACCAGCUAUAUAAUUUGUGCGGUUUUCAGCCUUGAUUAUUCCGUCAUUCGGUCUGGAUUUGUUGACUAUAAGUGCAAACAAGUGCCCUCAUGACCUGACAGACUUCCACCGCGUAACUGCUGCUUGCUUCAGAUCAUGUCCAAUAUUCGUGCAACGGUGCAAGUUUCGAGUCUUGAAGCGUAGGAUUGCAAGAAUCCCCCUGCAGUUACGGGUAAUCCCAAAACUGCCCCAUUUUUUGUCCAACAGGUUCAAAUUUAAGAAAAAUAAUGUUUACUGGUAUAUGAUUUUUGCAAGCUUCUGUUUUUCUUUUUGCUCGUCUUUUAAAUUGAUAUGGUGUGUUUCAUUAAUUAUUGUGUUUUAUGUCAUCUUAAAUGGCAAGUGAAUCAAGUGAUGUACACAAUUAUUCAAUGAGAUAAAUUUAUUAAUUGAUGUGACAUAUCACAUCAAAUUGUACGUAAAUAUGGUAUAAACAUAUGUGAUUUCCUAACAUUUUCGGAUUUUCCUAGUAAUAUUAUAUGGCGUGUUAUUGUGCUUUAUACAUACAAUAUCAAGUUUUUCUUUUUCUUUUUUAUUGGAACAUACAAUAUCAAGUUAUUAGAUUAUUUUAUGGUACUAUAUUAGGGACUGUAUACCUGGCGGUGGGACGGUUAUGAUGUAGGCAACCUUGAUCUGAAUCCGGCCCGUUGCCAUCCCUUGCUAUUCCCAAAUUGUUAUCUCUAGAUAUGCUUACUAGGAGUCCAUUAAUUGAAUAUUAUUUCAAUUUUACUAUAAAUUUGUAUAGGUAAAUGCUAGGGACAUUAAAUUAUUACUUUAAUCUAAAGUACGGUUUGAAAUUGGCACUAUUCAAAUGAACAGUGUUUCAAUUCGAAUUUCAGAUUAAUUACCACCAUGCCAUUGGUUUUUGUGUUGGUUUUGGGUCAGCAGCCCGUCCCUCAGCCAGGCCCAAAUGUGUUGGCUUUAGCAGGGAAGACCGGCCCUCAGUGAGGCCCAAAUUAUUUAAUUACAUUUUUGCCCAUCAAAGAUUACAAUCCGACGGUGGGGAUGGUGUAUUACGAAGGGCAAUUUUGUCCUCUCCGUUUUGGGCGAGUAGGGGGUCACCGGUUGGUAUCAUUUGAUGUCGUUCAAUUAGGGUUUCGGGGAGGUCUGUGAGAGAGAGAGAGAGAGAGAGAGAGACAGAGACAGAGACAGACAGAGACAGACAGAGAGAGAUGGCGAUGGAAGGAGAGCGAGGGGGAGGGGUAGGGGUCUCGGCACUGUUGUUGCAGAUGGGAGGGUCGGUAUGGUCAGAGAAGACCAUAUGGGUCGUCGGGAUUUUGGGGAGACGGGGUAGGGGUCAUCUGCAAACCCUACUGAGAGUGGGGUGUGCCGGAUCUUGUGCUGCAUGCCUCGAAUCCAAAGAUAUGUUUUGGGGGAUUUGUGAUCUUACAGAGAGAGAUGGAUAGGGAGAUAGAGAUAGACAGAGAGAGGAGAAAGCAUGGCUGUGUGCAUUUUUUGGGGUUAAUUAAUGGGUUAAUGCGCAGGGUCAGUGAGGAGAGAGUGACAGAGGGGUGUAUGGCAGGGUAUGGGUUUUCAGUUUUUCCCUCUGAUUCAAUAAGUUAUGCACUGUUUGAAAAUAAUUGUUUAUUGUUUUGUUUUCCGUUGGCUUUGUUAAAACCAUCAUUUGAAUUGUUUGGUUUCACUGUGCUCAUUUCUGGGCUUCUUCAAAAUUUUCUGGUGUUUGCUUCUCAUUCCCCUGUUGGUUGAUUUUUUUUUUCCCAUUUCUUGGUUCUUUAUGUAUUCCUUGGUUCUGUCUAAAUUUUUGCUGUGGGAUGAUGCUUGCAGGUGAACUAUAUGCACGGUUUUUUGAGACGAGUUAAGAAGAUCCACCUGAAAACAACAUACAAGAUAGAGAACUAGUAUGCUGCUUUGUCUUUCUGUUGGAUUUUGAUGUUUAUGUUCUGCUACUAAGAGGAUUUUAUAGUGUUCUAAAUCUGUUUUGUAAAUGUGCUUAAAUAUUGGACAUGUUCUUGAAUAUUAGCCAUGUUGUUUGAAUUGGAUAUGUGAUUGAAUAUUAGGUAUUUAUUUUGAAUUGAUUUGGAUAUGUGGUUUAUUGAAUUAGAAUUUGGAUAUGUGCUGAUUUGAAUUGGAUAUGUUGAAUUAGAGAUGUGCUACUUUGAAUUGGAUAGGUUGAAAAAUGACAAGCGAUGGUAAAAUAUGUUUGGAAUACACUAGAAAAAUUAGAUAGAGGCUUGAAAGGACUAGAUCGAGUACAUUUGAAAGAACUAUCAGUACAAGACAACUUUGUUUAGUGUUUUUGUAGUGGUGUUCUAAUUGCAGCUUCAUAGUUUUAGUCUAAUGUUUUUGUUGUACAGUUUUUAACAACCGAAUCUAAAAUCCCUCUGUACUUUAAAGUCUCUCCUCCAGACAUCACAUUAGAGAAUUAUAACUAUUCAACAUUCUUGGUGCAUCGGCAUAUUAAUGAUUGUAUCACAGAAUUUUGGCAAAGUUCCUUGAAUUAUUGAACAGUUAAUGCUUUCCAAAUGUUUUACUUUGAUUCAUUGUCUCACAUUUUCCAUGGUACAAGUUUACAUGAUUGCAAGCCGAUAGAAAGAGAUAUAUGUAGGGAGAAGCGGGAAUUGGGGAGAGAGAGAGAGUGAGCGAGGGGUGCGGUUGCUUUUUAAAGAUAUCUUUGAAAUUGUUUCUGCAGUUUUUUUUUUUUCUUUUGGGUGAAUUUUCUUGAGUUCUUUCUGUUUGUUUGGAAUUAUUCCAUUUUUACUGAGAUUCUUUUGGUCCCUGCCACUAAACUCUGAUUUCUGCUAUUAAUUGCUGUUGACAUGUGACUUUUGCUAUUAAUUUUGUAAAUUAAUUUAAUUAAGAUGCUCAAUGUUCCCUUAAUUGUGAUUAAGAUGGUCACAAUCCUACCAUCCUCUGUAUGCUCUGCCAUGUCCGCCGCCAAUGUUUUAUUUUUACUUUUUAACCCUUUCGUACAACAUUUAAAUAAUCAGGUGGAAAUAGUAAUUCUAUUUUUCGACAAACGAUAGUGUUAGUAGGUUAAAUUGUUAGUUGUUAUGAGAGAAGGAGAUCGUUCUAGAGAUCAAACUCUCAUAAAAAUAUAUGAUGAUUUCUGCAAAUGCGAUCAGCAGUUGCAUAUUACAAUAUACAGCUUCAGUUGGCAUCAGUUUCUUAAUGAGUGGCAUGUGAAUUCUUAAUUUAAUUUCGGAAAGAAAUGCGUUUAAAUUUGGUGGUAUGUGAUGAAGUUAGCAUUCUGUUUUUUAUUAUAUACUGGUGAUGGACAUUUUUAGCAUAUUGGAUUUAUCAUUUUCUAUAAAAUGAAGCUUCAUUCUCACUAUGUUGUUGAUGUUUUUUGUGAUUUCAGUUUAUAGUGCUUCUAAAUGCUGUUUUAAUUUAGGAAUUUGAAUAAUUGUUUAAAUGGGAUUGGAGGGUGAUAAAUAUUUCUAGCUAGGGAAAGGUCACAUCCAUGUGUUGGUCGAAUUGAUGGAUGUAAAAAAUGAAUAUGGAUGAACGUCUAGCUACUGCAUGUAGAUUCAGCUUUCCUUUGCAUUUGAGUGAGUUGGAAACCGAGUGGAACAGUUUGAGAGAGAGAGGGAGGGAGGGAGGGAGAGAGAGAGAGAGGACGAUGUUGGGAUUUUGGUAAAGAUUUGAGCUUUAGUUGUAAGCAUGCUGAUAUGAGCUCACAGUAAAACCCAACAGUAUGUAGAUUGAAUUGAGUUGGGAACUGAGUGGAAAAAUAUUAGAGAGGAUUGUGUUUUCUGAUGCGUCUUUGAGCCACUGACCAUAGGUGGAGUCUUAUACUGCAAUAUUAUGUGCUAAUCUAAUAAACCCUGCAACUUAUUCAUCUUUGUCAUGAGUAAUUUUUGGUUUUUUUCAUUGGAAUAGGGAUUUAGUGGAUGGUUGUUUUUAACGCAUAUUAGUUAAAAUGAGUUGAGUAUUGGGUGCUAAUCCCAUGUCUGCAAAUCACAGUACCCUAAGGAAGAAACACUGUCUGCACGAUCUAUAAUACCUGUUCAAGCAAGAAUCUUUUCCCAAACUAAAAAGCUUACAUAUCAAAACGUGUAAAGGAUGUGCCACUAUCAUCUUACUUUUUCAAUACCUAAACCAUGCAGUGAUGCAUGGGCUGGAUAUUGCUCCUUUCAAGUUUCAAAUCAUCAAAUGCUAAAGGUUUCUAGAUAAAUCAUCAUAGAAGUCGAUUCUGCAGAUUCCUUCUUAGUUACACUCAGAUGAUAAUGUAUUUAUAGUCCUUGACAUGUUUUUAAAGUUUGCAUUUUCAAUGUAUAUAUCAUUAACUAAGCUUUAUCAGCAGAAUAUCAUCGCAAAUUUGUUACGGAAAAUGCUAUUGCUAGAUUCUGAUUUAUCUACUUUAGUUUUAAGGAUUACACAUUGUUUUACGAUAUAAAAUAGAUGUUCUGCCUUGAUUUGAUGCGGGGGUAUGCAUUAGCUAACAUUAAUUCUGUUUAGUAUUUCUCAAAUUCAUUUUGGGUUAAAAAGUUGGAGCUUUGGAUUGGGUUUUUUCUUUAUUCAGCUAUCAUUUUCUGCUUAGGAGACUCUCUUAAACUGUCUGAAACUGUGCUCAUUAGGCUGGGCAGAGCACUGACAAGCUAAAAACAAAACAAAAACAAGCAGAAUUAUCACAUGUAGUGCAGGAUGUUGAAUGUCUUUUCCUCAUUGCAAAUCCUAAACGACCCAAAUCUGGAUGGUAAAAUACUUCGAGUUGGAAUUAAUAGGAUCGAUUGAAACAUGGAUUUUUUUUAUUAGAUUGGUAUAUCUGACUUAAUUAAGAAGUAGUUUAAGACAGUCAUUAGGGAAUUUCUGUAAUUGAACGUAGUUGUUUUCAUGAGGUUGAUAAAUACAAUAAGGUGCUUCUAUACCAAUAAGUGAUUUUAUACGGACACAUUGUAUGAUGUAAAAUGGUAAAAGGAGUACCCAUUCCUGUCCAGUCUUAUGUUUUCCGAGUCUUGCUUAUUUUUCAUUAGUCAUAUGAAAGAUGCUGCAAUACCGUGGGAUCAUAAUAGCUAAGAAACUGGACUUGGACAUCUUUAUUCUAUAGAGCGUUUGUAAAAGUAAUUUAGACUUUAUUAAGUUUAUAUUAAUCCUUCACUUCUGUUCAUUCAUUGUAAUUUCUAUUUGGUUUGUCUGCAUUUGUCUUAGGAGACUCUGUGGGGCUGCUUAAAUUUUAUAUAUUCAAUUGCAUAGAGUCGGCAUGACAUGCACAGAGAUUGUCAGAUUGCCACCCUUAGUUGGUGAUAUUAUCUUUACAACACAUUCAAAUUGAGGAUUUAGAAAAUCUAAUAAUAAAAUUGAAAUAUAUGUUCGAUGCUUUUUGUUUUCAUUUUCGGUUAAAAGGUUUCAGCUUUGGAUUGGUAUUUACCUUUAUUAAUCUAUAAUUUUGUGCUCAGGACACCAUCUUGGGGGUCUUAAUAUGAUUGUUCUUCUAUUUCAUAGACUCAAAACGUGUUUAGUGUCUCAUUUAAUUGGUGUACCUUUGCUCAUUUAACUCAAAUUUAAUACGAUUUGGUCCUCCAAUUUCUCUAAAUUGCUAACGGAUUUAUUUUCUUUGGAAAUUUCAGGAACUCUGGUUGUGGUAGGAACAAGCCGGCUCCUUGCUAUUUUUAGGUAUAUGAUUAUGUGCCUUGAUUGCAUGUUCAAAGUCUAAUUAGUUAUAUAAACUUUUAAUUUAUCUUUGCAAAGCUUUUGUACUUGGAUUUUAGAUAUGUGAUUGGUUUUUGAAAAAUUAAUGAGAAGGCUAAUCAUGGGGACAUUCUUAUUUCUGAAAUUUUCUCUUCAGCAUUGUUUCUUGAAUAAAUUUGGAUUGGUAGAUGUAGGGGUAGAGCAACACCCGUGGUGUAAAUAAAAGGUAUAGGCGUAAUGAUUUCUAGGUUUAGAAUUCAUUCAAAAAUAUGAUAUAAUGCUGCGUUCUCUAAUUUUUUUUUUUUGCUGUUUGCUGUUCUAAACUUUUGAACUCCUUUUUGGAUUGAUCUUUGUUAUUUUGUUUUUGGGGGUAUCUGAUAGGUCAAGGUUGCCUAAUCUUGGUUGUACUUUUUCCCAAGACAUGGCACAUUUGAAACUUUGAAUUCUUGAGUUUAUAUUUUAAUUCUCAUUAGUUAAUGCGUAAUAUUUGGCCUUUUAUUUUGAGAUUAGAAUGAAUACGUUUGGCCUGAAAGACAGUAAACUGAAUUAAAAGCUGGCUUAUUUUCCAUUGGCCAUCAAUUAGGGUGAGAAAACAUUGAAUUGAGAUCCUUAAACAGCGCUCAUAUAGGGUACUAUACCAAAUGAGCUCGAAGAGGACUCAGCAAUUGAAGAACAAUUGAUGGGCAUACACCUUGGACAUGAUUAAGUUAGUUGAACAUUAUACUAUAACAAGUACAUAUUUCUGCUAAAGGACCAUACCAAAUAAGGAGUCAGGUUCACACACAGACACGCACACACACAUCUGAUGUAAAGUUAUUCUAUUAGAUGGUUUCCAGAUUGACCCCCCCUUGCUAAAUCUAUUUCAAGGCUGGAAGGAGAGUUAAAACAUAUGUUAUUGUCUUAUAUGUUUGUAUUUGAAUGGUAACGAUGUUGUUCUUCUGGUGGAAAAAUUUUCCUUUGAAUCCAUUUCAGCUUAGGCUCUACUUUUUUAUUUCAUUUCAACGUCAUUUUCAUGUUCAUCAUGCCCUGUUGGUAUGUGUUUUGUGUUGGCAUUGGAGGGUGGUGGGUUGUCGUUUUGUUUUUCUUUUCUUUGAUUGUAAGACCUUCUAACGAUUGAAUUUAUUUUAUGCGACUCAUUUUGAUCCCCUAGUUUGAGUUUUUCAGUUACGUAUCAAUACUUAACUGCUGGAUUUUUCUUAAGGAAAUUGGAUAUAGGCUAUAUACUAUGUGCAAAAUUCAUGGAGAUCAAGUUUUUGUUGGGUUUUUGACUCAAAAUUAGGAUGAUGCAAUAAAUUAGGUUUGUGUUACCUAUUUGGUUUUGGUGUCCUAUUUGGGUUUGGUUUUGACUUCUUAGUUAGUUUCCUUGGUGGAGAGAUUUUGUUAAUUACCUAUUUGAUUAGGAUUUGGAUUUAUUUCCUAUUAGGAUUCAUAUUGUAACCUAAGUCCUAUGCACUAUAAAUAGGACCUUAGGGUUAGUGUAUUUAGUGUGGCUCAUUCGUGUGGCAAUUUGGUGAGAGUCAAGUUUCAGGCCCUAGGAAGUGGGAGGAAAGCUAAAGCUUUGUGGGGUUGUCUGGUCUCGGCAGUUUUUUGGAACAUUUGGCUGGAGCGUAACAAAAGAAUUUUUGAGGAUUAUACAGGUGUGGGGGUAGAAGUACUUUGGGGAAGAGUAAAAUAUUGGGCAGCCCUUUGGGCUUCAGUCUCAAAUGUUUUUAAUAAUUACUCUAUUUCUCAAUUACUGUGGGAUUUGUUAGCAGCAGUAAAGUGAGUUAGGUCUAGCUAAUGUUGCUGUAGCCAAAUCCUAGUGAGAGUUUUUUCUUGUUUCUUGUUAAUGGUGGAUUUCUUAUCCACUCCAGUGUAUUUCUCUUUUCUUCUAUAAAAUGUUUUGUUUCUUCUCAAAAAAAAAAUUUGUGAGUUUGUGAGUUAGAGAGCAAUUUGGGAGAAUCUUCUCCGUUAGUUUUGGGUUCUCUACUCGUUUGGUUUAGGGUUUGUAAUUUGUGGGAUUUGGGUUGUGAGAGUUUAAACACUCUUUUGUAAGCUCCAUUUGUUUAGUGAAAUUCCUCGCCGUGCUUUGCUCGUGGACGUAGACUUUACACCGAACCACGUAAAUCUCUUGUGUUAGUUUGAGAUUGUUUGUUUUAGCUUUCACCUACGACGUUGAUAUUGGUACUUUGUUAGAAUUCGCUUCCGUUUGUGCAUAAAAGUACAACAGUUUUGUGCUUUCAUUUGUCACAACGCAGUUUUUUGUUUUCAUAAAUGAAGUUUUGUGCUUUCAUUUUAUUUAUUUUAUUUUGUCUUUCAGUCAGUUUUUCGUUUGAAAGAACUCUUAAUUUUCAUGGAAAUAUAGUUAUUUGUGAAUAUGGAAACUUGAUACUGUGUAGACAUCAGAGUUCGUAUGUUUGUGAUAUGAAAUUUAAAUACAAGCUUCCCAAUUUGUUUUUGGAAUUUUAACUAAACUCGCGUUAUAGGUAGAUCAUGUAUUAAGAUAACAAAAAAGAUAGGUAGAUUUGUGUAUGCGAUGAGUUGUAGUGAACAUUUGGCAGUAAUAGAAAUGGUUUAGGUGUGCUCAGUUUUGGCCUAAAUGGUUAUCACACGAGCGUAAAUGUUUGUUUCAUUUGUGAUUGAACUUGAAUUCGUUGGAAAGCUUUUCAAUUUAUGAAUAUGGAAAGCUUUUCGUCUUUACUUUUAAACUUAUUUUCUGUUUGGUUGUUGAGAAGGUGAUGGAAAUAUAGUUAUCUGUUAAUAUGGAAACUUGAAUCUGUGUAGACUCCUUGGGUUGUCUGUUGGGUUCAGUGGAGGUUUAGUGUUUUAAUUUUGAAUGAUUUGUUUUUCGUUUCAUGGAAAUGACCUAUUAUUUGAUAUUAUUUGAUUUAACUGAGUAAUUUAAUGGAAGUAUAUUCUCUUUUUUUCUUUUCCAUAUUUCAUUUUGUCAGCAACCAAACGAGUUAAGGAACUGUAAUCUUUUUAAUUACUCUGCUAUCUCCGUGAGUUAUGAAUAUCAGACUUUUUGUUUUAUUUCUAUAUAUGUAGUUCCGAAGGAAUCAAGUGCCAAAAUUAGAAUAAAUAUCCUUUAGUCACGUUACACACUUUUCCAUAGAAUGUUUGGUUCAGGGAUCCCUUAUACAAGCACAAUAUUCUUAUGUAUUUAAAUCAUAGUUGACUGUCAUGGUUUAAUAAGUGUGAAAACUGUCUUAACUAUACCAUUGGAGCGUUACAGUUUUAGUUAUUUUAUUGGAUCCGUUUGUUAGCACUUUGAAUUCUUUUGAUUUCUUACUCUGAAUCUCACUCAUUUUUUGCAGUUUAGAUUGGACUCUCAUCAUAGCAUUGUAAUAUGAUCUUGCUGCUGCGAUUAAUCUGACAGUUCUGAGGCGUUGCAUUUGAAUCAAGACUUUGGUAUGUUAGCUGAACUUCAAUGCAUUCUUUUCCCAUUCUUUCUGUUUGAGGCAGCGCAACUUUAUGAUUUUUUUAUUGAUUGUUUGGGUUGAUCGUCUUAUGUUAUCCAUUUGCUUUGUGCUUUGUUUUUCAUUCUUGGUUGUCUCUGUGAUCGUCUCAUUGUCCAGAUGUUGGAUGGUUUUUUAUUUUAUUUUUUUAUUCUAAUUUUGUUUGAAGGUCCGUGCUAUCUCUGUGAUUCUGGUUUAACCCAGUGCUCUUAAUUCUUUAUCGGAUGUUGUUGGCCAUUUUAUCUCUUUUAUUAGUGGGAAAAGGCUUUGUUGUUGUUGUAUUCUGUUAUUGGUUGGUUGGUGUUUUCGUUUGGUUUUCUGAUAGUGAACUAUCUCAUCCUCCCCAAAGUGUUUUAACAUGUUUUGUUGAUAACUGCGCUCUCUAAACGACCUAGAUAUUUUUUUAGAAAAAUCACGACUUCCAUAUUUAAGAAAAUGAGUGGCUUUUUAGCAAAUGCAUGAAUGCAGCUAGAUGUUCAGAAAAAUUCACGGAUAUUUACAUUCAAACCACAAGUAUCAUUAACUUAUAAAUAAUUAAGUUAUGUAUUUUCUUUAUCGGCCAUCACUUCAAAAUUUGAAUUAAAACACUGUCAAAAUGCUUUUUGAUUGUGUUUUCUUUAUUCAUUAUGUAAGUUUGGCAAAUCUUCUACAUGCUGCAUAUUUUUUUGUUUGAACAUCUAUGGUUGACGAGUUACCUGCUCAAACACCACUUUUUCUGUGUUUUGCUAACUGCUAAGUGAGGCAUGUAGGUUGCAGAGCAUAUAUUUGGCCGUCUUAACUAUGUGUAAACUGCAGCUUCCUUCUGUUUCUUCAGUUUCAUAUGGAAACAGGCCUUCUGUUUUUUUGGCCUUUGAACAAUUGUGGUUCCAAAAUUAGCUACUUGAACAAGUCCUCAACACUUUCUGUUUUACAUUACCUGUUGAACUAGCUGCCUACACUGCAGGACACAUGUUAUUUGUGAACUAAAUGUUUCUUCUGUUUCUUAAGUAAACAGAAAUUUUUUGGAAACCAUCUCUUUCUAAUCAAACACGUACAAUUUCUUCCCACUCAUUGUGCAUUGUGUUUAUAUGCCAACUCACUUAAAUAUGUAUAAAAGCAAAAUUGCUUAUCUUACCGGCCUCAUUCACUCAUGUAUCCCUCUGUUUGUUUGUAAUUGUGUUGAAUUUAUUCAACUUAAAUGUGUUUUAUCCAUCUGAUUAUGUCUGAAACAGUGGUUCCCGCAGCAACGCGCGGGCGUAUUUUCUAGUUUUUAACUAAAUUUUGCAAACUAAAUGACAUGAUUGUUGAUGAGUGGAUUAUUAUUUUAGUGUUGAUAAACAUGCUUAUUUUCUAAGGAAAACUAAUGAAAAGGGCUUGAAAACUUUGCGUUUUAACAAUAAGGACAAAAUAAAGGGUAAAGUGAAUAGUAUCAUGAUUGACUUUUUAGUGUAAAAAUAUGGUUUUUCGUUAAAGUGAACAGUACCAGGAGCUUUUCAUUAACGUUCCCUAUUAUCUAGUGGUGACACAUCAUUUAGUUUAAAAUUUUAUUCUCCUUGGCAUUACCCAUUUGUAUAUGAUUGCGGAAUCAAUAAUUAGUUCUCACCAUUUGAAUUUGUGCAGUUGUGACAACAGAUCAAGCUUCCAAAUUUCCAAGGAACUAGUCUUUGACUGUUGAUCUUCCCUUCAUUGAGUCUGUAUUUGUUGAUCACAAGCGGAGUCAGAUUUGAACUUCCAUGUAAGUUCUUAUUAUUCAACUGAAUAAUACAUUAGUUGUUUCUCAUUUUAUUUGAACUACUUUUUAUUCAUUUGUUUCUUCACUUAAUUUGUGCAGCUCUGCACCUCAAUAUUGCUCAAGAGCGGUUCAGUCUUUCUUUGAUUGCUUGGAGUAAUCCUCGCUCUUAAUAUGGUACUGGGAGAGGUUUUUCUUGGGGCGUUUCUACAGGUGCUGCUAGACAGGUUGACCCCUCGCGAGGUUCUCAACUACUUUGGAAACUUCCGGGGCCUUAGAAAGAAGCUGGAGAAGUGGAGGGCCACGUUAUCUACAAUCGCAGCGGUGUUGAGCGACGCUGAGGAAAGACAAGUGACUGACCAUCCUGUAAAACUGUUGCUUGAUGAUCUCAGAGACCUCGCUUAUGAUGUCGAAGACAUGUUGGACGAAUUUUCCACUCAAAUGUUGAAGCGCACAAUAGAGGGACGUGAUCAAGCUAGCACGAGCAACAAGGUGCGGAACUCAUUUUUCAAAAUUAAAUUCAAUUGGGAUAUGAGCUCCGAAAUGAAGAAGAUUACGGAGCGGUUGCAAGACAUAUCUGAACGGAAAGAUAAGUUUGGCUUGAAAGAUACUGGGACGUCUGCUAAGGAAUCGCGACGUCUACCUAGUUCAGACGUGUUAGAUGAAAAGCUUGUUGUUGGAAGAGAUGGUGACAAAGGGAAGAUUAUUGAAUUGUUGUCAAGAAAAUACGAGCAUGCAGGUGCUGUCAAUUUUGAUGUAGUUGCUAUAGUUGGCAUGGCCGGAGUUGGGAAGACGACACUUGCUCAACUUGUAUUCAACAACAAAGAUGAUGCCAUGAAGGAGUUUGAGCUCAAGGUCUGGGUAUCUGUGUCCGAUGACUUCGAUGUGGUGCGAGUGACAAAGGCAAUUCUUGAAUCAAUCACAUCCCGACCCGUUAAAGUGCAGGAGUUUAGUAAAAUGCAGCAUAAUUUGAGUGAGCAAUUAAGAGGAAAAAAGUUUUUAAUCGUUUUAGAUGAUAUUUGGAACAAAGGCGACUAUGAUCUAUACGAUCUCUGGACAAGACUUCAAUCCCCUUUUGGCGUCGGAGCAGGAGGAAGUAAGAUAAUUGUGACAACCCGUGACAGGAAUGUUGCAAAGACUACGGGAGCCGCUGGAGUUCAUAAUUUGGAGUGUAUGGCAGAUGGUGAUUGUUUGGAAAUAUUUGAGCGACAUGCGUUCGGGGAAAUUAAUAAUGGAAAGCCGGUAAAUUAUGAUUUAAUUGGGACAAAAAUUGUUGAAACAUGUCAUGGAUUACCAUUAGCUGCGAGGACUCUCGGUGGUCUUCUACGUUGCAAAGAAAAAGAUGAGUGGGGAGAAAUAUUGAACAACAAGUUAUGGAAUCCAGCAGAUAAGAGUGGCAUUCUCCCCGUACUAAAGUUGAGCUAUCACUAUCUUCCAUCACAUUUGAAGAGGUGUUUUGCCUAUUGCUCCAUUCUUCCAAAUGACUAUGAAUUUGGGGAGAAACAGCUCGUCCUUUUGUGGAUGGCAGAGGGUUUGAUUCAACAAAAACCUGACGACAAUAAACAAAUGGAGGAUUUGGGCCGCGACUACUUUCGAGAGCUAUUAGCAAGGUCGCUGCUUCAAGGAUCAAGCAAAAACAAUUCACGAUAUGUAAUGCAUGACCUCGUUAAUGAUUUAGCACAAUGGGCAGCAGGAGAAAUAUGUUUUAGGUUGGAAGAUAAGCAAGGUGAUAACUUGCAAAGCACUUGCUUUCAAAGGGCUCGCUAUUCGUCUUUCAUUGCUGGUGAUUUUGAUGGAGUUAUGAGAUUUGAGGCCUUUCCAAAACUUGAACGCUUGCGAACAUUCCUGCCACUUUCGCUUUCAGAUUCCAGGUGGUGGUGGAAAUAUUUGUCUCGUAAGGUUAUUUUCGAGUUAUUACCACAGAUGAAAUACUUACGAGUGCUCUCUUUCAAUGGCUAUAAAAUAACUGAGCUGCCAAAGUCAAUCGGUGAUCUGAGGUUGUUACAGUAUCUUGACCUUUCCUACACAGAUAUAACCUGUUUGCCUAAAUCAACAAGCACUCUUUACAACUUGCAAACAUUGAUAUUGGAGGGUUGUUCUAAAUUGAAGUCAUUGCCCACAAACAUGAGUAAUCUAAUUAAUUUGCGCCAUCUCAACAACUCAGGUGCAUCUUCAUUGGUAGGAAUGCCUUCACAACUAGGUCGAUUGACGAAUCUACAAUCAUUGCCUCUUUUUGUGGUGAGCAAAGGUAGUGAUCAACCAGGGGUAAGAGAGAUAGGGCCCCUAUUGCAUCUCCGAGGGACACUGUGCCUCUCAAGAUUGGAGAAUGUGACUGAUGUCGAGGAUGCCAGGAGGGCCAACUUGAUAUGCAAGGAGAGGCUUGAUUCGUUGGUCCUAAAAUGGUCUCAUUCAAGCGACACGAGAAAAACAGAAACCGUUGUGCUUGACAUGUUACAGCCUCAUACAAAGCUCAAGGAGUUCACUCUCAAGAGUUAUGCCGGAAAGGAAUUUUCAUCAUGGGUUGGAGGUUCUUUCUUCUCUAAUAUGGUGCUUGUGCGCUUAGAGGAAUGUAACAAUUGUUUAUCGUUGCCACCUCUCGGACAAUUGCCUCGUCUCAAAGAGCUUUAUAUUAGAGAAAUGAAUGCAGUCGAAAGUGUUGGUGCUGAGUUUUAUGGUGAGUGUGUCUUGCCCUUUCCGCUGUUAGAGAUUCUGGAGUUUGUGGAUAUGCGGCAUUGGAAGGUGUGGCUUCCUUUCCAACUGGAUCAAGGAAGUAGUGUUUUCCCUUGCCUGAAAAGGCUUUCAAUCAAAGGAUGUUCUAAGUUGGAAGGCAAGCUGCCAGAGAAGCUCGAUUUGUUAGCCGAACUUGAAAUUGUUAAAUGUGAGGAAUUGGUGGUUUCGAUUGCCAAUUGCAAACAACUUCGUCAAAUAAACAUUGACAGUUGUAAAGUGUUGGUACAUACAGAUGCUAAGGUUGAGUUUGAGUUGUUAGAGUCCUUGUGCCUUUCAAACAUUUCGGAGGUGAUGUCUCUGCAAACAGGGGAAUUGUUCAGGAAGGGAUUAAGCAAGGCUAGAGAUUUGAAGAUUAAUGGAUGUGAGAAGCUGACGUCGUCAUUGAAGAAUGAGGGUAGAUUAUUGCAGCAGUUGACUUGUCUUGGCCGUUUGGAAAUUGAAGACAACUCUCCUCUAGUUGAAGAAUUGGGAGAAGAAGCAGAGGAGUUGCUGCAAUUGCAAAUAUUGGAGUUAAAAAAGUGCGAAAAUCUUUUGAAGCUACCAAAAGGAUUAAAUGAGCUGUCGUCUCUUCAAGAGCUUCGCAUACACAAAUGUUCACGUCUAGUUUCUUUUCCAGAAGUUGGUCUGCCACCGUCUCUUAAAAACAUCGAGAUUAGAGAGUGCCAUUCGUUGAUAUAUUUUGCAAAAUUCCAGAUUCCCCAAUUUCUCAGAAGAAUAGAGAUAAGUAAUUGCAGAAGUUUGAAAUCACUAGUAGAACCGAACGGGUUAUUCAGCGACAACACCAAUCACUGCCUUGAAUAUAUUAGGAUCUGGAAUUGCCAAAAUCUGGAAUCCUUACCGGAUGGCUUAUGCCACCUUAGCAAUCUUCAAACUCUAAUUAUUGGGAACUGUGGAAGUCUUGUUUCCAUCCCGAGACUGAGUGCGGAGAGAAGACCCUCCAACCUGAGAGAUAUCAUGAUCAACGAAUGCGAGAAAUUGGAGGCGUUUCCCGAAGACAUGCACAAUCUCAACUCUCUUGAGGGAUUGAAGAUCGACUACCGUAAAGGUUUGACUUUUCCUCCCAACCUAACAUCACUUGAAAUUUGGAAGGUCAAGAGCUGUAAGUCAUUGUGGGAGUUGGAGUGGGGGUUGCACAGACUCACCUCUCUUAGAAAGUUGGGGAUCAGUGGAAAAAACACACGUACGGUGUCGUUUCCACCUGACAUAGUCCGGAUGGAGCCGCUCCUCCCCAAAUCUCUCACUGAACUCAGAAUAGAAGGCUUCCCGAAUCUGAAGAGACUGAGCAGCAAGGGCUUUCAAUUCCUCAACUCCCUUCAAUCUCUGCAACUCUCUAGAUGUCCAAAGCUAGCAUUCAUUCCAGAGGAGGGUCUGCCUCCUUCACUUGGUCAGCUUAUCAUCUAUAAGUGUCCUGUGCUAAAAGUGAGAUGCCAACCAGGAAAAGGACUCUACUGGCACAAAAUAUCCAACAUCCCUAAAAUAGAGAUACAUGAAGCUAAUGGUCCAGGUAUCAUCUCUCGAGGAAUGUUUUAAUAUUAAUAUUAUUAUUAUUAUUAUUAUUAUUAAUCAUGUUUAUUCUUGUAAAGUAAUCCACAAUAUUUGGUUUGGGUCAAGGUUUUGGGGGUUGAGGAGUGGCUGCUUUAGGAGGCCUUCAAUUGGCGACAACCUGGAUACUUCUCGGCCAACGUUUCUUCUCCCGGAUUCCUAUGUUUGCUGAUAGCACUACCCUUUCAAAUUUUAUUAGGUCGAGCUUUUUUCAAUUUUCAAAUUUAAACAUUUUUUUGGGUCAACAGUCCAAUAAUUCGAACUUGUUUUAUCUUUCAUUAAGAUAAUUCUACCAAAAACCUGACCUCAUUUUGUAUCAAGCUUGAGCUUUUAUGAAAUCAUUUGAGUCAAACUUGAGCACAUAUUUACGAGCUUUAUUUGGGACUGACCGAAUUUGAAUCUUGAGCAAUGUUUGUUAAACCAAGGUCAUUUAAUUACGAUCUGAGUUAUUAAUAAGUUGUGUUGUUUUGUGUUGGGUUAGUGGGUCUUGCAAGACAUUGCUUGAUGUUUAAAUUUGACAAACAAUAUUUUAUCAAGUUCUUGAUUCUACAAGUAUCCAACUCGUUAAAAGGUUCUUAAUGAGCAGCUUGAUAACGAAUCGACUUGUUAACAUAUUAACUCGAAACCUGCUAUUUUUAUGUUGUUUUAUAUCGAAUUAACGGGUCGUGUAAAAAAUUAUCAAACCUAACCGGAUCAUGCCAAACUAUUGAUGGUCAAUGACUUAUUUGAAAGUGAUUUUAAAGUGACUGAAAUUGAUUUCAGAUUCCAAAAACACUUUUUAAGUGCUUUUUGGAAUAAUCUUGGGCGUCUCCACCCAUUGCCAAUUGGUUUCGGGUUGGAUGCUCAAUUUGUAAUUAGAAUAACAGGUAUUGUUGUUUUUUUUUAUUAUCUUUCAUUGUUUGAGUGGGGGAUAUAAUCUUUAUACAAAUUGCUUCCUCAUGGUUUUUAUGACUGGUUUCUGUAUCUACUUUUAAUGCUUAGUACAUUAAGGGCAUCGGGUACUUCCUAAGUUCUCAUGGUCAAGUGUUUGUAUGGUUCUGUAUGUAUGUUUGUGAUCUUCAUCCCGACUUUGAAUGCGUAAACUAGAUGGAUGAAGAGGUUUUGUUGUUAUUGCCUUGCCCAACACAAGGAUUUCUUUAAGGGCUAAAUAGAUUUCUUUUAACUGGGUUCUUAUGUCUUCGACGAAGGUUAGAGUUCUUUAUCCUUUUUGGUAUUUCAGUCAAUUGGUGUAUCUUUCGACAUCUGUGCUAAGUGCUUCGUGAAAAUUGAUAUAUGUUGUCUAAAUGGUUGUGUUUCAGUUGCCUUUUCUGAGCUUCUUCCUUCCUGUCUGAUAUCUAUUUUCUAUCCUUCGUCAUAGGAUAUUAGCUCCAUGGUGUGCUGGUUGCUUUAUGUUUGUAUAUUCUCGUGUUUUUUCAUUACAGUGUUGAACUCAGUGAAAUGCUAGUAUGAAUUGGAGUGGUUCCCAUUGUCUUUGAGUGAUUCCUAUCACAACAAUCAGGGAGGAAAUCCCUCUCUUUUUUUCACUCUAGGACUAUCCAAAAGAUGCAGCACUGAAGAAGAGUUAGGACUUUAACUCAGUGUCGCAAAAACCUACUACCAAGAGAAAGUUUGUAAGCACUUAUGUUCCGACUCAGAUCCUUACCAAAGUUUUUUUGAAAGUUGAAAUGAUAUAGCACUAGGCCCAAGGUUGAGAGCAGGUUAGAAUUGUUAGAUUGGUGUUUGGCAUGUAAAGACUAGUGGUAUGAUAUUGGGGUACGUUUUUAGGUAUAUGGGGCCAGUACCUGUAAGCUUGAAGACAACCUAAAUAUGCCCGGGAUGUAACAGAGUGCUUGCCUAUACUUCUGUUUUUGUAGUUAAGAGAACGUAAUUGCUUAGCAAUCAUUAAAUUUGUAUACUUAUUACUUGGGUGCCCUCUGCCUUGCUAUGCUGCAUAACAAUGAGAAUAUAUUACGGAAUUCUAACAGGAAAAAGGCAGGGGACUCCCAAAAUUUGGUGAAUGGGACGUCAAUGAUCCUGCUUCGGCUGAGGGGUUUACUGUGAUCUUUAACAAGGCUAGGGAUGAGAAGAAGACAGGUGGAAAACCCGAGUCACCAGGAAAGGUUGAUCCUAAUAUCAGGCAUGGAGGAGGAGUGGAUCCUGGCACUAGCAGGCCUUCGUCUGUAAGAUUUUUUCUCAUAACUGUUGUCGUUUCUUUCUCUAAUGAUUUGAUAUAUACAUGGGUCAGCCAAUAGAAAUACAUUCUUUGCGGUUUUCUUAGUUGCAAGUUAUUGCUUUUCAAGUGACGUUGGUAGUACAAAAUACAACUAUAUGUAACACUGACUUAUCGAUCAAACUCAGCAUACCAUUUGAUGUGAAAAUCAAUGCAACUGACUUAUAUAGAACUCUAGUAAGGAAAUGUGGCAAAAGACAUAUCUAAUGUUAGGGCCAAGAUAUUUGAAAAAUAAAAGAGCACAAGAUGAUUCGGCUGUUUUAUCUGGAUUAUUCCAUGCAAGUGGAAUUGGCAUACAUUAACUCGGGUUCUGUCUCCUUUUAGACAGAUGUAGCCUAAUAGGAAUAUUUGUUUGUUUUAUUGUGAAUAAUUGAAAGAACCAAUGGCCCUGGAAAUAUUUGCUUUUGUCAAUUGAUCAUUGUGUGACCUUUUCGUUUUUUCUAUGCGUUUUCUGUACCUGCUGCGUUUCCAAUAGUAGACUAAUAGAAUGAAUAACUGGAGGUGAUUAUUUCUGCUGCCAAAAUCUAAUAUGCUUAAAUUCCUCACUCUUUGCGGAUGAUUUGAUUUGGUUUGAUUUCCUGAUGCACAGAAAAAAUGGUUUUGCUGCAUUCAUCAACCACCGGCAGAGUUUUGACAAUGUUGUUCUCCUAAGUGCUUCGAUGGAGGAGCACGAUGUUCUGUAACUGGCUCCACUAUAUUUCCUCACUUAAUCUAUGUCUAUGAAAUUGGCAGCUAGGGAAGUGAAGUUUGAAGCAAUGGUUAGCAGUUUGCCUAAGGAAAUCGUACAUGAUAUCCUUUUGAGACUACCUCCUAAAGCUUUGAUCAGAUGCACCUCGGUGUCCAAGCCUUGGAACUCCAUGAUAAAAAGUCCAAGCUUUAUUCGCACCCACCUCAGCCUUACCAUCGAUUUUAACCAGUUUGGCACCCACCAACUCCUUCUGCAUUGUGUUCGUGGAGACAAUCCAGUGGAGCAGAAUUACUAUUUGCAUUAUGAUAACCAUGCUUUUGAUGAGUACUGCAAGCUAGAGUAUCCAAGUGUUCCCAAGCGCAAUAGAUUUCUUCGUGUGGUCGGAAUGCGAGGAUCCGAAUGCUUUUUAUGAGGCUUAUUCACUUGCUAGAGGCUUGUGGAGUAGUCCUCGUUCUUUUGAUCCCGUUUGUAAAGUUUUAUUCUUGCAAAUUUCAGGCUUUUGUGAACGGGGCAGUUCAUUGGCUGGCAUGGCGCUGCUUGAACGAUGGUCGUUAUCAAAAUUUCAUUUUAGCAAUUGAUGUGGACGGUGAGUUAUUUUGCGAGAUAAGGGUGCUAAAGAGUUUCAGACAGGAUGAACCAUUAGAUUAUCACUUGUCUGUUUCAGGUGAUGGAAACUCCAUUGCUAUGUUCACGACGACGCGUGGUCGUAAUUGUCCUGAGGAUUUUCUUGACAUAUGGGUGAUGAAAGAGUAUGGCAUCGAGGAUUCAUGGGCCAAACUGAUAACUCUCCACCGUAUCCGGAAACAAGGGUGCCCUACAAGCCCUUAUGUUUUAGGAACAGUGGUGAAGUGGUGUCCUGACUUUAUCACUUGUUCUAGAAAAAAACGUCGCAUGUACUGGGAUUUUCUCCGGGAUGCCUUGUGAUAUUCUGACAUUGCUGGAUUCUUGUUAGAGAUGAACAUUUUUCCUUCUGUUUGUCUGUUAAUUUACAGACCUAGAAGAAGUUGCUUAUCACAUGUUGCCAAUGUUCAUGGAUAUAUACAGUUAUAUUAAUUUCCUUGAAAUUUCUUGUGACAUUUUUUUAGCUCUAAUAAGAUUUAUCUCUCGUCACAAGACUUUUACAAUAACUUGUGCUCCUAUGGUCUACCAAAAUAAUAAUAUUGCAGUAGAGACUAGUAGUCUAUUAUUAAUUGUGUGUUCAACUUAAAGCAGCGAGAAAAAUGUGUACCUUUUUCUUUUCUUUUUUUUCAAAGAAUUUUUUAUCUUUUUCCUCUGGGAGGAGGAUUGUCUGCCCUCCUAGUUUCAGUGCCCUUCCAUGCCAUCUUGAUUGUGUGGUCAUGGUUAAGCCACGUUAAUAUUUUAUAUUACUAUUUAUUUUUGUCUUAUUAUAUCUAUAAAAAAACAAUAUAAAAUAAUGAUGUGGCUUAACCGUGACCACACAAAACAGGAGGGCAUGGAAGAGCAUUGAAACUAGGAGGGCAGACAAUCCUCCUCCCUUCCUCUGACCCUUGCAUGCAGGUUUGGCAGUAAAGUAAGAGUUUCCACGCAAUUAAAAUAAUGGCAAACUAGUCUUUCGGUUUUGCACGAAGAUAGGAUAAUUUAUACUAAAUUAUUUUUUUGUCUUUUAUUAAAGAAUCAUUUAAAAAAAAAAGUUUUUAAGUGUUUGGGAUCUUUUAAAUACCAAUUUCAAUACAGCUAUUAGUUCAAGUAACAUAAUUUUUAGUUUAGGUACCAAUGAAAAAAUCAACUAAAAUAAUUCUAUAAAUACUAUUAUAAUUCAAAAUAAUUAUAUGAUUGCCGUGUUUUCCGACCAGCCAACUGUAUUCGCAACCACCUCACCCUUACAAUCAAUCUUAAUAACCAGGUUUCGACUAACCUCCUUGUACUGCAUUGUAAACGCAUACAUGAGCCAAGGGAGGAGCAUUACUAUUUUUGCAUUAUGAUAAAUAACCAUGAUUUUGAUGGGUAAUGUAGACUAGAAUUUCCAAUCAUUCCGAAGGGAGAAUGGUUCAAUAUGACCUAUAGACUACAAGAACUCAAAUUCCUUAUUUGUUAUCUUCUGUAAACCAUUCAUCAGAGCUCUUGACAGGCAGUGACCAUAUUUGAGGAAUGACUAGACGCAUGUUGGGGCGCCAUCAUGACUUCAUGGGUGAACAAUAGAAUUUCGUGUGUAAGUUUCUCUCCACAUACAUCGUGUUAACUUUGUUUUUCUAGUUUCCUAGCAUGUUCCAGUUCGUGCAUUUUCAGUUUUUGGAUAGUGGAAAGGUCAAGUUGGUAGCAAAUUGACACGGCGAAGACGUAAGUCUAAAAUUCAUUGUCACUAAUUCAAUUUACCAAGCUUAAUUGGCCUCUCUUAACCUACAAAAUUGUCAUAAUAAACUAGUAAUUUCACUUCAUGAAAAUCUUGCUCAAUGUUGUUUGACUUGUUUCCCUUCCUAAACAUCGAGAUGUUCGUUAAUUAUAUGCUAAUAAGUUCAUCUUCAAAUGGAUCAUAAAUUAAUAUAGCUAUGUGACUAAUUAAGUAGUAUAACUCCAAAAUGGUAAAGCAUAAUCCAUGAUAAUUUUGGUAAAUCUGGUGUCGGCAGGAUCAUGUUCAUCUUCUUCGUGUUGUGUGGCUCAGGUUGUUUAAGAGUUUUUUACUAUUUUAAAUUGAUUCUCUAUAUUAUCUACAAUGGCCUACAAAAAACUGAACCAAACACCCCCACAAAGGAAAGGGGUCCUUUUCAGAUCCUUUCGACCUAAUUAUCUUCAUCAAAUAAUCCGUGUUCUUAAAAUUUGAUUCAACAACUAAAAACACGGAUCUAUUUUAAAAAUUAUAAUAACUUUAGUUGUUGAAUCAGAUUUCAAGAACCUUAAUAAAGAAGAUUAGGUAAAAGGAAUCAAGAAAUGAUCCCUUUCGAUCACAAAAUAAUAUAAUCGGUGUUGAAAGGAAUGUAGCUCAGUUGUUUACCAGCAGUCACUCAUAACGUUUGGUUCCCCCCCAAAAUCGGUGUUGAAAUGAUCCCUUUCUCUCACACUCUUUUUUUUUUACUUCUCACAUACCUCUUGUUAACUUCUGUCAUUUGAUCUACUUCCAUUUAUCCGAUCCAACGGUCAAAAAUUAAAAGGGUGUGUGAGAGGUAAAAAUUGGUGUAUAGAUAUCACACCCUUUUACUAAAUCCUAAAUUGUACAACUCCUUCAAAUAUAUCAAGGACGAAUAUGGUAUCUUCUACAAACCAUCCAGUAGAGCUCUCAGCAUGCAAUGACCAUAUUUAGGGAAUGGACUAGACACAUGUUGGGGCAUUAUCAUGACAUCAUGGGUUAACAAUACAAUUUGUGUUUAGUCUCUCUUCACAUACAUUACGUUAACUUAGUUUUUCUACUUUCUUAGCAUGUUCGGGUUCGUGCAUUUUCACCUUUUGGGUAGUGGAAAGGUCAAGUUGUUGGGAGACUUAUUAGUAAAAAGCAAAUUCACACGGCAAGACAUAAAUCUAAAAUUACUUGUCACUAAUUCAAUUCCACUGAAUUUAAUUCUUCUCUCUUAAUCUUCAAAAUUAACAUAAUAAGCUAGUAAAUUUCACUUCAUGAAAAUCUUGCUCAAUGUUGUUUGACUUGUUUCCUUUCUUUAACAGCUAGAUGUCCAUUAAUUAUAUGCUAAUAAAACUUGCUCUUCAUCUUCAAUUGAUCUAAUAUAGCUUUGUGACUAAUUAAGUAGUAUAACUACAAGAUGGUAAACAAUAAUCCAUGGUAACUUUUUGCAGGAUUAUUUUCUACUUCUUUGUGUUGUGUGGCUCAGGCUGUUUGAGAGUCUCAACAUUAUCUACCAUGGCCUAUAAAAUUGAACCAAUCACCAUCUCAAAAUAAAAUAAUCGGUAUUGCAAGGAAAUGCAACUCGGUUGUUUACGAGCAAUCACUCUUCCACCCUGAGUUGCGUGUUUGGUUCCUCAUCUCCCAAAAUCGUUCGUAUAAAGGAAAAGAAAAGUAUAACCGUGUGGGACAUAGGAGAUAAGAAAGCAAUUAAAAAGAUAAAACAGCAUGAUCAUGACCCCACAAAAAAAUAAAGAGAAAGUAAAAAGAGGAAGACUUGCUGUGGUCUUUCAACACCUAAUCCUCAUUGCAAAUUGAAGAGCUCUAAAGUGGUCUGGAUCUGUUGAUUUUCAUAAUCUAUGGAAAACAAGUCCCUUCAUCUUCAUCAUCAUCUGAAAACUUGAACGCAGUAAGUUCCUCUUGCAACUAUAUAUGCGGAAUCCAUUAUUUAUAAAUUAAUUAUUUCAUUUUUCUUCAAGAUUGUAUGCUUAAUUAAUUAUUUCAUCGAUAACCAGCUAUAUAAUUUGUUCAGUUUUCAGCCUUAAUUAUUCCAUCAUUCAGUUUGGAUUUAUUGAUCAUCAGUGCAAACAAGCGCCCUCAUGACCUGACAGACUUCCAUGAAACUGCUUCUUGCUACAGAUCUUGUCCAAUAUCCGUGCAGAUUUCGAGUCUUGAAACGUAGGAUUGCAAGGUAAUCCCAAAACUGCCCCAUUUUAUUUGUUCAACAUGUUAAAAUUUAAGAAAAAUGAUGCAUUGCUUACUAGCAUGAUUUUUUCAAUCUUGAGUUUUUAUGGUGUGUUUUAUUGUGCCUUAUCAUUGAGUAAUAUUAUGGUGUACGUGUUUUUCUUUUGACAAACGAUAACGUUAGUAGGUUAAAUUGUUAGUCCCGUACUGGAACACCAACCAGGUUACCCAAAAAAUGAUUCACACACCCAUCUUUAUUCUAUAACUUAAUUCCAUGCUUGUCCCUCGAUACUCGUGAGCGAAAGGGAGGGUCCAAGCGGAUAUGAAAAUGAUCUAUUACUCCAAAGUCUACUUCAUAUGGCCAAUUAUUAGGUGUGUGAUCCUCAUCAUCAACUAUACUUUUUAUAAGGAAUAUCAUUCAUAACCCAGCUAUAAGCAUGCCGAUAUCGUUGAAAGCAUUAAAACAAUGAAAAAUAUGAAGUCUUACCCAGUGGCAGAUCGAAGAUUUUAAUAUCGGUGGUCCUAAUAUAAAGGCCCUAAAAAAUAUUAAGCGAAAAAUAAUAUUGAAAAUUAAAUGCUAGACUACAAUUUUUCAUUCAUAAUUUUUGUACAAACAACAUUACAAGCUACAAAGUACAAAGACUUAUUUGUCAACGAUGAGGUAUGCGUAAUAUCGUUCCAUACUUCUAAUUUCUACACAUAUCAAUUACUCAAAACAAAAAAAAAACAUAUUAAUUGAUGAAGCUAAAAGAAAAAAAAUACCUAUAACUAUUAUGAAUUUAACAUUCUACAACAACAACAACAACAACAACAAAGCCUUUUCCCACUAAGUGGGGUCGGCUAUAUGAAUCCUAGAACGCCAUUGCGCUCGGUUUUGUGUCAUGUCCUCCGUUAGAUCCAAGUACUCUAAGUCUUUUCUUAGAGUCUCUUCCAAAGUUGUCCUAGGUCUUCCUCUACCCCUUCGGCCCUGAACCUCUGUCCCGUAGUCACAUCUUCGAACCGGAGCGUCAGUCGGCCUUCUUUGCACAUGUUCAAAAUCACCGGAGCCGAUUUUCUCUCAUCUUUCCUACAAUUUCGGCUACUCCUACUUUACCUCGGAUAUCCUCAUUCCCAAUCUUAUCCUUUCUCGUGUGCCCACACAUCCCACGAAGCAUCCUCAUCUCCGCUACACCCAUUUUGUGUACGUGUUGAUGCUUCACCACCCAACAUUCUAUGCCAUACAACAUCGCUAGCCUUAUUGCCGUCCUAUAAAAUUUUCCCUUGAGCUUCAGUGGCCUACGACGGUCACACAACACGCCGGAUGCACUCUUUCCAUCCAGCUCGUAUUCUAUGGUUGAGAUCUCCAUCUAAUUCUCCGUUCUCUUGCAAGAUAGAUCCUAGGUAGCGAAAAACGAUCGCUUUUUGUGAUCUUCGCUAGAUUGCUCCGGUCAUUAGUGUGGAUAAGUAUAUAAAUGGAUAGAGAUAGGAAAGCAAACACAAGAUGUACGUGGUUCACCCAGAUUGGCUACGUCCACGGAAUAGAAGAGUUCUCAUUAAUUGUGAAGGGUUUACACAAGUACAUAGGUUCAAGCUCUCAUUUAGUGAGUACAAGUGAAUGAUUUAGUACAAAUGACAUUAGGAAAUAUUGUGGGAGAAUGAUCUCGUAAUCACGAAACUUCUAAGUAUCGGAGUGUGGUGUCGUCUUGACUUGCCUUAUCUAUCUCAUAGGUAGAUGUGGCAUCUUCUCUGGAAGUACUCUUCCUCCAUCCAGGGGUGGUAUCUUUAACUGGUGGAGAUGCACAAGGUAAUGUAUCAAUUUCACUUGAAGCUUACUUGUAGUUUCAGGCUUGGUCAAGCGCGAUACAAACCAUGUAGUAGGAGUCCCCCAAGUCGCCGAGCUAGGGGGUCUGCUGAAAGAGGUGACAGACAAGGUAAGCAAUCAGAGCUCCGACUGAUUGUUCACCUUCUCCCCAUCUUGCAGCAGCAUGAAGGAUAAAGAGAAGAAAAAUGAGAAGAGAUGAUAUGAGAUACUUUUGCUUUUGAAGAAGUAACUUUCCACAGGCUUAUUCUUGAACUGAGCUGGAGGGUUUUCUGGUUUCCUCCAGAGUAUAAGGCCGACUGAAGAAUUUGAGGGUCAAAACAAGUCCAUCAAAUCUAGAGUACGUUCCACCCUGCUGAUAUGGGAUACUUUUGCUUUUGACAGAGUAAUGAAUGUAUCGACCCGUGUGCUGUUACGCUUGUCUCCACAUGCUUCCUUGUAUCCUUCGCACUUGCCCUAUCUGUUCCUCAAGCAGAUGCGGAAUCUUCCCUGGAAACAUAAGAUGUUGAAGAUGAGUACUCGAGAGCAAUGCCAGGUAAGUAAUCAGGUAAGGGGUUCCAGGCAGUCAGUUCCUGGCUGGAAGCUUGAUUCCAAGUGCUGACUGAUUGCUCUCUUUCUCCUUGUCUUGCAGGUAAAAAACAAGGCCAAAAGAAAAGACAGGGAAAAAGCAUGAUAUGGGAUACUCUUGCUUUUAACCCUGAUGAUAUGAGAUAUUCUUGCUCUAGUAUAGCUUGUUUGCAGAGGUAUUAUCGGGGGGAAAGAAAGCUGAAAUAUUUCGAAAGGCUUCGUUGGGAGUGCCCUCUCAAAUAUGAUGAAGGGUUGAGCAUUUUUGCAGGUCUGCCUGUCCGUUGGGGAUGGAGGUCGACAUAUAUAGGAGUCUCCCUAACAACAAGUAGUAAUGCUAUUCCUUUACCCUGCUUGGUCAUAGCACGGUAGUGGGAGCUGCCAGUUUCACAUGUUUUAACUCUGUCAGAGCACUUUGAAAAAGUGGUCUGUGGUAUCUGGCUCUCGAGAUUUGGAGAACGAUGCCUCUUCGAUUUUUGAGAAAGCAAUCAUGCUGGGGGUAUGACUCUCGAGAUUCGGAGAGCAGUGUCUCUUCGAUUUUUGAGGAAGUAAUCAUGUUGGGAGUCUGGCUCUCGAGAUUCGGAGGGCGGUGCCUCUUCGAUUUUGGAGCAAACAAUCUUGUUGGGAGUGUUGUCUCGAAUGUGAGUAAAGGUUGGGCAUGUUUGCUAGUCUACCUUGCCACGAAGCACAAAGGUUGACACACAGGGACUUUCCAAUUAUCCAGCAAUGGUACUGUUCCUUUACCUCUCUCUUCGAUUUUGAGAAAGUAGUCAUGUUGGGAGUCUGGCUCUCGAGAUUCGGAGGAUGGUGCCUCUUCGAUUUUGGAGCAAGCAAUCUUAUUGGGAGUGUUUUUCUCGAAUGUGAGUAAAGGUUGGGCAUGUUUGCUAGUCUACCUUGCCACGAAGCACAGAGGUUGACACACAGGGACUUUCCAAUUAUCCAGCAGUGGUACUGUUCCUUUACAGUUGUGGGUAAUAAUAUGGUAGCUAGACCUUCAAAAUUUAUGUGUCUAAACUUUUGUUAGUGCUGUUUCUUUGCUAUUCUUUUACCUUUCUUGGUCAGAGCGAUGUAGUGGGAGCUGCAAGCUUCACGUGCUCAACUUUGGCAGAGAACUUUGGCAAAGUUAUUUGUGGUACCCAUGAGCUAUUGUUGCGUGUGGGAAGUGGGUGUGAUUGAACAGUAAGAUUCAUGUGCUUUCUACUUCACCAGAAGUCUUCGACAGAAUGCCCAUAAUUUCUGCAAAGCUGAGUGUGCGUGUGACAGGUGCUGACAAGGCUAGAAAAGUAGGUGCCUCUUCGAUUUCUGAGAUCGGCCCUCGUGGUCUCUGAGCAGCCCAGCUUUUGAGAAAGCGAGCGCCUCUUCGAUUGAUUCGGAGAACGAUGCCUCAUCGAUUUUUGAGAAAGCAAUCAUGCUGGGGGUCUGGCUCUCGAGAUUCGGGGAGCAGUGUCUCUUCGAUUUUUGAGAAAGUAAUCAUGUUGGGAGUCUGGCUCUCGAGAUUCGGAGGGCGGUGCCUCUUCGAUUUUGGAGCAAGCAAUCUUGUUGGGAGUGUUUUCUCGAAUGUGAGUAAAGGUUGGGCAUGUUUGCUAGUCUACCUUGCCACGAAGCACAGAGGUUGACACACAGGGAGUUUCCAAUUAUCCAGCAAUGGUACUGUUCCUUUACCCUCUCUUCGAUUUUUAAGAAAGUAGUCAUGUUGGGAGUCUGGCUCUCGAGAUUCGGAGGACGGUGCCUCUUCGAUUUUGGAGCAAGCAAUCUUAUUGGGAGUGUUUUCUCGAAUGUGAGUAAAGGUUGGGCAUGUUUGCUAGUCUACCUUGCCACGAAGCACAGAGGUUGACACACAGGGACUUUCCAAUUAUCCAGCAGUGGUACUGUUCCUUUACCCUUGUGGGUAAUAAUAUGGUAGUUAGACCUUCAAAAUUUAUGGGUCUAAACUUUGUUAGUGCUGUUUCUUUGCUAUUCUUUUACCCUUCUUGGUCAGAGCGAUGUAGUGGGAGCUGCAAGCUUCACGUGCUCAACUUUGGCAGAGAACUUUGGCAAAGUUAUCUGUGGUACCCAUGAGCUAUUGUUGCGUGUGGGAAGUGGGUGAUUGAACAGUAAGAUUCAUGUGUUUUCUACUUCCCCAGAAGUCUUUGACAGAAUGCCCAUAAUUUCCGCAAAACUGAGUGUGCGUGUGACAGGUGCUGACAAGGCUGGAAAAGGCUGGAAAAAGUAGGUGCCUCUUCGAUUUCUGAUAUCGGCCCUCGUGGUCUCUGGGGAGCCCAGCUUUUGAGAAAGCGAGCGCCUCUUCGAUUUUUGAGAUCGGCCUUCGUGGUCUUUGAGCAGCCCAACUUUUGAGAAAGCAAACGCCUCUUCGAUUUCUGAGAUCAACCCUCGUGAUCUCUAAGCAGCCCAGCUUUUGAGAAAGCAAACGCCUCUUCGAUUUCUGAGCAGGCGCCUCUUCGAUUUCUGAAGCUUCGUCGAGUGCAGAUUUUUAUAGGGGCUGGCAUUAAGUUCCAAAGCACACUUGAAUCUCCACCAGUAGAAGCUUCAUUCUUGCACUUCUAAGAUCUUGAUUUGUCCGACCUCUUCUCUCUUCAACACCUUUGAAAAUGUCUGGCCCCUCCGACCGUCGUUUUGACUUGAACCUUGUUGAAGAGGCAGCCCCGCCUUCUCCAGACAACAUAUGGCGCCCAUCCUUCGUCUCCCCUACUGGUCCUCUUACCGUUGGGGAUUCCGUGAUGAAGAAUGAUAUGACCGCUGCGGUGGUGGCCAGGAACCUUCUCACUCCCAAAGAUAACAGACUACUUUCCAAACGGUCUGAUGAGUUAGCUGUUAAGGAUUCGCUGGCUCUCAGUGUUCAGUGUGCAGGUUCUGUGUCUAAUAUGGCCCAACGCCUAUUUGCUCGAACCCGCCAAGUUGAAUCAUUGGCGGCUGAAGUGAUGAGUCUCAAACAGGAGAUUAGAGGGCUCAAGCAUGAGAAUAAACAGUUGCACCGGCUCGCACAUGACUAUGCUACAAACAUGAAGAGGAAGCUUGACCAGAUGAAGGAAACUGAUGGUCAGGUUUUACUUGAUCAUCAGAGAUUUGUGGGUUUGUUCCAAAGGCAUUUAUUGCCUUCGUCUUCUGGGGCUGUACCGCGUAAUGAAGCUCCAAAUGAUCAACCUCUGAUGCCUCCUCCUUCUAGGGUUCUGUCCAGUACUGAGGCUCCAAAUGAUCCCCCUCCGGUGCCUUCUCUUUCUGGGGCUCUACCGACUGCUGAGACUUCUCCUAAGCAACCUUUGUGAAGGCUCCCUCUUGUGUGCUUAUUUUGACUCAUGUAUAUGUACAUAUUUGUAGCUUAUCGGGGAUAUCAAUAAAUAAGCUUUCCUUGUACAUAUUUGUAGCUUAUCGGGGAUAUCAAAAAAUCAUAAUAGUUAAAACAAUACCUAUAAUUAUUAUGAAUUUAACAUUCUACAUGAUUAAUUUAGACUAAAAUAAAAAUCUCAGUUAAAUUUAGAAACGAGGGGAUUAAGUGGUGGUGAAGAAAGGACAGCAGAAUGGUAGGUUAUGUCGGUGGUGUGGACCGUGUGAUCAAUCUGAUCGUGGUUUGUGGAGACUGGAGAGGAGACUGGUAUUGUGCUGAUGGUCUUCGGUUGGGACAAGGAUUGUCUGCCCUUCCACUUCCGGUGUCCUUCCGUGUCCUCCUGUUUUGUGUGGUCACAGUUAAGCCAAGUUAACAUUUUAUAUUGUUUUUUUAUAGAGAUAAUAAGACAAAAAUGAAUAGUAAUAUAAAAUGUUGACGUGACUUAACCGUGACCAUACAAAUAAGAGGGCACGAGAGGGCAUUGGAAGUGGGAGGGUAGACAAUCCUUGUCCCUUCGGUUGAGUGGGGUGGGGUUUUCAAGCUACGCAUCAAAACACACCGUUUUACUUAAAUGACUUGACUCCUUUAAAAAGAAAAAAAAGAAAAAAAAGAAAAAAAAAAAACUUCUUCUCUCCAUCUCGGUUGCAGAAUACCAGAAGACCCACCAGAAGUCAGAACACGGUGCGGCCCCACUCUUCUUCUCCUCCACCACACUUGGUGGUCCACGGAGGUCCUUGCAGCCACUUGUUCGGGCUUCCGGAUGGUCCCAAGACCACCCAAGUCUCUUAGUAGAUGGUAUUACCUCAUGUGAAGCUUCCGAAACAACUUUGAUAUAUUUUUCUCAAAUUAUUAUGAUUGGUUGAAAUUUUUUUUUUAAUUUCCAGCCACGUUAAUUAAGGAUGAAUCAUUUUAUCUCUUAUUUAAGAAUAUUUGUUAAAAACAAAUGUAAAAAUAUUUGUUCCUUGAUCCUAACUUAUUUUGUAUAUAUUAGGAAAAAGAACAUUUCCAUAAAACGUAACAGGACUGCAUACCUGACGGGACGGUUAUGGUGUAGGCAAUCCCUAGCCAUUCCCAAAUUGUCACCUCUAGAUAUGCUUUGCUAGGAGUCCAUUAAUUGAUUACUUCACUGUUACUAUAAAUUUGUAUGUGAUUGCGCAGGCAUCAAUAAUUACUUCUCAUCAUUUUAAUUUGUGCAGUUGUGACUAUUUCUGAGCCUCAACAGAUCAAGCUUCCAAAUUUCCAAGGAACUAGUCUUUGGCUGUUACUCUUCCCUUCGUUGAGUUCUGCACCUCAAUAUUGCUCAAGAACGUUUCACUAUUUCUUUGAUUUCUUGGAGUGCCCUUCACUCUUAACAUGGCACUGGGAGAGGGUUUUCUUGCGGCGUUUCUAAAGGUGCUGCUCAACAGGUUGACCUCCCGCGAGAUUCUCAACUACAUUGGAAACUUCCGGGGCGUCAGAAAGAAGCUGGACAAGUGGAGGGCCGUGUUAACUGCAAUAGGAGCGGUGCUCAGCGAUGCCGAGGAAAAACAACUCACUGAGGAUGCUGUGAAACUGUGGCUCGAUGAUCUCAGAGACUUGGCUUAUGAUGUCGAAGACAUGUUGGACAAAUUUGACACCCAAAUGUUGAAGCGCAUGAUAGAGGGACGUGAUCAAGCCCGCACAAGCAACAAGGUGCGGACCUCACUUUUCAAAAUUAAAUUCAAUAGGGAUAUGAACUCCGAAAUGAAGAAGAUUACGGAGCGGUUGCAAGACAUAUCUGAACGGAAAGAGAAGUUUGGCUUGAAAGAUACUGGGACGUCUGCUAAGGAAUCGCGAAGUCUACCAAGUUCAGAUGUGUUAGAUGAAAAGCUAGUUGUUGGAAGGGAUGGUGACAAAGGGGAGAUUAUUGAAUUGUUGUCAAGAAAAUACGAGCAUGAAGGUGCUGUCAAUUUUGGUGUAGUUGCUAUAGUUGGCAUGCCCGGAGUUGGGAAGAUGACACUUGCUCAACUUGUAUUCAACCACAAAGAUGAUGCCAUGAAGGAGUUUGAGCCUAAGGUGUGGGUAUCUGUGUCUGAUGACUUCAAUGUGGUGCGAGUGACAAAGGCAAUUCUUGAAUCCAUCACAUCCCGACCCGUUCAAAUGGAGGAGUUUAGUAAAAUUCAGCAUGAUUUGUGUGAGCAAUUAAGAGGAAAAAAGUUUUUAAUCGUGUUAGAUGAUAUCUGGAACAAAGGCGACUAUGAUCUACACGAUCUCUGGACAAGACUUAAAUCCCCUUUUGGCGUCGGAGCAGGAGGAAGUAAGAUUAUUGUGACAACCCGUGAUGUGCAUGUUGCAAGGACUAUGGGAGCCACGGGAGUUCAUAAUUUGGAAUGUAUGGCAGAUGAUGAUUGUUUGGAAAUAUUUGAGCGACAUGCAUUUGGGGAAGUUAAUAGUGUAAAACCAGUAAAUUAUGAGUUGAUUCGGACAAAAAUUGUUGAAAAAUGUUGUGGCUUACCAUUAGCUGCGAGGACUCUCGGUGGUCUCUUACUUUGCAAAGAAAAAGAUGAGUGGGGAGAAAUAUUGGACAACAAACUAUGGAAUCUUGCAGAUAACAGUAGCCUUCUCCCCGUACUAAAGUUGAGCUAUCACUAUCUUCCAUCACAUUUGAAGAGGUGUUUUGCCUACUGCUCAAUACUUCCAAAUGACUACGAAUUUUGGGAGAAGCGGCUCGUCCUUUUGUGGAUGGCAGAGGGUUUGAUUCAACAAAAACCUGAUGACAAUAAACAAAUGGAGGAUUUGGGCCGCGACUACUUUCGAGAGCUAUUAGCAAGGUCGCUGUUUCAAGAAUCAAGCAAAACCAAUUCAAGAUAUGUAAUGCAUGACCUCGUUAAUGAUUUAGCACAUUGGGCAGCAGGAGAAAUAUGUUUUAGGUUGGAAGAUAAGCAAGGUGAUAACUUGCAAAGCACUUGCUUUCAAAGGGCUCGCCAUUCGUCUUUCAUUGCUGGUGAAUUUGAUGGAGUUACGAGAUUUGAGGACUUCCCAAAAGCUGAACGCUUGCGAACAUUCCUGCCACUUUCACUUUCAGAUUCUGGUGGAUGGUACAAAUGUUUGUCUCGUAAGGUUACUUUUGAGCUAUUACCACAGUUGCAAUACUUACGAGUGCUCUCGUUCAAUUGCUACACAAUAACUGAGCUGCCAAAGUCAAUCGGUGAUUUGAGGUUGUUACAGUAUCUUGACCUUUCCUACACAGAUAUAACCUGUUUGCCUAAGUCAACAAGCACUCUUUACCACUUGCAAACAUUGAUAUUGGAAGGUUGUUCUAAAUUGAAGUCAUUGCCCACAAACAUGAGUAAUCUAAUUAAUUUGCGCCAUCUCAACAACUCAGGUGCAUAUUCGUUGGAAGGAAUGCCUUGGCAACUAGGUCGAUUGACGAAUCUACAAUCAUUGCCUCUUUUUGUGGUGAGCAAAGGUAGUGAUCAAUCAGGGAUAAGAGAGAUAGGGCCCCUAUUGCAUCUUCGAGGGACACUGUGCCUCUCAAGAUUGGAGAAUGUGACUGAUGUCAAGGAUGCCAGGAGGGCCAACUUGAAAUGCAAGGAGAGGCUUGAUUCGUUGGUCCUAAAAUGGUCUCAUUCAAGCGACACGAGAGAAACGGAAUCCGUUGUGCUUGACAUGUUAGAGCCUCAUACAAAGCUCAAGGAGCUCACCAUCAAGAGUUAUGCCGUAGAGGAAUUUUCAUCAUGGGUUGGAGGUCAUUUGUUCUCUAAUAUGGUGCUUGUGCGGUUAGAGGAAUGUAACAAUUGUUUAUCGGUGCCACCUCUCGGACAAUUGCCUCAUCUCAAAGAACUUUAUAUUAGAGGAAUGAAUGCAGUGGAAAGUGUUGGUGCUGAGUUUUAUGGCGAGUGUAUCUUGCCUUUUCCGCUGUUAGAGAUUCUUGAGUUUGUGGAUAUGUAGCAUUGGAAGGUGUGGCUUCCUUUCCAACUGGAUCACGAAAGUGCUUUUUUCCCUUGCCUGAAAAGGCUUUCAAUCAAACGAUGUUCAAAGUUGGAAGGUGAGCUGCCAGAGAAGCUCGAUUUGUUAGCCGAACUUGAAAUUGUUAAAUGUGAGGAAUUGGUGGUUUCGAUUGCCAACUACAAACAACUUCGUCAAAUAAAAAUUGACGGUUGUAAAGUGUUGGUACAUACAGAUGCUAAGGUUGAGUUUGAGUUAUUAGAGUCCUUGUGGCUUUCAAACAUUUCGGAGGUGACGUCUCUGCAAACAGGGGAAUUGUUCAGGAAGGGAUUAAGCAAGGUUAGAGAUUUGAAGAUCCAUGGAUGUGAGAAGCUGACGUCUUUAUGGAAGAAUGAGGAUGCUAAGGUUGAGUUUGAGUUAUUAGAGUCCUUGUGGCUUUCAAACAUUUCGGAGGUGACGUCUCUGCUAACAGGGGAAUUGUUCAGGAAGGGAUUAAGCAAGGUUAGAGAUUUGAAGAUCCAUGGAUGUGAGAAGUUGACGUCUUUAUGGAAGAAUGAGGCUAGAUUAUUGCAGCGGUUGACUUGUCUUGGCCGUUUGGAAAUUGAAGACAACUCUUGUCUAGUUGAAGAAUUGGGAAAAGAAGCAGAGGAGUUGAUGCAAUUGCAAAUAUUGGAGUGCAAGCUUGAAUUUCUGGAGUUAAACAAGUGCGAAAAUCUUUGGACGCUACCAAAAGGAUUAAAUCAGCUGUCGUCUCUUAAAGAGCUUCGCAUUCACGAAUGUUCACGUCUAGUUUCUUUCCCAGAUGUUGGUCUGCCACCUUCUCUUAAAGACAUUGAGAUUAUAUCGUGCGCUUCGUUGAUAUAUUUUGCAAAAUUCCAGAUUCCCCAAAAUCUAAGAAGAAUAGAUAUAAGAGAUUGCAAAAGUUUGAAAUCACUAGUAGAUGAGGAGGAAUGUGAACGACUGGGUUUAAUAGCACCGAACGGGUUCUUCAGCGACAACACCAAUCACUGCCUUGAAUAUAUUCUGAUCUCGAAUUGCCAAAAUCUGAAAUCCUUACCGGAUGGCUUAUGCCACCUCAGCAAUCUUCAAAAGCUAUAUAUUGAACUAUGUGGAAGUCUUGUUUCCAUCCCGAGACUGAGUGGGGGGAGAAGACCCUCCAACCUGAGAACGAUCUGGAUCAUCGGAUGCGACAAAUUGGAGGCGUUGCCCGAAAACAUGCACAAUCUCAACUCUCUUGAGGAUUUGAGCAUCGACUACCGUGAAGGUUUGACUUUUCCUCCCAACCUAACAUCACUUGAUCUUUGGAAGGUCAAGAGUUGUAAGUCAUUGUGGGAGUUGGAGUGGGGGUUGCACAGACUCACCUCUCUUAGAUACUUGUAUAUCGACAGUGAAGACCCGGAUACGGUGUCGUUUCCACCCGACAUGGUACGGAUGGAGACGCUCUUCCCCAAAUCUCUCACUAACCUCGCAAUAGGUGGCUUCCCGAAUCUAAAGAAACUGAGCAGCAAGGGCUUUCAAUUCCUCACCUCCCUUCAAUCUCUGAAACUCUUCCGUUGUCCAAAGCUAGCAUCUAUUCCAAAGGAGGGUCUGCCUCCUUCGCUAGAGGAACUUUGGAUCGAAGGGUGUCCAGUGCUAAAAGAGAGAUGUCAACCAGGAAAAGGACGCUACUGGCACAAAAUAUCCCACAUCCCUUACAUAAGGAUAGAUUAUAAGAAGAUAUGAAGCUGAUGGUCCAGGUAUCAUCUCUCGAGGAAUGUUUUAAUAUUAAUAUUAUUAUUAUUAAUAUCUCACAUCCCUUUCAUAAGCAUAGAUUGGGAGUUGAUAUGAAGCUGAUGGUCCAGGUAUCAUCUCUCAAGGAAUGUUUUAAUAUUAAUAUUAUUAUUAUUAUUAAUCAUCUUUAUUCUUGUAAAGUAAAGUAAUCCACAUAUUUUGGUUUGGGUCAAGGCUUUGGGGGUUGAGGAGUGGCUACUUUGGGAGGCCUUUCAAUUGGCGUCAACGGGGAUAUUUCUCCGCCAACGUUUCUUCUCCCAGAUUCCUAUAUUUGCUUCUUUCUUUCUUUUUUUUAUUGGUAAACGAUUGCUAUGUUUGCUUGGUCCCUUUUCAUUGAUUUGUAUUAUAACUUUAUAAAUGUGCUACUCUUUCUCCCAGCAAGAUUUUAAUCAGGCCACUUUAAUCUAAUCUUUUAUUUUAUUUUAGCAAAUUUUGACUUAUGAGCUAGUAAUGCAUUUUAUUUAAUGCAUCGAGAAUAAGCAAUCAACAAAGAAAUGGAAAUGUAAAGAGCUCGUUGCUCAAGUGGGUACAAGAGUGAUUUUACCCUUGGCCGUUUGUUAUGCACUUGCUAGAGGCUUGUGGAACGAUGACCACUAAAUGACUUCCUUUACUAUAACUUGUCUUCCUGAAAGUAGAAAAUACGUGCCAACGAAUUUUGGUCAAUCAAAUCCUUAUACCAAGCCUUCAUCACUUGUUCAAAAAAUGCAUUAUUCAUCUAAUUGAUAUGUGAUAAAUUGGUGAUGAUUAUGCAUUUUAACCGAGUUCUAAGGAAAAUUGAAGAUAGUAAUACAUCAGUACUAAAACUACAAAAUAUUACUGAAUUUGUAUACUUAUUACUUGGGUGCCCUCUGCCUUGCUGUGCUGAAUAACAAUGAGAAUAUAUUACUGAAUUCUAGCAGGAAAAAGGCAGGCCACUCUCAAAAUUUGGUGAAUGGGACGUCAAUGAUCCUGCUUCAGCUGAGGGGUUUACUGUGAUCUUUAACAAGGCUAGGGAUGAGAAGAAGACAGGUGGAAAACCGGAGUCACCAGGAAAGGUUGAUCCUAAUAUCAGGCAUGGAGGAGUGGAUACUGGCACUGGCACUGGCAGGCCUUCGUCUGUAAGAUUUUUUCUCAUAACUCUGUCUCAUUUCUUUGUCUAAUGAUUUGAUAAUAUACACAUGAGACAGCCAAUAGCAAUACAUUCUUUACGGUUUUCUUAGUUGCAAGUUAUUGCUUUUCAAGUGACGUCAGUAGUACAACACAGCAUACCAUUUGAUGUGAAAAUCAAUGCAACUGACUUAUAUAGAACUCUAGUAAGGAAAUGUGGCAAAAGACAGAUCUAAUGUUAGGGCCAAGAUAUUUGAAAAAUAAAAGAACACAAGAUGAUUCGGCUGUUUUAUCUGCAUUAUUCCAUGGGAGUGGAAUUGGCAUACGUUAACUUCACUCAGGUUCCAUCUCCUUUUAGACAGAUGUAGCCUAAUAGGAACAUUUGUUUGUUUUAUUGUGAACAAUUGAAAGAACUAUUGGCCCUUGAAAUAUUUGCUCUUGUCAAUUGAUCAUUGUGUGGCCUUUUCGUUUUCUGUGUCUGCUGCAUUUCCAAUUAGUAGAAUAAUAGAACGAAUAACUGGACGGUAAUUAUUUCUGCUGCCAAAAUCUAAUAUGCUUAAAUUCCUCACUCUUUGUGGAUGAUUUGAUUUGGUUUGAUUUCCUGGUGCACAGAAAAAAUGGUUUUGCAGCAUUCAUCAACCACCAGCAGUUUUGUUGACAAUGUUGUUCUCCUAAGUGCUCCGAUGGAGGAGCACGGUGUUCUGUAACUGGCUCCACUAUAUUUCCUCUCUCACUGUAUGUCUAUGAAAUUGGCAGCCGGGUAAGUGAAGUUUGAAGCAAUGGUUAGCAGUUUGCCUAAGGAAAUCGUACAUGAUAUCCUUUUGAGACUACCUCCUAAAGCUUUGAUGAGAUGCACCUCGGUGUCCAAGCCUUGGAACUCCAUGAUAAAAAGUCCCAGCUUUAUUCGCACCAAGGUAUAAAAUAUCAAUGAUAUCGGAAAUGUCGGUAGUCCAAAAACACGGAAAUUUCGAUGGAAAUAUCGGGAUAUUAUCGAUAUCGAUAAAAAUUGAAUAAAAACCAUGGAAAUUGUUAGAAAAACUUGGAAAUUUUUAUUGAAACUUUGCUGGAUGUUUAUUUAGUCAAUUAUCUAUUAGUUUAUUACAAAAAAUUGGAAGGAAAUGCAUUGCAUGAUAGAUAUAACUGAUUUAAAUUGAUUAUAUAGCGAGCUGGCAAACAUGGUGAGUGUAGAAAAUAUGUAGUAAUUAAUGAAAGAAGUUUAAACACACCAUAAUCAUUUAUAUAUAAUGAAUUAGUACAAUAUUUUACACUUUAUACAUUUCAUGGUAAGAUACAUGAGUGACUUAGCAAGGUCUAAAAUAUCGAUGAUAUCGGAAAUAUCGGUAGUCCAAAAAAAUAUCACUAGUCCAAAAACGCGGAAAUUUCGAUGGAAAUAUCGGGAUAUUAUGGAUAUUUUAGACCAUGAUUCGCACCCACCUCAGCCGUACCAUCGAUUUUAAGCAGUUUGGCACCCACCGACUCCUUCUGCAUUGUGUUAGUGGAGACAAUCCAGUGGAGCAGAAUUACUAUUUGCAUUAUGAUAACCAUGCUUUUGAUGAGUACUGCAAGCUAGAGUAUCCAAGUGUUCCCAAGCGCAAGAGAUUUCUUCGUGUGGUCGGAAUGCGAGGAUCCGAAUACUUUUUAUGGGCUUAUUCACUUGCUAGAGGCUUGUGGAGUAGUCCUUGUUCUUUUGAUCCCGUUUGUAAAGUUUUUUAUUCUUGCAAAUUUCAGGCUUUUGUGAACUGGGCAGUUCAUUGGCUGGCAUGGCGCUGCUUGAACGAUGGUCGUUAUCAAAAUUUCAUUUUAGCAAUUGAUGUGGACGGUGAGUUAUUUUGCGAGAUAAGGGUGCUAAAGAGUUUCAGACAGGAUGAACCAUUAGAUUAUCACUUGUCUGUUUCAGGUGAUGGAAACUCCGUUGCUAUGUUCACGACAACGCGUGGUCGUAAUUGUCCUGAGGAUUUUCUUGACAUAUGGGUGAUGAAAGAGUAUGGCAUCGAGGAUUCAUGGGCCAAACUGAUAACUCUAAGUCCACCGGAUCCGGAAAGAAGGGUGCCCUACAAGCCCUUAUGUUUUAGGAACAAUGGUGAAGUAGUGUCCUGACUUUAUCACUUGUUCUAGUAAAAAACGUCGCAUGUACUGGGAUUUUCUCAGGGAUGCCUUGUGAUAUUCUGACAUGGGUAAAUUGUAGCAAUGGUCCCUCAUUUUUUAAUCAAAUUGGAGCAAUGAUUCGUCAACUAAAAUUUCAUUACCAUUGGUCCCUCAAUUUAUGAAAAUGUGUAGCUAUAGUCAUAUUCAUCAAUUUUGUCUAAAUAAGUUAUGUUGGAAUAAUCAUUUAUAUAAUUAGGGUCCCUCAAUUCAUCAAAGUGUGUAAUUAAGGUUCUUUUCGUCAACUACGUCAAAAUUUUUGUCAAAACGAGUUAUGUUGGACGGAUCAUUGCUACAAUUAGGUUAAAGUUAAGGGACUAUUUCUCCAGUUGAAUUAAAGUUGAGGGAUCAAUGGUAAUAGAUUUUUAGUUAAGAGACCAUAGCUGCACAUUUUGAUGAGUUGAGGGACCAAUAAUAAUGAAUUUUUAGUUGAGUGACCAUUGCUCCAAUUGAGUUAAAGUUAAGAGACCAUAGCUACAAUUUACUCUUCUAACAUUGCUGGAUGUUAGCUAGAGAUGAACAUUUUUCCUUUAGUUUGUCUGUUAAUUUAGAGACCUAGAAGAAGUUGCUUAUCACAACAUGUUGCCAAUGUUCAUGGAUAUAUACAGUUAAAUUAAUUUCUUUGAAAUUGCUUGUGAUAUUUUCGUGCCAAAUAGGAAGAGAAGAAAAUUGCAUAUCUUAUUUUUUUAGCUCUAAUAAGAUUUAUCUAGUCACGAGACUUUUACAAUAACUUUUGCUCCUAUGGUCAACCAAAAUAAUAAUAUUACAGUAGAGACUAGUAGUCCAUUAGUAAUUGUGUGUUCAACUGAAAGCAGCGAGAAAAAUACGUACCUUUUUCUCUUCUCUGUUUUCAAAGAAUUUUUUAUCUUCUUCCUCUGCAACCCUUGCAUGCAGGUUUGGCAGUAAAGUAAGUUUCCGCGCAAUUAAAAUAAUGGCAAACUAAUCUUUCGGUUUCGUACGAAGAUAGGAUAAUUUAUACUAAAUUAUUUUUUUGUCUUUUAUUAAAGAAUACAUUUAUAAAAAAAUAAAAAAAGAAGUUUUAAGUGUUUGGGAUCUUUUAAAUACCAAUUUCAAUACAGCUAUUAGUUUAAGUAACAUAAUUUUUAGUUUAGGUGCCAAUGAAAAAAUCAACUAAAAUAAUUCUAUAAAAACUAUUAUAAUUCAAAAUAAUUAUACGAUUGCCGCGUUUUCCGACCUGCCAACUGUAUUCGCAACCACCUCACCCUUACAAUCAAUCUUAAUAACCACGUUUCGACUGACCUCCUUGUACUGCAUUGUAUUCGCAUACACGAGCCAAGGGAGGAGCAUUAGUAUUUGCAUUAUGAUAAAUAACCAUGAUUUUGAUGAGUACUGUAGACUAGAAUUUCCAAUCAUUCCCAAGGGAGAAUGGUUUAAUACGACCUAUAGACUACAAGAACUCAAAUUCCUUUUUUGUUAUCUUCUGUAAACCAUCCAUUAGAGCUCUCGGCAGGCAGUGACCAUUUUUGAGGAAUGACUAGACACAUGUUGGGGCAUCAUCAUGACAUCAUAGGUGAACAAUACGAUUUCGCGUUUAAGUUUCUCUCUAUAUACAUCGUGUUAACUUUGUUUUUCUACUUUCCUAGCACGUUCCGGUUCGUGUAUUUUCAGUUUUUGUAUAGUGGAAAGGUCAAGUUGGUAGUAGAUUGACAUAGCGAAAAAAUUACUUGUCACUAAUUCAGUUUACCAAGCUUAAUUGGUCUCUCUUAACUUACAAAAUUGUCAUAAUAAGCUAGUAGUUUCACUUCAUGGAAAUCUUGCUCAAUGUUGUUUGACUUGUUUCCCUUCUUAAACAUCGAUCGAGAUGUUCGUUAAUUAAAUGCUAAUAAUACUUGCUCUUCACCUUCAAAUGGAUCAUAAGUUAAUAUAGCUCUGUGAUUAAUUAAGUAGUAUGACUCCAAAAUGGUAAAAGCAUAAUCCAUGAUAAUUUUGGUAAAUCUGAUCUCGGCAAGAUCAUGUUCUUCUCUUCUUGUUGUGUGGCUCACGUUGUUUCAGAGUCUUUUACUGUUUAAAAUUAAUUACUAUUCCACCCGAAGUUUCACGUUUGGGUCCUCUUCUUAUAGCGGAAACGAAAAAGUAUAACCGUGUAGGAUAUUUGCGAUAAGAAAGCAAUCAAAAAGAAAACAAUAUGACCCCACGAAAAAUAAAGAGAGAACAAAAACAAGGAAUCUUUCUUUCUUUACGGGCAGAAAGAUGAAGACAUGUUAGUCUUUUAACACGUAUCGCAAUGGCAAAUUGAAGUAGUUAUCGUCGAAAGAGGAAGACUUGUUAUAGUCUUUCAAGUCGACACCUAAUUAUCCUAGCAAAUUGAUCUGUAAAGUAGUCUACAAAAACUCAAAUUCCAUUUAAACUACCUGUUUUAUUAAAGGAAUAUACUAUCCGCAUAUCUAUUUUUACUUAUCAGACACUCUUUUUUACUUCUCACAUCCCCUUUGUUAACUUUUGUCCUUUGAUCUACUUCAAUUCAUCCGAUCCGACACCGAAAAUUAAAAUGAUGUGUGAGAAGUAAAAAAAGGUGUGUGGAUAUCACACCAUUUUACUAAAUCCUAAAUUGUAUAACUCCUUCAAAUAUAUCAAAGGCGAAUAUGGUACCUUCUGUAAACAAUCCGGUAGAGCUCUCAGCAGGCAAUGAUAAUAUUUAGGGAAUGACUAGACACAUGUUGGGACGUUAUCGUGACAUCAUGGGUUAACAAUACAAUUUGUGUUUAAAUUUCUCUUCACUAGCUUAGUUUUUCUACUUUCCUAACAUGUUCGGGUUCGUGCAUUUUCAGCUUUUGGGUAGUGGAAAAGUCAAGUUGCUGGUAGACUAAGUAGUGAACAAGUAGAUUCACACGGCAAUACAUAAGUCAAAAAUUACUCGUCACUAAUUCAGUUCUACCGAGUUUAGUUUGUCUCUCUUAAUCUUCAAACUUACAUAAUAAGCUAGUAAUUUCACUUCAUGAAAAUCUUGCUCAAAGUUGUUUGACUUGUUUCCUUUCUUUAGCAGCUAGACGUUCAAUUAUAUGCUAAUAAAACUUGCUCUUCAUCUUCAAUUGAUCUAAAAUAUAGCUCUGCGACUAAUUAAGUAGUAUGACUACAAGAUGGUUAACAAUAAUCCAUGGUAACCUUUUGCAGGAUCAUUUUCUUCUUCUUUGUGUUGUGUGGCUUAGGCUGUUUGAGUCUUUUACUACUUUAAAUUAAUUUAAGGAAAACUAAUGAAAAUGACUUGAAAACUUUGAGUUUUAACGAAAAUGACAAAAAUGUGUUGUAAAUGAAUAGUAUCAAUAUUGACUUUUUAGAGUAAAAAUGUGAUUUUUUGUUAAAGUAACAGUACCUUGAGUUUUUCUUCGUUAAAGUUUCGUUAAAUUUAUUGUCUCAACAUUAUCUACAAUGGCCUAAAAAAUUAAUCACCCUUUCAAACUAAUAUAAUCGGUAUUGCAAGAAAUGCAACUCAGUUGUUUACCAGCAAUCACCCUUUCACCCUAAAUUGCGUGUUUGGUUCCUCAUCUCCCAAAAUCGUUCGUAUAAAUGAAAAGAAAAUGUAUAACCGUGUAGGACAUAGGAGAUAAGAAAGCAAUUAAAAAGAUAAAAGAGGAAUCUGUCUUUUUUGGCAGAAAGAGGAAGACUUGUUAUAGUCUUUCAACACCUAAUCAUCAUUGCAAUUUGAAGAGCCUCGACUAGAAGAAAAAGACGUCUUAUGUACUCGGAAUUUUCUCCGGGAUGCCUUGUGAUAUUCUGAUAUUGCUGCUAGAAAUAAACAUUUUUCCUUAAGUUUGUCUGCUAAUUUACCGUCCUAGAAAAAGUUGCUUAUCACAACAUGUUGCCAAUGUUCAUGGACAUAUACAGUUAAUGAGUUUCUAUGAAAAUGUUGUCGAUAUUUUCGUGCCAAAUGUUGAGUGCAUCAUCUAUUUGUUGUAGCCUUAAUUUCUAGUUGCCCUCCAACUUUCAACGUUGCUUUGCUUAAUUGCAAACCUUUCAUCUCUUAUUGUGCUUUCUUCUCAAUAUUCUCACACCUCUAUAAGGCGAGAAGCAAAUUACAUAUCUCGGUUUCAAAGCUUUAAUAAGAUUUAUAUCUCUCUCAUUACAAAACUUUUACAAUAAAUUUUCCUCCCAUGGUCUAUCAAAAUAAUAAUAUUUCAGCAGCGACUAUCUAUUAUCAUAAAUUUUGGUGCAUUUGAAAGCAGCGAGAACAAUACAUUUUUAUUUUAUUUUUUCUCAAAUAAAUUUUUUGGUCAUUUUCCUCUGCAACCCUUGAGUUUCAACCCACUUUAUUUAUAAGAGUGAGGAGAACAAAUUUUUAAACCAAAUUUUGUAAAUAAAAUGAUAUGUCACUAAUAAAAAAUAAGUACGUUAAUUAAUACUUGAAUAAUUUGAUCUCUCUAACAUUAUUCUUAAAAUAAUGGUAAACUAAUUUUUUUAUUUAUUUUUACGAAUGAUAGAAUAAUCUAUUAAACUAUUGUGUUUUUUUUCUUUUUGUGAACAAUAAGACAAUAAACUAUUAUUUCGCCUUUUAUUAAAGAGUACUAAAAAAACGAAGUUUUUGAGAUCUUUUAAGUACCAAUUCCAAUAAAACUUUCAGGGUAAGUAACGUGAUUUUUAGUUUACAAAUAUUAAAAAAAACUAAUGAAAAUGACUUGAAAAUUUUGAGUUUUAAUGAAAAAGACAAAAAUGUGUUGUAAGUGAAUAGUACCAGAAUUGACAUUUUAAAGUAAAAAUGUGGUUUUUUGUUAAAGUGAGCAGUACCGAAAGAGUUUCGUUAAAGCUCCCAAAUACUAAUGAAAAAGUUAACCAAAAUAAAUCUACAGAUAUUAGAGCAAGUCCAUCCCUGAAAACUUUGUGCCAGCACCCAGCGUAUUUAUAUCUCCAUCGGCACCCGGAUGCAGUGUUAAAUGAGCAAGGGGGCUAUAGAAACUUCUUUUCGAACGACUCCACUCAAAGUUGUUUGGGAGCAUAUGCUCCUAUCAACUUUACACGGGACACACAAAAGAAGUACUUUGAUCCUAUUAGACGGGGAAGGGUGAAGAAGCUAGGACAGAAGGGUAGAGUUCAAGAGAGCAAAAUGCGUUUAGGAACGUGGAAUAUAGGAACCUUGACGGGAAAAUCUAUGGAAGUAGUAGAAGUUAUGGUGAGGAGAAGGAUAAAUAUUAUGUGCCUACAAGAAACUAAGUGGGUUGGGCGUAAGGCAAAGGAUCUAGAAAACUCAGGGUUUAAACUAUGGUAUUCGGGCACAAAUAGAACGAGAAACGGUGUUGGCAUCAUCGUGGACAAGACCUUGACACAAGAUGUUGUAGAUGUCAAGAGGGUAGGAGAUAGAAUCAUGGCAAUCAAGAUUGUAAUAGGACAAGAACUUAUCAAUGUGAUUAGUGCGUACGCACCUCAAGUAGGGUUGGAUACGAGUUCGAAGGAGAAAUUUUGGGAAGACCUUGGAGACUUGGUGCAAGGAAUUGCUCAGACGGAGAAGUUAUUUAUAGGAGGAGAUUUAAAUGGACACGUGGGCAGGGAGACAGGCAACUAUGGAGGUUUUCAUGGUGGCCAUGGUUUUGGGGAGAGAAACGAGGAUGGGGAAGCUAUCUUGGAUUUUGCAAUGGCAUAUGAUCUCUUCUUAGCCAACACCUUCUUUAAGAAGCGGGAAGAACAUGUGAUCACCUACAAGAGUGGGUCGUCAAAAACACAAAUAGAUUUUCUUCUAAUGAGGAAAAGGGAUCGUAUAACUUGUAAGGAUUGCAAAGUUAUACCAGGAGAGAGCGUGGCUAAUCAACAUCGCUUGUUGGUGAUGGAUGUACAUAUCAAAAGAGUGAGAAAAAAGAACAAGACUUGGAAGUGCCCAAGGACUAGAUGGUGGAAUCUAAAAGAAGAAAAACAAGCAAUUUUCAAAGAGAAAAUAAUCACCCAGUGUGUGUGGGAUAGAGAGGGGGAAGCUAACCAAAUGUGGGAUUCCAUGGCUAGUUGUAUCCGAAAAGUAGCAAAAGAGGUAUUAGGAGAGUCCAAGGGCUUUGCCCCACACCAAAAGGAAUCUUGGUGGUGGAGUGAGGAGGUACAAACAAAGGUGAAGGCUAAGAAGGAAUGUUGUAAAGCCUUAUACAAGGAUAGGACCGAUGAAAAUGGUGAAAGGUAUAGAAAAGCGAAGCAAGAGGUGAAGAAAGCUGUGAGAGAAGCUAAGUUAGCGGCUUAUGACGAUAUGUAUAAACGACUAGAUACCAAAGAAGGAGAGUUGGAUAUCUAUAAACUAGCUAGAGCAAGGGAAAAGAAGACAAGGGACCUAAACCAAGUGAGGUGCAUCAAGGAUGAGGAUGGAAAGGUUCUUGCUACAGAGAACGCGGUUAAAGACAGAUGGAAAGGUUAUUUUCAUAAUCUUUUCAAUGAAGGACAUGAAAGGAGUGCUUCUUUAGGGGAGUUGAGUAACUCAGAAGAGUGUAGAAACUACUCUUUUUAUCGUAGAAUCCGGAAGGAAGAAGUGGUUGUAUCUUUGAAGAAGAUGAAGCAUAGAAAAGCAGUAGGCCCAGACGAUAUACCAAUCGAAGUGUGGAAAGUUUUGGGAGAGACAGGUAUAACAUGGCUCACUGACAUUUUCAAUAGGAUUUUGAAAACGAAGAAGAUGCCAAAUGAGUGGCGAACGAGCACUUUGGUGCCUAUCUACAAGAAUAAGGGCGAUGUACAAAAUUGCAUGAACUAUAGGGGUAUUAAGCUAAUGAGUCAUACAAUGAAGCUCUGGGAGAGAGUCAUUGAGCAUAGAUUGAGGCAAGAGACACGGGUUUCGGACAACCAAUUCGGGUUCAUGCCAGGGGCGCUCAACCAUGGAGGCAAUCUAUCUCUUACGAAGAUUGAUGGAAAGAUAUAGAGAUGGGAAAAAGGAUUUACACAUGGUCUUUAUAGAUUUGGAAAAAGCGUAUGAUAGGGUCCCAAGAGACAUUCUUUGGAGGAUUUUAGAGAAGAAAGGAGUACGAGUAGCAUAUAUCCAAGCUAUACAGGAUAUGUAUGAAGGAGCAAAGACUGCCGUAAGAACUCAUGAAGGACAAACCGAAAGCUUUCCCAUAACUGUAGGAUUACAUCAAGGCUCAUCCUUAAGUCCUUACCUUUUUGCGUUGGUAAUGGAUGAGUUAACAGGACAUAUUCAAGAUGAUAUUCCUUGGUGUAUGCUUUUCGCAGACGAUAUAGUGUUGAUAGAUGAAACUCAAGAAGGGGUAAAUGCAAAGAUUAACCUUUGGAGAGAAGUGUUGGAAUCUAAAGGUCUUCGCCUAAGCCGAUCAAAGACAGAAUAUAUGGAGUGCAAGUUCAGUGCAAAUGGAGGCCAAAAACGAGUUAGGGGUGAGGAUCGGAGAUCAAGAAAUACCAAAGAGCGACCGUUUUCGUUACCUAGGAUCUAUCUUGCAAAAGAACGGAGAAUUAGAUGGAGAUCUCAACCAUAGAAUACAAGCUGGAUGGAUGAAGUGGAAGAGUGCAUCCGGCGUGUUGUGUGACCGCCGUAUGCCACUGAAGCUCAAGGGAAAAUUUUAUAGGACGGCAAUAAGGCCGGCGAUGCUGUAUGGCACAGAAUGUGGGGCGGUGAAGCAUCAACACGUACACAAAAUGGGUGUAGCGGAGAUGAGGAUGCUUCGUUGGAUGUGUGGGCACACGAGAAAGGAUAAGAUUAGGAAUGAGGAUAUCCGGGGUAAAGUAGGAGUAGCCGAAAUUGAAGGAAAGAUGAGAGAAAAUCGGUUACGGUGGUUUGGACAUGUGCAAAGAAGGCCUACUGACGCUCCGAUUAGAAGAUGCGACUAUGGGACAGAGGUUCAGGGCCGAAGGGGUAGAGGAAGACCCAGGAAAACUUUGAGAGAGACCCUAAGAAAAGACGUAGAGUACUUGGAUCUAACGGAGGACAUGACACAGGACAGAACACAAUGGCGUUCUAAGAUUCAUAUAGCCGAUCCCACUCAGUGACUUGGAUUUUUCCAAGUCUCCAACCGAAAAGUUUGUCCUCGCUCGGGAAAUUAAGGGAACACUACCUCAACCUACAUGCUCCACUCACAAAGCUCCAACAUACAAGCUUCAACAAAAGAAAAUUCAAAGAACUUAGCGAAGAAGGCUUUGGUGAUUUAACACAAUACGUUGAAAUGAAGGAAAGCUUAUUUAUUGAUAUCCCCGAUAAAUUACAAAUAUGUACAUAUACUUGAGUCAAAAUAAACAAACAAGAGGAAGCCUUCACAAAGGUUGCUUAGGAGAAGUCUCGGCAGUCGGUAGAGCCCCAGAAAGAGAAGGCACCGGAGGGGGAUCAUUCGGAGCCUCAGUACUGGACAGAACCCUAGAAGGAGGAGGCAUCAGAGGUUGAUCAUUUGGAGCUUCAUUACGCGGUACAGCCCCAGAAGACGAAGGCAAUAAAUGCCUUUGGAACAAACCCACAAAUCUCUGAUGAUCAAGUAAAACCUGACCAUCAGAUUCCUUCAUCUGGUCAAGCUUCCUCUUCAUGUUUGUAGCAUAGUCAUGUGCGAGCCGGUGCAACUGUUUAUUCUCAUGCUUGAGCCCUCUAAUCUCCUGUUUGAGACUCAUCACUUCAGCCGCCAAUGAUUCAACUUGGCGGGUUCGAGCAAAUAGGUGUUGGGCCAUAUUAGACACAGAACCUGCACACUGAACACUAAGAGCCAGAGAAUCCUUAACAGCCAACUCAUCAGACCGUUUGGAAAGUAGUCUGUUAUCUUUGGGAGUGAGAAGGUUCCUGGCCACUACCGCAGCGGUCAUAUCAUUCUUCAUAACGGAAUCCCCAACGGUAAGAGGACCAGUAUGGGAGACGAAGGAUGGGCGCCAUAUGUUGUCUGGAGAAGGUGGGGCUGCCUCUUCAACAAGGUUCAAGUCAAAACGACGGUCGGAGGGGCCAGACAUUUUCAAAGGUGUAGAAGAGAGAAGAGGUCGGACAAAUCAAGAUCUUAGAAGUGCAAGAAUGGAGCUUCUACUGGUGGAUAUUCAAGUGUGCUUUGGAACUUAAUGUCAACCUCUAUAAAAAUCUGCACUCGACGAAGCUUCAGAAAUCGAAGAGGCGUUUGCUUUCUCAAAAGCUGGGCUGCUCAGAGACCACGAGGGUCGAUCUCAGAAAUCGAAGAGGCGUUUGCUUUCUCAAAAGCUGGGCUGCUCAAAGACCACGAAGGCCGAUCUCAGAAAUCGAAGAGGUUUGCUUUCUCAAAAGCUGGGCUACUCAGAGACCACGAGGGCCGAUCUCAGAAAUCGAAGAGGUUUGCUUUCUCAAAAGCUGGGCUGCUCAGAGACCACGAGGGCCGAUCUCAGAAAUCGAAGAGGUUUGCUUUCUCAAAAGCUGGGCUGCUCAGAGACCACGAGGGCCGAUCUCAGAAAUCGAAGAGGCACCUACUUUUCCAACCUUGUCAGCACCUGUCACACGCACACUCAGCUUUGCGGAAAUUAUGGGCAUUCUAUCGAAGAUUUCUGGCGAAGUAGAAAGCACAUGAAUCGUACUGUUCAAUCACCCACUUCCCACACGCAACAGUAGCUCAUGGGUACCACAUAUAACUUUGCCAAAGUUCUCUGACAAAGUUGAGACUACUUUUCCAGCCUUGUCAGCACCUGUCACACGCACACUCAGCUUUGCGGAAAUUAUGGGCAUUCUGUCGAAGAUUUCUGGCGAAGUAGAAAGCACAUGAUUCGUACUGUUCAAUCACCCACUUUCCACAUGCAACAGUAGCUCAUGGGUACCACAUAUAACUUUGCCAAAGUUCUCUGACAAAGUCGAGACAUGUGAAGCUUGCAACUCUCACUACAUCGCUCUGACCAAGAAGGGUAAAAGAAUAGCAAAGAAACAACACUAACAAAGUUUAGACACAUAAAUUUUGAAGGGCUAGCUACCAUAUUAUUACCCACAAGGGUAAAGGAACAGUACCACUGCUGGAUAAUUGGAAAGUCCCUGUGUGUCAACCUCUGUGCUUCAUGGCAAGGUAGACUAGCAAACAUGCCCAACCUUUACUCACAUUCGAAAAAACACUCCCAACAAGAUUGCUUGCCCCAAAAUCGAUGAGGCAUCGCCUCCGAAUCUCGAGAGCCAGACUCCCAACAUGAUUACUUUCUCAAAAAUCGAAGAGAGGGUAAAGGAACAGUACCACUGCUGGAUAAUUUGAAAGUCCCUGUGUAUCAACCUCUGUGCUUCGUGGCAAGGUAGACUAGCAAACAUGCCCAACCUUUACUCACAUUCGAGAAAACACCCCCAACAAGAUUGCUUGCUCCAAAAUCGAAGAGGCACCGCCCUCCGAAUCUCGAGAGCCAGACUCCUAACAUGAUUACUUUCUCAAAAAUCGAAGAGAGGGUAAAGGAACAGUACCACUGCUGGAUAAUUGGAAAGUCCCUGUGUGUCAACCUCUGUGCUUCGUGGCAAGGUAGACUAGCAAACAUGCCCAACCUUUACUCAUAUUCGAGAAAACACUCCCAACAAGAUUGCUUGCUCCAAAAUCGAAGAGGCACAGCCCUCCGAAUCUCAAGAGCCAGACUCCCAACAUGAUUACUUUCUCAAAAAUUGAAGACACCGCUCUCCGAAUCUCGAGAGCCAGACCCCCAGCAUGAUUGCUUUCUCAAAAAUCGAAGAGGCAUCGUUCUCCGAAUCUCGAGAGCCAGAUCCCCGACAGGAUUGCUUGUUCGAAAACCGAAGAGGCACCACUUUCCCAACUUCAAGAGCCGGAUCUCCUUGGAUAAAGCUUGUCUGUAAUCUUCACACGCAACAUCAGCUUUCCAGAUACCACAGACCACUUUUUCAAAGUGCUCUAACAGAGUUAAAACUUGUGAAGCUGGCAGCUCCCACUACCGUGCUAUGACCAAGGAGGGUAAAGGAAUAGCAUUAUUACUUGAUGUUAGGGAGACUCCUAUAUAUGUCGACCUCCAUCCCCAACGAACAGGCAGACCUGCAAAAAUGCUCAACCCUUCCUCUUAUCUGAGAGGGCACUCCCAACGAAGCCUUUCGAAAUAUUCAGCUUUCUUUCCCCCCGAUAAUACCUCUGUAAACAAGCUAUACUAGAGCAAGAAUAUCUCAUAUCAUCAGGGUUAAAAGCAAGAGUAUCCCAUAUCAUGCUUUUUCCCUGUCUUUUCCUUUGGCCUUGUUCUUACUUGCAAGACAAGGAGAAAAGAGAGCAAUCAGUCAGCACUUGGAAUCAAGCUUCCAGCCAGGAACUGACUGCCUGGAACCCCUUACCCUGGCAUUGCUCUCGAGUACUCAUCUUCAACAUCUUAUGCUUCCAGGGAAGAUACCGCAUCUGCCUGAGGAACAGAUAGGGCAAGUGAGAAGGAUACAAGGAAGCAUGUGGAGACAAGCGUAACAGCACACGUGCCGAUACAUCCACUACUCUGUCAAAAGCAAAAGUAUCCCAUAUCAGCAGGGUCGAACGUACUCUAGAUUUGAUGGACUUGUUUUGACCCUCAAAUUCUUCAGUCGGCCUUAUACUUUGGAGGAAACCAUAAAACCCUCCAGCCCAGUUCAAGAAUAAGCCUGUGGAAAGUUACUUCUUCAAAAGCAAAAGUAUCCCAUAUCAUCUCUUCUCAUUUUUCUUCUCUUUAUCCUUCAUGCUGCCUGCAAGAUAGGGAGAAUGUGAACAAUCAGCCGGAGCUCUGAUUGUUUACCUUGUCUGUUACCUCUUUCAGCAGAUCCCCUAGCUCGGCGACUUGGGGGACUCCUACUACAUGGUUUGUAUCGCGCUUGACCAAGCCUGAAACUACAAGUAAGCUUCAAGUGACAUUGAUACAUUACCUUGUGCAUCUCCACCAGUUACAGAUACCACCCCUGGAUGGAGGAAGAGUACUUCCAGAGAAGAUUCCACAUCUACCUAUGAGACAGAUAAGGAAAGUCAAGACGAUACCACACUCCGGUACUUAGAAGUUUCGUGGUUACGAGAUCAUUCUCCCACAAUAUUUCCUAAUGUCAUUUGUACUAAAUCAUUCACUUGUACUCCCUAAAGGAGAGCUUGAACCUAUGUACUUGUGUAAACCCUUCACAAUUAAUGAGAACUCCUCUAUUCCGUGGACGUAGCCAAUCUGGGUGAACCACGUACAUCUUGUGUUUGCUUUCCUAUCUCUAUCCAUUUAUAUACUUAUCCACACUAAUGACCGGACCAAUCUAGCGAAGAUCACAAAAAGUGACCGUUUUCGCUACCUAGGAUCUAUCUUGCAAGAGAACGGAGAAUUAGAUGGAGAUCUCAACCAUAAAAUACAAGCUGGAUGGAUGAAGUGUAAGAGUGUAUCCGGCGUGUUGUGUGAUCGUCGUAGGCCACUGAAGCUCAAGGGAAAAUUUUAUAGGACGGCAAUAAGGCCAACGAUGUUGUAUGGCACAGAAUGUUGGGCGGUGAAGCAUCAACACGUACACAAAAUGGGUGUAGCGGAGAUGAGGAUGCUUCGUGGGAUGUAUGGGCACACGAGAAAGGAUAAGAAUGGGAAUGAGGAUAUCCAAGGUAAAGUAGGAGUAGCCAAAAUUGAAGGAAAUAUGAGAGAAAAUCGGUUCCGGUGGUUUGGACAUGUGCAAAGAAGGCCUACUGACGCUCCGGUUCGAAAAUGUGACUACGGGACAGAAGUUCAGGGCCGAAGGGGUAGAGGAAGACCUAGGAAAACUUUGGAAGAGACCCUAAGAAAAGACUUGAUUACUUGGAUCUAACGGAGGACAUGACACAAAACCGAGCGCAAUGGCGUUCUAAGAUUCAUAUAGCCGACCCCACUUAGUGGGAAAAGGCUUUGUUGUUGUUGCUUCCUUUCCCUUUCCGGUCCUUUCUUUAUCAUUUAUUUUUUCUGCUUUCUUCUUUCUUCCUUUCCCUCACCAUGUCGGUACCCAGGCUUCAACCUUCACUGCACGAUCGCACGACCUCGACACCCAGGGCUUCAACCUUCACCGCACGAUCGCACGACCUCCGACCAAGACCUCGACACCCAGGGCUUCAACCUUCACCGCACGAUCGCGGAGCUCAACCUGGACCACCUCAACAAGGUGUUCAUGGCCGUCGGGUUUCUGAAGACAUGAAGACGAAGUGGCCGGUGGCGUUCACGAUCGUGCGAUCGCGGAGCUCAACACGGACUCGCUACUGUGAAUGGAGUACAUGAAGACGAACCGGCCGGUGGCGUUCACAAGGUCGACGGGAGACGGCCUCCAGUUCAAACUUCCUUCGGACGCCAUGCUGGCGUCACCAUGGCAUCAGAUAGGCCGGUCCCAAGGUCUGUCGAUUUUAGGCCGGCCUGUGGACUGGCAUGGGCUGGGUGCCAGUCAAUUGGGUCGGCUAGAGCAAAUUCACUGGGUCCUGGCCUAUUUUUUCGGCUGGGUGCUGGGCAAAAAGUCCUCCAGUGGACUUGCUCUUACUAUAUAGAAUUCAAAAUAAUUAUACGAUUGCCAUUUUUUGUUUACCGGUCAACUGUAUUCCCAACGACCUUACCCGCACAAUCAAUCUUGAUAACCAGGUUUCCACUAACCUCCUUGUACUCGAUUGUGUUCGCAUGCAUGAGCCAAGGUAGGUGCAUUACUAUUUGCAUUCUGAUAAACAACAAUGAUUUUUUAUGAAUAUUGCAGACUAGAAUUUCCAAUCAUUCCCAAGGGAGAACGGUUCAAUCAUAACAUCAUGGGCUAAGAAUACAAUUUCAUGUUUAAGUUUUUCUCCACAUACAUCACGUUAACUUGGUGUUUUUUACUUUCCUAGCAUGUUCCCUUCUGUGCAUUUUCAGCUUUUAAAUAGUGACUUAUUAGUGAAAAAGCAGAUUCACAUGACGAAGACAUAAGUAUAAAAUUACUUGUCACUAAUUCAGUCAUCAAGCUUAAGUCAUCUAUUUUAAUCUUCAAAAUUAACACAAUAAGCUAGAAAAUUCAGUUCAUGAAAAUCUUGCUCAAUGUUGUUUGACUUGUUUCCUUUCUUAAACGUUUAGAUGCUCAUUAAUUAUAUGCUAAUAAAACUUGCUCUUCAUCUUCAAAUGGAUCAUAAUCCAAUAUAGCUCUGUUACCAAUUAACUAGCAUAACUACAAGUCUACAAGACAACUUUGGUAAAUCCGGUGCCGGCAGGAUCAUUUUCUUCUUCUUUGUGUUGUGUGGCUCAGGUUUUUUUUCAGUCUUUUACAAUUUUAAAUUGAUUGUCUCUACAUUAUCUACCAUGACCUACGAACAAUUGAAACAAUCACCCUCCCAAAAUAAUAUGAUCGGUGUUGCAAGGGAUUGUAGCUUAGUUGUUUACAAGCAGAUAUUUUUUUAUUUUUUUUAGUACAUCUUCUUUAUGUUAAGGAAGAGAAGAAGUUUGGCUAAGCCACACAAUGAAUAGCCUAAUUUGAUAUCAAAUUCGUCAUCUACAAUAUUCGAACCUAAGGCCUCUACUUAUAAGUGAGGAGGAAUAUCAUUAGAUCGUAGUACUAGGUGUUGCAAUUAGUCAUUUUUUUGUUGAGAAUAAAUCUCAUAUUAAUGAAAUGAGAGACUUUGUAUGUGCUUAUAAUAAGUAGUUGAGGUACUCUCCCUAUUGUCAAAUUUUUUUUGGUGGAACUUCAACAUUUUUCAUGCUAUCAAAACAAGUUGUCUCAUGUAUGACACAUAAUGGCUUUACGUGAUCCAUAUCUUUCGAGUUGUAUUAUUCACAUGUUAAACUUAAAAUUCGUCAUACGUAACGGAACAUAUUAAGAAUGAAUCUCAUAUUAAAAAAAAAAAAAAGACUUUGAAAUCUCAAGUUUAUUCUAUUUCCAUCCAAAGUUCUAUAUUUGAUUUCCCAUCUCCAAAAUCGUUCCUAUAAAGAAAAAGAAAAAGUAUAACGUACGUGUAGGGCUUUGGAGAUAAGAAAUCAAAUAAAAAGACAACAAUAUGACCCCACGAAAAGUACAGAGGGAAAAGAGGAGUCCUUCUUUGUGGGCAGAAAGGUGCAGACUUGUUAUAAGUCUUUCAACACCUAAUUAUCAAAAGCAAAUUGCAGAGUUCGAGAGUAGUCUGGAUCUGUUGAUUUUUAUAAUCUAUGGAAACAAGUCCCUUCAUCUGAAAACUUGUACGCAGUAAGUUCCUCUUGCAACUAUAUAUGCGAAAUUCAUUAUUUAUUAAUGAAUUAUUUCAUUUUUCUUGAAGUUUGUAUAUUUAAUUAAAGAUUUCAUCAAUAACCAGCUAUAUAAUUUGUGCUGUUUUCAGCCUUGAUUAUUCCAUCAUUCGGUCUGGAUUUGUUGACGAUAAGUGCAAACAAGUGCCCUCAUGACCUGACAGGCUUCCAUGUAACUGCUGCUUGCUUCAGAUCAUGCCCAAUAUUUGUGCAACGGUGCAAGUUUCGAGUCUUGAAGCGUAGGGUUGCAAGAAUUCCCCCCUGCAGUUACGGGUAAUCCCAAAACUGCCCAUUUUUUGUCCAGUUCAAAUUUAAGAAAAAUAAUGUUUACUAGUAUAUGAUUUUUGCAAGCUUGAGUUUUUCUUUUUGCUCGUCUUUUAAAUUUAUAUGGUGUGUUUUAUUGUGCUUUAUUAUUUAUUGUGUUUUAUGUCAUCUCAAAUGACAAGUGAAUCAAAUGUACACAAUUAACAAUUAAUGGGAUAAAUUUAUUAAUUGAUGUGACAUAUCACAUCAAAUUGUACAUAAAUAUGGUACAAACAUAUGUGAUUCCCUUAACAUUUUCGGAUUUUCCUAGUAAUAUUAUAUGGCGUGUUAUUGUGCUUUAUACAUACAAUAUCAAGUUUUUUUUUUUUUUUUUUUUUUGCUUUUUAUUGGAACAUACAAUAUCAAGUUAUUAGGGACUGUAUACCUGGUGGUGGGAAGGUUAUGAUGUAGGCAACCUUGAUCUGAAUCCGGCCCGUUGCCAUCCUUUGCUAUUCCCAAAUUGUUAUCUCUAGAUAUGCUUACUAGGAGUCUCCAUUAAUUGAAUAUUAUUUCAAUUUUACUAUAAAUUUAUAUAGGUAAAUGCUAGGGACAUUAAAUUACUUUAGUCUAAAGUAAGGUUUGAAAUUGGCACUAUUUAAAUGAACAGUGUUUCAAUCCGAAUUUCAGAUUAAUUACAACCAUGCCAUUGGUCUUUGUGUUGGUUUUGGGUCAGCAGCCAGGCCCUCAGCCAUGCCCAAAUGUGUUGGUUUUAGCUGGGAAGCCCCGCCCUCAGUGAGGCCCAAAUUGUUAAUUACAAUUUUGCCCAUCUAAGAUUACAAUCCAAUGGUGGAGAUGGUGUAUUAAGAAGGGCAAUUUUGUCCUCUCCGUUUUGGGCGAGAUAGGGGGUCAUCGGGUAGGUAUCAUUUGCUGUCGUUCAAUUAGGGUUUCAGGGAGGGUCUGAGAGAGAGAGAGAGAGACAGAGAGAGAUGGCGAUGGGAGGAGAGCGAGGGGGAGGGGUAGGGCUCUCGGCACUGUUGUUGCGGAUGGGAGGGUCGGUAUGGUCAGAGAAGACCAUAUGGGUCGUCGGGAUUUCAGGGAGACGGGGUAGGGGUCAUCAACAAACCCUAUUGAGAGUGGGGUGUGCUGGAUCUUGCGCUGCAUGCCUCGAAUCCAAAGAUAAGUUCUUUUUAAAAUUGUAUUCUUUAAUGGUGCCUUAGAUUUUCUAAUUGUUUAGUAUGUUAGGUCCGGUUUUGGGGGAUUUGUGAUUUUACAGAGAGAGAUGGAUAGGGAGAUAGAGAUAGAGAGAGAGAGGAGAUAGCAUGGGUGUGUGCAUUUUUUUGAGUUAAUUAAUGGGUUAGUGCGCAUGUCAGUGAGGAGAGUGACAGAGGGGUGAAUGGCAUUGGCAGGGUAUGGGUUUUCAGUUUUUCCCUCUGAUUCAAUAGGUUAUGCACUGUUUGAAAAUAAAUUGUUUAUUGUUUUGUUUUCCGUUUGCUUUGUUAAAACCAUCAUUCGAAUUUUUCGGUUUCACUGUGCUCAUUUCUGUGCUUCUUCAAAAUUUUCUGGUGUUUGCUUUUCAUUCCUAUGUUGGUUGAUUUUUUUUUUUUCCCAUUUCUUGGUUCCUUAUGUAUUUCUUGGUUCUGUCUAAUUUUUUGCUGUGGGAUGAUGCUUGCAGGUGAACCUGAAAACAGCAUACAAGAUAGAGAACUGGUAUGCUAUUUUGUCUUUCUGUUGGAUUUUGAUGUUUAUGUUCUGCUACUAAGAGGAUUUUAUAGUGUUCUAAAUCUGUUUUGUAAAUGUGCUUAAAGAUUGGACAUGUUCUUGAAUGUUAGCCAUGUUGUUUGAAUUGGAUAUGUGAUUGAAUAUUAGGUAUUUAGUUUGAAUUGAUCUGGAUAUGUGGUUUAUUGAACUAGAAUUUGGAUAUGUGCUGAUUUGAAUUGAGUAUGUUGAAUUAGAGAUGUGCUACUUUGAAUUAAGUUGAAAAAUGGCAAGCCAUGGUAUAUUGAAUGUUUUUUUUUGCCCCAAAUUUACAUAAGUCCCAAAGGGUGAAUGUCGUCCCAAAACUUUACAACAACAACAACAACAAAGCCUUUUCCCACUAAGUGGGGUCGGCUAUAUGAAUCCUAGAACGCCAUUGCGCUCGGUUUUGUAUCAUGUCCUCCGUUAGAUCCAAGUACUCUAAGUCUUUUCUUAGAGUCUCUUCCAAAGUUGUCCUAGGUCUUCCUCUACCCCUUCGGCCUUGAACCUCUGUCCCGUAGUUACAUCUUCGAACCGGAGCGUCAGUCGGCCUUCUUUGCACAUGUUCAAAAUCACCGGAGCCGAUUUUCUCUCAUAUUUCCUACAAUUUCGGCUACUCCUACUUUACCUCAGAUAUCCUAAUUCCCAAUCUUAUCCUUUCUCGUGUGCCCACACAUCCCACGAAGCAUCCUCAUCUCCGCUACACCCAUUUUGUGUACGUGUUGAUGCUUCACCACCCAACAUUCUGUGCCAUACAACAUCGCUAGCCUUAUUGCCGUCCUAUAAAAUUUUCCCUUGAGCUUCAGUGGCCUACGACGGUCACACAACACGCCGGAUGCACUCUUUCCAUCCAGCUCGUAUUCUAUGGUUGAGAUCUCCAUCUAAUUCUCCGUUCUCUUGCAAGAUAGAUCCUAGGUAGCGAAAACGAUCGCUUUUUGUGAUCUUCGCUAGAUUGCUCCGGUCAUUAGUGUGGAUAAGUAUAUAAAUGGAUAGAGAUAGGAAAGCAAAUACAAGAUGUACGUGGUUCACCCAGAUUGGCUACGUCCACGGAAUAGAAGAGUUCUCAUUAAUUGUGAAGGGUUUACACAAGUACAUAGGUUCAAGCUCUCAUUUAGUGAGUACAAGUGAAUGAUUUAGUACAAAUGACAUUAGGAAAUAUUGUGGGAGAAUGAUCUCGUAAUCACGAAACUUCUAAGUAUCGGAGUGUGGUGUCGUCUUGCCUUACCUUAUCUGUCUCAUAGGUAGAUGUGGCAUCUUCUCUGGAAGUACUCUUCCUCCAUCCAGGGGUGGUAUCUUUAACUGGUGGAGAUGCACAAGGUAAUGUAUCAAUUUCACUUGAAGCUUACUUGUAGUUUCAGGCUUGGUCAAGCGCGAUACAAACCAUGUAGUAGGAGUCCCCCAAGUCGCCGAGCUAGGGGGUCUGCUGAAAGAGGUGACAAACAAGGUAAGCAAUCAGAGCUCCGACUGAUUGUUCACCUUCUCCCCAUCUUGCAGCAGCAUGAAGGAUAAAGAGAAGAAAAAUGAGAAGAGAUGAUAUGAGAUACUUUUGCUUUUGAAGAAGUAACUUUCCACAGGCUUAUUCUUGAACUGAGCUGGAGGGUUUUCUGGUUUCCUCCAGAGUAUAAGGCCGACUGAAGAAUUUGAGGGUCAAAACAAGUCCAUCAAAUCUAGAGUACGUUCCACCCUGCUGAUAUGGGAUACUUUUGCUUUUGACAGAGUAAUGAAUGUAUCGGCACGUGUGCUGUUACGCUUGUCUCCACAUGCUUCCUUGUAUCCUUCGCACUUGCCCUAUCUGUUCCUCAAGCAGAUGCGGAAUCUUCCCUGGAAACAUAAGAUGUCGAAGAUGAGUACUCGAGAGCAAUGCCAGGUAAGUAAUCAGGUAAGGGGUUCCAGGCAGUCAGUUCCUGGCUGGAAGCUUGAUUCCAAGUGCUGACUGAUUGCUCUCUUUCUCCUUGUCUUGCAGGUAAAAACAAGGCCAAAAGAAAAGACAGGGAAAAAGCAUGAUAUGGGAUACUCUUGCUUUUAACCCUGAUGAUAUGAGAUAUUCUUGCUCUAGUAUAGCUUGUUUGCAGAGGUAUUAUCGGGGGGAAAGAAAGCUGAAUAUUUCGAAAUGCUUCGUUGGGAGUGCCUUCUCAGAUAUGAUGAAGGGUUGAGCAUUUUUGCAGGUCUGCCUGUCCGUUGGGGAUGGAGGUCGACAUAUAUAGGAGUCUCCCUAAAAACAAGUAGUAAUGCUAUUCCUUUACCCUGCUUGGUCAUAGCACGGUAGUGGGAGCUGCCAGUUUCACAUGUUUUAACUCUGUCAGAGCACUUUGAAAAAGUGGUCUGUGGUAUCUGGCUCUCGAGAUUCGGAGAACGAUGCCUCUUCGAUUUUUGAGAAAGCAAUCAUGCUGGGGGUAUGACUCUCGAGAUUCGGAGAGCAGUGUCUCUUCGAUUUUUGAGGAAGUAAUCAUGUUGGGAGUCUGGCUCUCGAGAUUCGGAGGGCGAUGCCUCUUCGAUUUUGGAGCAAGCAAUCUUGUUGGGAGUGUUGUCUCGAAUGUGAGUAAAGGUUGGGCAUGUUUGCUAGUCUACCUUGCCACGAAGCACAAAGGUUGACACACAGGGACUUUCCAAUUAUCCAGCAAUGGUACUGUUCCUUUACCCUCUCUUCGAUUUUGAGAAAGUAGUCAUGUUGGGAGUCUGGCUCUCGAGAUUCGGAGGACGGUGCCUCUUCGAUUUUGGAGCAAGCAAUCUUAUUGGGAGUGUUUUCUCGAAUGUGAGUAAAGGUUGGGCAUGUUUGCUAGUCUACCUUGCCACGAAGCACAGAGGUUGACACACAGGGACUUUCCAAUUAUCCAGCAGUGGUACUGUUCCUUUACAGUUGUGGGUAAUAAUAUGGUAGCUAGACCUUCAAAAUUUAUGUGUCUAAACUUUUGUUAGUGCUGUUUCUUUGCUAUUCUUUUACCUUUCUUGGUCAGAGCGAUGUAGUGGGAGCUGCAAGCUUCACGUGCUCAACUUUGGCAGAGAACUUUGGCAAAGUUAUUUGUGGUACCCAUGAGCUAUUGUUGCGUGUGGGAAGUGGAUGAUUGAACAGUAAGAUUCAUGUGCUUUCUACUUCACCAGAAGUCUUCGACAGAAUGCCCAUAAUUUCUGCAAAGCUGAGUGUGCGUGUGACAGGUGCUGACAAGGGUAGAAAAGUAGGUGCCUCUUCGAUUUCUGAGAUUGGCCCUCGUGGUCUCUGAGCAGCCCAGCUUUUGAGAAAGCGAGCGCCUCUUCGAUUGAUUCGGAGAACGAUGCCUCAUCGAUUUUUGAGAAAGCAAUCAUGCUGGGGGUCUGGCUCUCGAGAUUCGGGGAGCAGUGUCUCUUCGAUUUUUGAGAAAGUAAUCAUGUUGGGAGUCUGGCUCUCGAGAUUCGGAGGGCGGUGUCUCUUCGAUUUUGGAGCAAGCAAUCUUGUUGGGAGUGUUUUCUCGAAUGUGAGUAAAGGUUGGGCAUGUUUGCUAGUCUACCUUGCCACGAAGCACAGAGGUUGACACACAGGGACUUUCCAAUUAUCCAGCAAUGGUACUGUUCCUUUACCCUCUCUUCGAUUUUUAAGAAAGUAGUCAUGUUGGGAGUCUGGCUCUCGAGAUUCGGAGGACGGUGCCUCUUCGAUUUUGGAGCAAGCAAUCUUAUUGGGAGUGUUUUCUCGAAUGUGAGUAAAGGUUGGGCAUGUUUGAUAGUCUACCUUGCCACGAAGCACAGAGGUUGACACACAGGGACUUUCCAAUUAUCCAGCAGUGGUACUGUUCCUUUACCCUUGUGGGUAAUAAUAUGGUAGCUAGACCUUCAAAAUUUAUGGGUCUAAACUUUGUUAGUGCUGUUUCUUUGCUAUUCUUUUACCCUUCUUGGUCAGAGCGAUGUAGUGGGAGCUGCAAGCUUCACGUGCUCAACUUUGGCAGAGAACUUUGGCAAAGUUAUCUGUGGUACCCAUGAGCUAUUGUUGCGUGUGGGAAGUGGGUGAUUGAACAGUAAGAUUCAUGUGUUUUCUACUUCCCCAGAAGUCUUUGACAGAAUGCCUAUAAUUUCCGCAAAACUGAGUGUGCGUGUGACAGGUGCUGACAAGGCUGGAAAAGGCUGGAAAAGUAGGUGCCUCUUCGAUUUCUGAGAUCGGCCCUCGUGGUCUCUGGGGAGCCCAGCUUUUAAGAAAGCGAGCGUAUCUUCGAUUUUUGAGAUCGGCCAUCGUGGUCUUUGAGCAGCCCAACUUUUGAGAAAGCAAACGCCUCUUCGAUUUCUGAGAUCAACCCUCGUGAUCUCUAAGCAGCCCAGCUUUUGAGAAAGCAAACGCCUCUUCGAUUUCUGAGCAGGCGCCUCUUCGAUUUCUGAAGCUUCGUCGAGUGCAGAUUUUUAUAGGGGCUGGCAUUAAGUUCCAAAGCACACUUGAAUCUCCACCAGUAGAAGCUUCAUUCUUGCACUUCUAAGAUCUUGAUUUUUCCGACCUCUUCUCUCUUCAACACCUUUGAAAAUGUCUGGCCCCUCCGACCGUCGUUUUGACUUGAACCUUGUUGAAGAGGCAGCCCCGCCUUCUCCAGACAACAUAUGGCGCCCAUCCUUCGUUUCCCCUACUGGUCCUCUUACCGUUGGGGAUUCCGUGAUGAAGAAUGAUAUGACCGCUGCGGUGGUGGCCAGGAACCUUCUCACUCCCAAAGAUAACAGACUACUUUCCAAACGGUCUGAUGAGUUAGCUGUUAAGGAUUCGCUGGCUCUCAGUGUUCAGUGUGCAGGUUCUGUGUCUAAUAUGGCCCAACACCUAUUUGCUCGAACCCGCCAAGUUGAAUCAUUGGCGGCUGAAGUGAUGAGUCUCAAACAGGAGAUUAGAGGGCUCAAGCAUGAGAAUAAACAGUUGCACCGGCUCGCACAUGACUAUGCUACAAACAUGAAGAGGAAGCUUGACCAGAUGAAGGAAACUGAUGGUCAGGUUUUACUUGAUCAUCAGAGAUUUGUGGGUUUGUUCCAAAGGCAUUUAUUGCCUUCGUCUUCUGGGGCUGUACCGCGUAAUGAAGCUCCAAAUGAUCAACCUCUGAUGCCUCCUCCUUCUAGGGUUCUGUCCAGUACUGAGGCUCCAAAUGAUCCCCCCCUCCGGUGCCUUCUCUUUCUGGGGCUCUACCUGACUGCUGAGACUUCUCCUAAGCAACCUUUGUGAAGGCUCCCUCUUGUGUGCUUAUUUUGACUCAUGUAUAUGUACAUAUUUGUAGCUUAUCGGGGAUAUCAAUAAAUAAGCUUUCCUUCAUUUCAACGUAUUGUGUUAAAUACACACCAAAGCCUUCUUCGCUAAGUUCUUUGAAUUUUCUUUUGUUAAAGCUUGUAUGUUGAAGCUUUCUGAGUGGAGCAUGUAGGUUGGGGUAGUGUUCCCUUAAUUUCCCGAGUGAGGAAAACUUCUCGGUUGGAGACUUGGAAAAUCCAAGUCACUGAGUGGGAUCGGCUAUAUGAAUCUUAGAACGCCAUUGUGCUCGAUCCUGUGUCAUGUCCUUCGUUAGAUCCAAGUACUCUAAGUCUUUUCUUAGAGUCUCUUCCAAAGUUUUCCUAGGUCUUCCUCUACCCCUUCGGCCCUGAACCUCUGUCCCAUAGUCGCAUCUUCUAAUCGGAACGUCAGUAGGCCUUCUUUGCACAUGUCCAAACCACCGUAACCGAUUUUCUCUCAUCUUUCCUUCAAUUUCGGCUACUCCUACUUUACCCCGGAUAUCCUCAUUCCUAAUCUUAUCCUUUCUCGUGUGCCCACACAUCCAACGAAGCAUCCUCAUCUCCGCUACACCCAUUUUGUGUACGUGUUGAUGUUUCACCGCCCAACAUUCUGUGCCAUACAGCAUCGCCGGCCUUAUUGCCGUCCUAUAAAAUUUUCCCUUGAGCUUCAAUGGCAUACGGCGGUCACACAACACGCCGGAUGCACUCUUCCACUUCAUCCAUCCAGCUUGUAUUCUAUGGUUAAGAUCUCCAUCUAAUUCUCCGUUCUUUUGCAAGAUAGAUCCUAGGUAACGAAAACGGUCACUCUUUGGUAUUUCUUGAUCUCCGAUCCUCACCCCUAACUCGUUUUGGCCUCCAUUUGCACUGAACUUGCACUCCAUAUAUUCUGUCUUUGAUCGGCUUAGGCGAAGACCUUUAGAUUCCAACACUUCUCUCCAAAGGUUAAGCUUUGCAUUUACCCCUUCCUGAGUUUCAUCUAUCAACACUAUAUCGUCUGCGAAAAGCAUACACCAAGGAAUAUCAUCUUGAAUAUGUCCUGUUAACUUAUCCAUUACCAACGCAAAAAGGUAAGGACUUAAGGAUGAGCCUUGAUGUAAUCCUACAGUUAUGGGAAAGCUUUCGGUUUGUCCUUCAUGAGUUCUUACGGCAGUCUUUGCUCCUUCAUACAUAUCCUUUAUAGCUUGGAUAUAUGCUACUCGUACUCCUUUCUUCUCUAAAAUCCUCCAAAGAAUGUCUCUUGGGACCCUAUCAUACGCUUUUUCCAAAUCUAUAAAGACCAUGUGUAAAUCCUUUUUCCCAUCUCUAUAUCUUUCCAUCAAUCUUCGUAAGAGAUAGAUUACCUCCAUGGUUGAGCGCCCUGGCAUGAACCCGAAUUGGUUGUCCGAAACCCGUGUCUCUUGCCUCAAUCUAUGCUCAAUGACUCUCUCCCAGAGCUUCAUUGUAUGACUCAUUAGCUUAAAUACCCCUAUAGUUCAUGCAAUUUUGUACGUCGCCCUUAUUCUUGUAGAUAGGCACCAAAGUGCUCAUUCGCCACUCAUUUGGCAUCUUCUUCGUUUUCAAAAUCCUAUUGAAAAGGUCAGUGAGCCAUGUUUAUACCUGUCUCUCCCAAAAGUUUCCACACUUCGAUUGGUAUAUCGUCUGGGCCUAUUGCUUUUUUAUGCUUCAUCUUCUUCAAAGCUACAACCACUUCUUCCUUUCGGAUUCGACGAUAAAAAGAGUAGUUUCUACACUCUUCUGAGUUACUCAACUCCCCUAAAGAAGCACUCAUUUCAUGUCCUUCAUUGAAAAGAUUAUGAAAAUAACCUCUCCAUCUGUCUUUAACCGCGUUCUCUGUAGCAAGAACAUUUCCAUCCUCAUCCUUGAUGCACCUCACUUGGUUUAGGUCCCUUGUCUUCUUUUCCCUUGCUCUAGAUAGUUUAUAGAUAUCCAACUCUCCUUCUUUGGUAUCUAGUCGUUUAUACAUAUCGUCGUAAGCUGCUAACUUAGCUUCUCUGACAGCUUUCUUCGCCUCUUGCUUCGCUUUUCUAUACCUUUCACCAUUUUCAUCAGUCCUCUCCUUGUAUAAGGCUUUACAACAUUCCUUCUUAGCCUUCACCUUUGUUUGUACCUCCUCAUUCCACCACCAAGAUUCCUUUUGGUGUGGGGCAAAGCCCUUGGACUCUCCUAAUACCUCUUUUGCUACUUUUCGGAUACAACUAGCCAUGGAAUCCCACAUUUGGCUAGCUUCCCCCUCUCUAUCCCACACACAUUGGGUGAUUACCUUCUCUUUGAAAAUGGCUUGUUUUUCUUCUUUUAGAUUCCACCAUCUAGUCCUUGGGCACUUCCAAGUCUUGUUCUUUUGUCUUACUCUUUUGAUAUGUACAUCCCAUCACCAACAAGCGAUGUUGAUUAGCCACGCUCUCUCCUGGUAUAACUUUGCAAUCCUUACAAGUUAUACGAUCCCCUUUCCUCAUUAGAAGAAAAUCUAUUUGUGUUUUUGACGACCCACUCUUGUAGGUGAUCACAUGUUCUUCUCUCUUCUUAAAGAAGGUGUUGGCUAAGAAGAGAUCAUAUGCCAUUGCAAAAUCCAAGAUAGCUUCCCCAUCCUCGUUUCUCUCCCCAAAACCAUGGCCACCAUGAAAACCUCCAUAGUUGCCUGUCUCCCUGCCCACGUGUCCAUUUAAAUCUCCUCCUAUAAAUAACUUCUCCGUCUGAGCAAUUCCUUGCACCAAGUCUCCAAGAUCUUCCCAAAAUUUCUCCUUCGAACUCGUAUCCAACCCUACUUGAGGUGCGUACGCACUAAUCACAUUGAUAAGUUCUUGUCCUAUUACAAUCUUGAUUGCCAUGAUUCUAUCUCCUACCCUCUUGACAUCUACAACAUCUUGUACCAAGGUCUUGUCCACGAUGAUGCCAACACCGUUUCUCGUUCUAUUUGUGCCCGAAUACCAAAGUUUAAACCCUGAGUUUUCUAGAUCCUUUGCCUUACUACCAACCCACUUAGUUUCUUGUAGGCACAUAAUAUUUAUCCUUCUCCUCACCAUAACUUCCACUACUUCCAUAGAUUUUCCCGUUAAGGUUCCUAUAUUCCACGUUCCUAAACGCAUUUUGCUCUCUUGAACUCUACCCUUCUGUCCUAGCUUCUUCACCCUCCCCCGUCUAAUAGGAUCAAAGUACUUCUUUUGUGUGUCCCGGGUAAAGUUGAUAGGAGCAUAUGCUCCCAAACAACUUUGAGUGGAGUCGUUCGAAAAGAAGUUUCUAUAGCCCCCUUGCUCAUUUAACACUGCAUCCGGGUGCCGAUGGAGAUACAGCGACCCUUGCUCACUUAUCACUGUGCUCAGGCCACACAGCGCGCCACUUACGGGUGACGCCCUAGCUUUAGCGCGAUUUUGUUCUGGAUUCAUUUUCAUAAGGAUUCGACGUGAUCAUGGAGUGCCGGCUGUCGACUACCUGACGCCCUCCCCCUCCUCCUUUAUCCGGGCUUGGGACCGGCCAUGUAAGACAUAGGCGGAGUUAUCAACCAAAACUUUAAAAGAAAAUAAUUAGAAAACAUGAUUCAGGAGAGAAAUAACAAGUCCAUCACGUAUUAGAAAAUCAGUUUUGCCCAGUGAUCGAAAUCAUUACAGGAUUAAAAACUAGAAUCCGACUUUGGAAGAACUUCCAUUCUCUUCUAAAACAGCUUCCACCAACGACAAACGUUCUUGCAGAUGUUUAACUGCACAUAGCAAUGGAAAAAGAUAAUAGGUCAGAAGUUAAUAGUUUACACCCAUUUUUCAAACACGGUGGUUGUUUGUUUUGAACCUACACCAGGUUCACCCUGUAUCAGCGGUUUCCCAGUCACACUAGUAUGAACAUUAGAUAUGAGUUUGAUAACACAAAAAACUAGUAGAUUUGUGUAUGCCCCCUUGGGAACUAAUUCUGUGUGGAAUUUUGUUGUAUGGGCUAUGGAGUAAAUACAUGUUGCAUGACGUGACUUGUUCGAGUUCAUUAGAGGGUCGUGGCGAUGCCCAUGGAAAGACAAGCUCAGGUCCUUUCCAUGUUCUUUUGUGAUCUUUGUUUCACAGUUGGAACGGGGGAGGUUUUGAUUCUGUGAUGAUAUUUGGGUUGGGAUUCCUAUUUCAGUGUCAUUUUCUGCCAUCUGUAUAGGAUCUCUUUGCCAUAAUUAAUCACCCCAAAAAAAUUAUUUGCAUUUGAUUCUUUGCAUAAACUUAUCUUAUGAAUAGUUGAGUAUGCUUUAAUGUCAAUACUAAUUUGUCCGUGACUAUGUCUUUGGUUCUCUAUGUUGUGUAUGGACCAGGGAAUUUAAAUUUUAAAGUGCUAUAUAACUUAUGCUAAAAUAUGUUUGGAAUACCCUAGAAAAAUUAGAUAGAGGCUUGAAAGGACUAGAUCCAGUACAUUUGAAAGAGCUCUCAGUACAAGACAACUUUGUUAAGUGUUUUUGUAGUGGUGUUCUAAUAGCAGCUUCGUAGUUUUAGUCUAAUGUUUUUGUUGUACAUUUUUAACAACCGAAUCUAAAAUCCCUCCGUACUUUAAAGUCCCUCCUCCAGACAUCACAUUAGAGAAUUAUAACUAUUCAACAUCCUUGGUGCAUUGGCAGAUUAAUGAUUGUAUCACGGAAUUUUGGCUAAGUUCCUUGAAUUAUUGAACCGUUAAUGCUUUCCAAAUGUUUUACUUUGAUUCAUUGUCUCACAUUUUCCAUGGUACAAGUUUACAUGAUUGCAAGCCGAUAGAAAGAGAUAGAUGUAGGGAGAAGUGGGAAUUGGGGGAGAGAGAGAGUGAGUGAGGGGUGCGGUUGCUUUUUAAAGAUUUCCUUGAAAUUGUUUCUGCAGUUUUUUUUUUUGGGUGGAUUUUCUCGAGUUCUUUCUAUUUGUUUGGAAUUGUUUCAUUUUUACUGAGAUUCUUUUGGUCCCUGUCACUAAACUCUGAUUUCUACUAUUAAUUGCUGCUGAAAUGUGACUUUUGCUAUUAAUUUUGUAAAUUAAUUAAGAUGCUUAAUGUUCCCUUAAUUGUGAUUAAGAUGGUCACAAUCCUACCAUCCUCUGUAUGCUCUGCCAUGUCCGCCGCCAAUGUUUUAUGUUCCGAUUUUUACUUUUUAAUCCUUUCUUACAACAUUUAAAUAAUCAGGUUGAAAUAGUAAUUCUAUUUUUCGACAAACGAUAGGUUAAAUUGUUAGUUGUUAUGAGAGAAGGAGAUCGUUUUAGAGAUCAAACCCGCAUCAAAAUAUAUGAUGAUUUCUGCAAAUGCGAUCAGCAGUUGCAUUUUACAAUAUACAACUUCAGUUAGCAUCAGUUUCUUAAUGAGUGGCAUGUGAAUUCUUAAUUUAAUUUCGGAAAAAAAUGCAUUUAAAUUUGGUGGUAUGUGAUGAACUUAGCAUUCUGUCUUUUAUUAUAUACUGGUGAUGGACAUUUUUAGCAUAUUGGAUUUAUCAUUUUCUAUAAAAUGAAGCUUCAUUCUCGCUAUGUUGUUGAUGUUUUUUUGUGAUUUCAGUUUAUAGUGCUUCUAAAUGCUGUUUUAAUUUAGGAAUUUGAAUAAUUGUUUAAAUGGGAUUGGAGGGUGAUAAAUAUUUCUAGCUAGGGAAAGGUCGCAUCCAUGUGUUGGUCGAAUUGAUGGAUGUAAAAAAUGAAUAUGGCAAGGUGUAAAAAAUGAAUAUGGAUGAACGUUUAGCUACUGCAUGUAGAUUCAGCUUUCCUUUGCAUUUGAGUGAGUUGGAAACCGAGUGGAACAGUUUGAGAGAGGGAGGGACGGAGGGAGAGAGAGAGAGAGGACGAUGUUGGGAUUUUGGUAAAGAUUUGAGCUUUAGUGGUAAGCAUGCUGAUUUGAGCUCACAGAAAAACCCAACAGUAUGUAGAUUGAAUUGAGUUGGGAACUGAGUGGAAAAAUGUUAGAGAGAGGAUUGUGUAUAGUUCUCAAAGCUUCUUACGUUGUUUUCUGAUGCAUCUUUGAGCCACUGGCCUUAGGUGGAGUCUUAUACUGCAAUAUUAUGUGCUAAUCUAAUAAACCCUGCAACUUAUUCGUCUUUGUCAUGAGUAAGUUUUGGUUUUUUUCAUUGGAAUAGGGAUUUAGUGGAUGAUUGUUUUUAACGCAUAUUAGUUAAAAUGAGUUGAGUAUUGGGUGCCAAUCCCAUGUCUGCAAAUCACAGUAGCCUAAGGAAGAAACACUGUCUGCACGAUCUAUAAUACCUAUUCACGCAAGAAUCUUUUCCCAAACUAAAAAGCUUACAUUUCCAAACGUGUAAAGGAUGGGCCACUAUCAUCUUACUUUUUCAAUACCUAAACCAUGCAGUGAUGCAUGGGCUGGAUAUUGCUCCUUUCAAGUUUCAAACCAUUAAAUGCUAAAGAUUUCUGGAUAAAUCAUCGUAGAAGUCGAUUCUACAGAUUCCUUCUUAGUUACACUCAGAUGAUAAUGUAUUUAUUGUCCUUGACAUGUUUUUAAAGUUUGCAUUUUCAAUGUAUAUUUCAUUAACUAAGCUUUAUCAGCGGAAUAUCAUCGCAAAUUUGUUACGGAAAAUGCUAUUGCUAGAUUCUGAUAUAUCUACUUUAGUUUUAAGGAUUACACAUUGUUUUACGAUAUAAAAUAGAUGUUCUGCCUUGAUUUGAUGCGGGGGUAUGCAUUAGCUAACAUUAAUUCUGCUUAGUAUUUCUCAAAUUCAUUUUGGGUUAAAAAGUUGGAGCUUUGGAUCGGGUUUUUUCUUUAUUCAUGUUGGAAGAAUACAUGCAAGUCAUAUCUUGUGUUAAAAUGCAUGCAUGAAAUAAACUUGUUGGAUGACUAGUGAAGUUAGGCUAGUCAACAUUCUUUGUGUAAAAUGCAUGCAUGAAAUAAACAUGUUGGAUGACUAGUGAAGUUAGGCUAGUCAACAUUCUUUGUGUAAGUUAAGCAAGUUAGGCAAGUUAGGCUUAUGUCUACUUUCUUUUCCUAUAUAUAUGUUUCAUUUGUAAUUGUUUCUUCAUGAAAUACACAUAAAAAAUUCUACAUGGUAUCAGAGCAGGUUCAUUUGUAACCUGUCUCUGCCAUUCUUGCUGCUGCAAUUUUUUCUUUCUUUCAAAGUCUAAGUCAUGACUGAAGAAAGUUCUGUGAACCAUGAUGAGGAAACCCGGCACAAUCUCUCUCCAAACUUCUCAGACGUUGAGGUUAACACCAAUCAACGUUUGUGUUCAGUUCUCUUGAACGAGUUCAAUUAUCUUCCUUGGUCCCGAGCUGUUUCACUAGCUCUCGGAGGCAAAGGGAAGUUAGGGUUUGUAAAUGGAAGCGUGGAAGCUCCAGACAGUUCUUCCUCUACAUACAAUGCAUGGCUCUGCAAAGAUCAACUUGUCAUGUCCUUGCUGCUCAAACACCAUGGAGAAACAUGUUGCUGAAAUUUUUAGCUACUCCAAUUCCGCACAUGAUCUUUGGAAAGCUUUGCAGGAUAUGUAUGGAAAUCAAAACAACUAUGCACGGGUCUUCCAAUUAAAGAAGGACAUUGACAGUGCUCAACAAGAAGGGAAAGCAUUUGUUCAACACCUUGGGAGCCUCAAAGCCAUGUGGAAUGAGUUGGAUGUAUAUCUCCCUCAUACCACAGAUCCUACCAUUCUCCUAAAACGAGCUGAGGAAGACAAAAUUUAUCAGCUGUUAGGGAGUUUGAGCUCUGAGUACGAGGACCUAAGGAGUCACAUCUUGAUGAGUCAAGACCUGCCUACCUUCAACAAUGUUUGUGCAACUAUCCAACGAGAAGAAGUAAGGAAGAAGGUUAUGAAUGUUGAUCACAAUCCUAGAUUAACGGAGACUCGGGCAUAUGCAUCAAAGUACAAGAACUCAUAAGCCAAGGUAUACAAGGGAAGAAACACACAUCUAAAAUGCAAAUAUUGCAAUGGUGUUGGUCAUGAGGAAGACAAGUGUUGGGAACUUCAUCCUGAACUCAAGCCUAAGUUCAGCAAAGAUGGAAGGAUGAUACCAAGGUCCUCACAACAAUUUCAAACCUCAUUUCAAGGCACAACUUGCUAAUGCUCACGCUCCUACUAUCUCACAAGGAUCCAUGGAGUUCACUGCCAAUCCAUUGUCAUUAAUCAAUGAAUUUGCAGCUUACCUACAAAGUAAGGGGCACGGAGGAGGCUCAUAUGGUCAAGGCAAUGAAGAGGGUAGUCACACACACAGCUAUGUUGGGACAAUUUGCCGGAUUUCUUGCUGGAAAUGAGAAAGUUCCAAAGGGAGAAGCAUCAGGUAUACUCAAAGCCUUUACUACUGCCCUAUUAACUAGUACUGAAAUUGAUUGUUGGAUAAUUGAUUCAGGCGCCACAGAUCAUAUGACAAACAAAGUUACAAAUUUACAUCAUUUUAAAAAAAUUUCAAGCCCCUCACAUGUGUCUAUUGCAAAUGGAAAAAAUGUCUUAGUUUUGGGAAAAGGAGAAAUAAACUUACUCUCUCAAAAAACACCUUCCACUGCCCUCUAUGUACCAACCUUUCCCUUCCAACUUUUGUCAAUUGGAAAGAUCACCAACACCCCUAAACUGCCGUGCUAUUUUCUCACCAAAUAAAGUAAUGUUUCAGGAUGUUCUCACCAUGAAGAUGAUUGGUGAAGGGGUCUUCAUAAAUGGACUUUACUACCUGUGCAAGAAUGCAUGUUUCACUCAGGCUCUUCAAGCUCAAUCGAAGUCCAUAGAUGAAAACCAACUUUGGCAUAGGAGAUUAGCUCACCCCUCUGAACUUGUCUUGUCGAAACUGUUUCCAAAUUUUUGUAACCCCUAUCCUACUUGUGAUACUUGUCAAUUUUCUAAGUUUACUAGGCUACCUUUUGGUAAUUCAAUGUCUAGGACAAGUAAACCUUUUGAAAUGGUACACACCGAUGUAUGGGGACCUGCAACUGAAUCAAUGGAAGGUUUUAAAUAUUUUGUUCUAUUUGUUGAUGAUUUCUCUCGAACAAGUUUUCUAUAUCUUAUGAAAUCAAAAAGUGAAGUCCCUACCAUUUUCAAAGACUUUCACAUGCAUGUUAAAACGCAAUUUCAAUCAAACAUUAAGGUUUUAAGGUCAGAUAAUGGCACUGAAUUUCUAUCCAACAACAUGCUUCAAUACAUAAGUUCUCAGGGUAUCAUACAUCAAACCAGCUGUGUGGGGACUCCCCAACAAAAUGGAGUAGCCGAGAGGAAAAAUAGAGAUCUCUUGGAAAAAACUCGUGCUCUCAUGAUUCACAUGCACGUUCCAAAGAAAUUUUGGUCGUUUGCCAUCCUUACUGCCACUUAUCUCAUCAAUCGACUUCCAAGUCGUGUGCUAGGGUUUAAAUCUCCUUAUGAAGUUCUCAAGGGGAGGAAAAUAGAUUUGACACAUCUCAAGGUGUUUGGUUGUGUGUGUUUUGUUCACAUCCAAACCUUGAACCGUGACAAAACUAGAUGCCAGGGCAACCAAGUGUGUGUUUAUGGGAUACUCGACCACUCAAAAGGGAUACAAGUGCUUCAAUCCAGUCACUAAGAAGUGCACAGUUUCAAGAGAUGUGAAGUUCGAAGAAGACUAUCCCUAUUUUACAAGUCAGGGGGAGGAUUUAGUUGACAUGUUCCCACUCCCUCAAAACUUUAAUUAUCCGAUGUUGGAAAAGAGAUCAGUCAUUGUAAGUCCAGAUUGUGAAGAAGUUCAAACUGACCAAAUUACUGCCAGUGAAAGUGAAGACGAGCCCUACUCUGAUCCUUCUCCGCCCUCUACAGAGUCUCAGGUGAUUAAAAGAAAUCCUCCUCGAAUCAGAAAACCUCCAGCUAGGUUGCAGGACUAUGUUACAUAUGCCUCACGACAUCCAAUCAAUGAAUGUAUCAGCUUUAGUAAGUUCUCAACAUCUCAUGCUGCAUUUCUCAGUGAAAUUGAUAAGCACUAUGAACCAAGAAGCUUUCAAGAAGCUUCUCUUCUCCCACAAUGGAACCAAGCCAUGAAAGAAGAGAUUCGUGCACUGGAAGAGAAUUGCACCUGGAGCCUAGUUCAACUACCACCAGGAAAAAAGGCUGUUGGAAGUCGUUGGAUUUACAAGACUAAAUUCAAAGCUGAUGGAUCUAUCGAGAGACACAAGGCUAGACUUGUUGCUCGAGGUUUCACCCAAACCUUUGGUGUAGAUUAUAAGGAAACAUUCGCACCGGUGGCCAAGAUGAACUCAGUCAGGGUUUUACUGUCAGUUGCAAUCAAUUGUGGAUGGUCACUCUACCAAAUGGACGUGAAGAAUGUUUCCUUCACGGCGAGCUGCAGGAAGAAGUGUAUAUGCAACCUCCUCCAGGCUAUGAUGGUAUUAAAGGCAACAUGGUUUGUAAAUUGCACAAGGCAAUAUACGGAUUGAAACAAUCACCAAGAGCUUGGUAUGCCAAGCUCAGUUCUGUUCUGGAAAAGGCUGGAUUCAUGCGAAGUAAUGCUGAUUCUUCGUUAUUUGUAAGAACUGGCACCAGGGGGAAGUUGGUGGUCCUCGUCUAUGUUGAUGAUCUUAUCAUCACUGUAGAUAAUACCGUGGAGAUUGAGGCACUAAAACUCUCACUACAUCAAGCUUUCGCUAUCAAAGAUUUGGGGAGGUUAAAGUAUUUUUUGGGGAUCGAAAUGGCAACAUCUUCAAAAGGACUGUUUCUACAUCAACGGAAAUAUGUAUUGGACCUCCUUCAAGAAGCAAAAAUGCUUGACUGCAAGCCUGUUAUCACUCCCGUUGAUUGUAAACUGAAGCUCAGCAUAGAUGGAGAAGCCAUGCAUGAUGUAAGCUACUAUCAACGAUUAGUAGGCAAGCUCAUAUACCUCACUAUCACUCGUCCAGAUAUCACAUAUGCAGUGAGCUUGGCUAGUCAGUUCAUGCACUCUCCCACUGUUGAUCACCUUAACCUUGUUAAGAGAAUCCUUCGUUAUCUUAAGGGUUCAAUUGGGCAAGGAAUUACAAUGCAUAACAAUCAGUCCACUGUCAUUAGUGGCUACACAGAUGCAGACUGGGCAGGUAAUGCAAUUGAUAGGAAAUCAAUCACAGGCUAUUGUACAUUUGUUGGUGGAAACCUUGUCACAUGGAAGAGUAAGAAGCAACAGGUAAUUGCUCGUUCCAGCGCAGAGGCUGAGUAUCGAGCCAUGGCAGCCACUGCGUGUGAACUCAUUUGGCUUAAAGGGCUUCUUUCAGACUUAGGGUUUCCUAGUUCUACUCCUAUGAUGCUUAUGUGUGAUAAUCAGGCAGCCAUGCAUAUUGCUGCCAAUCCUGUGUUCCAUGAAAGAACCAAACAUAUUGAAGUGGAUUGUCAUUUCAUCAGAGCUCAAGUUCAAACGCAAAUCAUCCGGACCAUGUUCACACGAAGCCAUGAUCAACUAGCAGAUCUUUUUACAAAGGCACUAGCAUCAUCUCAGUUUCAUCGGUUAUUGGGCAAGCUUGGCUCAGUGAAUCCCCUCGAUCCAGCUUGAGGGGGAGUGUUGGAAGAAUACAUGCAAGUCAUAUCUUGUGUUAAAAUGCAUGCAUGAAAUAAACAUGUUGGAUGACUAGUGAAGUUAGGCUAGUCAACAUUCUUUGUGUAAAAUGCAUGCAUGAAAUAAACAUGUUGGAUGACUAGUGAAGUUAGGCUAGUCAACAUUCUUUGUGUAAGUUAAGCAAGUUAGGCAAGUUAGGCAAGUUAGGCUUAUGUCUACUUUCUUUUCCUAUAUAUAUGUUUCAUUUGUAAUUGUUUCUUCAUGAAAUACACAUCAAAAAUUCUACAAUUCAGCUAUCAUUUUCUGCUUAGGAGACUCUCUUAAACUGUGUGAAACUGUGCUCAUUAGGCUGGGCAGAGCAAUGACAAGCUAAAAACAAAACAAAAACAAGCAGAAUUAUCACAUGUAGUGCAGGAUAAAUUCUAAACGACCCAAAUCUGGAUGGUAAAAUACUUGGAGUUGGAAUUAAUAGGAUCGAUUGAAACAUGGAUUUUUUUUUUAUUAGAUUGGUAUAUCUGACUUAAUUAAGAAGUUGUUUAAGACACAGUCAUUAGGGAAUUUCUGUAAUUGAACGUAGUUGUUUUCAUGAGGUUAAAUACAAUAAGGUGAUUCUAUGCCAAGAAGUGAUUUUAUAUGGACACAUUGUAUGAUGUAAAAUGGUAAAAGGAGUACCUGUUCCUGUCCAGCCUUAUGUUUUCUGAGUCUUGCUUAUUUUUCAUUAGUCAUAUGAAAGAUGCUGCAAUAUCGUGGGAUCAAAAUAGCUAAGAAACUGGACGUGGACAUCUUUAUUCUAUAGAGCGUAUGUAAAAGUAAUUUAGACUUUAUUAGUUUAUAUUAAUCCUUCACUUCUGUUCAUAUAUUGUAAUUUCUAUAUGGUUUGUCCACAUUUGUCUUAGGAGACUCUGGGGCUGCUUAAAUUUUAUAUAUUCAGUUGCAUAGAGUCGGCAUGACAUGCACAGCGAUUGUCAGAUUGCCACCCUUAGUUGGUGAUAUUUUCUUUACAACACAUUCAAAUUGAGGAUUUAGAAAAUCUAAUAAUAAAACUCAAACAUAUGUUCGAUGCUUUUUGUUUUCAUUUUCGGUUAAAAGGUUUCAGCUUUGGAUUGGGAUUUACCUUUAUUAAUCUAUAAUUUUGUGCUCAGGACACCAUCUUGGGGGUCUUAACAUGAUUGUUCUUCUAUUUCAUAGACUCAAAACGUGUCUAGUGUUUCAUUGAAUUGGUAUACCUUUGCUCAUUUAACUCAAAUUUAAUACGGUUUGGUCCUCCAAUUUCUCUAAAUUGCCAACGGAUUUAUUUUCUUUGGAAAUUUCAGGAACUCUGGUUGUGGUAGGAACAAGCCGGCUCCUUGCUAUUUUUAGGUAUAUGAUUAUGUGCCCUGAUUGCAUGUUCAAAGUCUAAUUAGUUAUAUAAACUUUUAAUUUAUCUUUGCAAAGCUUUUGUACUUGGAUUUUAGUUUAGAUAUGCGAUUUGUUUGUGAAAAAUUAACGAGAAGACUAAUCAUGGGGACAUUCUUAUUUCUGAAAUUUUCUCUUCAGCAUUGUUUCUUGAAUAAAUUUGGAUUGGUAGAUGUAGGGGUAGAGUAACCCCCGUGGUGUAAAUAAAAGGUAUAGGCGUAAUGAUUUCUAGGUUUAGAAUUCAUUGAAAAAUAUGAUAUAAUGCUGCGUUCUCUAAUAUUUUUUUUUUUUUUGGCUGUUUGCUGUUCUAAACUUUUGAACUCCUUUUUGGAUUGAUCUUUGUUAUUUUUGUUUUUGGGGGUAUCUGAUUGGUCAAGGUUGCCCAAUCUUGGUUGUACUUUUUCCCAAGACAGGGCACAUUUGAAACUUUGAAUUCUUGAGUUUAUAUUUUAAUUCUCAUUAGUUAAUGCUUAAUAUUUGGCCUUUUAUUUUGAGAUUAGAAUGAAUACGUUUGGCCUGAAAGACAGUAAACUGAAUUAAAAGCUGGCUUAUUUUCCAUUGGCCAUCAAUUAGGGUGAGAAAACAUUGAAUUGAGAUCAUUAAACAGCACUUAUAUAGGGCACUAUACCAAAUGAGCUCGAAGAGGACUCAGCAAUUGAAGAACAAUUGAUGGCAUACACCUUGGACAUGAUUAAGUUAGUUGAACAUUAUACUAUAACAAGUACAUAUUUCUGGAGUCAGUUUCACACGCAGACACGCACACACACAUCUGACGUAAAGUUAGUCUAUUAGAUGGUUUCCAGAUUGACCCCCCCUUGCCAAAUCUAUUUCAAGGCUGGAAGGAGAGUUAAAACAUAUGUUAUUGUCUUAUAUGUUUGUAUUUGAAUGGUAACGAUGUUGUUCUUCUGGUGGAAAAUUUUUCCUUUGAAUCCAUUUCAGCUUAGGCUCUACUUUUUUUUUUUUCAUUUCAGCUUCAUUUUCAUGUUCAUCAUGUCCUGUUGGUAUGUGUUUUGUGUUGGCAUUGGAGGGUGGUGGGUUGUCGUUUUGUUUUUCUUUUCUCUGAUUGUAAGACCUUCUAACGAUUGAAUUUAUUUUAUGCUGAAACACUCAUUUUGAUCCCCUAGUUUGAGUUUUUCAGUUACGUAUCAAUACUUAACUGCUGGAUUUUUCUUAAGGAAAUUGGAUAUAGGCUAUAUACUAUGUGUAAAAGUCAUGGAGAUCAAGUUUUGUGCUUUCAUUUGUCACAAUGCAGUUUUUUGUUUUCAUAAAUCAAGUUUUGUGCUUUCAUUUUUCUUUUAAAUUUUAAUUUGUCUUUCAAUCAGUUUUUUGUUUGAGAGAACUCUUAAUUUUCAUGGAAAUAUAGUUAUUUGUGAAUAUGGAAACUUGAAUCUGUGUAGACAUCAGAGUUCUUAUGGUUGUGAUAUGAAAUUUAAAUACAAACUUCCCAAUUUGUUUUUGGAAUUUUAACUAAACUUGCGUUGUAGGUAGAUCAUGCUAUUAAGAUAACAAAAAAAUAGGUAGAUUUGUGUAUGCAAUGAGUUGUAGUGAACAUUUGGCAGUAAUAGAAAUGGUUUAGGUGUGCACAGUUUUGGCCUAAAUGGUUAUCACACGAGCGUAAAUGUUUGUUUCAUUUGUGAUUGAACUCGAAUUUGUUGGAAAGCUUUUCAAUUUAUGAAUAUGGAAAGCUUUUCGUCUUUACUUCUAAACUUAUUUUCUGCUUGGUUGUUGAGAAGGUGAUGGAAAUAUAGUUAUCUGUUAAUAUGGAAACUUGAAUCUGUGUAGACUCCUUGGGUUGUCUGUUGUGUUCAGUGGAGGUUUAGUGUUUUAAUUUUGAAUGAUUUGUUUUUCGUUUCAUGGAAAUGACCUAUUAUUUGAUUUAAUUGAGUAAUUUAAUGGAAGUAUAUUCUCUUUUUUUUCUUUUCCAUAUUUCGUUUUGUCUGCAACCAAACAGGGUAAGGAACUGUAAUCUUUUUAAUUACUCUGCUAUCUCCGUGAGUUAUGAAAAUCAGACCUUUUGUUUUAUUUCUGUAUAUGUAGUUCCGAAGGAAUCAAGUGCCAAAAUUAGAAUAAACAUCCUUUAGUCAAGUUACGCACUUUUCCAUAGAAUGUUUGGUUUAGGGAUCCCUUAUACAAGCACAAUAUUCUUAUGUAUUUAAAUCGUAGUUGACCGUCAUGGUUUAAUAAGUGUGAAAACUGUCUUUAAGUCUUAACUAUACCAUUGGAGCGAUACAGUUUUAGUUAUUUUAUUGGAUCCGUUUGUUAGCGCUUUGAAUUCUUACUCUGAAUCUCACUCAUUUUUUGCAGUUUAGAUUGGACUCUCAUCACGGCAUUGUAAUCUGCUCUUGCUGCUGCGAUUAAUCUAACGGUUCUGAGGCGUUGCAUUUGAAUCAAGACUUCGGUAUGCUAGCUGAACUUAAAUGCAUUCUUUUCCCAUUCUUUCCGUUUGAGGCAGCGCAACUUUAUGAUCUUUUAUAUUGAUUGUUUGGUUUGAUCACCUUUUGUUAUUCGUUUGCUUUAUGCUUUGUUUUUCAUUCUUGGUUGUCUCUGUGAUUGUCUCAUUGUCCAGAGGUCGGAUGGUUAGUUUUUUAUUUUUUUUGUUCUAAUUUUGUUUGUGCAAUUCCGUUAUUGUUUGAAGGCCCGUUGCUAUCUCUGUGAUUCUGGUUUAACCCGGUGCUCUUAAUUCUUUAUCGGAUGUUGUUGGUCAUUUUAUCUCUUUUAUUUUGUAUUGGUUGGUUGGUGUUUUCGUUUGGUUUUCUGAUGGUGAACUAUCUCAUCCUCCCCGAAGUGUUUUAACAUGUUUUGUUGAUAAUUGCGCUCUCUAAACGAACUCGACAUUUUUUUAGAAAAAUCACAACUUCCAUAUUUAAGAAAAUGUGUGGCUUUUUAGCAAUGCAUGAAUGCAGCUAAGAUGUUCUGAAAAAUUCAUGGAUAUUUUACAUUCAAACCACAAGUAUCAUUAACUUAUAAAUAAUUAAGUUAUGUAUUUUCUUUAUCGGCUAUCACUUCAAAAUUUGAACUAAAACACUGUCAAAAAGCUUUUUGGUUGUGUUUUCCUUAUUCAUUAUGUAAGUUUCGCAAAUCUUCUACAUGCUGCAUAUUUUUUUGUUUGAACAUCUAUGGUUGACGAGUUACCUGCUCAAACGCCACUUUUUCUGUGUUUUGCUAACUGCUAAGUGAGUUAUGUAGGUUGCAAAGCAUAUAUUUGGCCGUCUUAACUGCAGGGGCAAAAUAUGUGUGAAUUGCAGCUUCCUUCUGUUUCUACAGUUUCAUAUAUGGAAACAGGCCUUCUGUUUUUUUUUUUUUUUUUGCCUUUGAACAAUUAUGGUUCCAAAAUUAGCUACUUGAACAAGUCCUCAACACUUUCUGCUUUAAAUUACCUGUUGAACUAGCUGCCUACACUGCAGGACACAUGUUAUGUGUGAACUAAAUGUUUCUUCUUUUUCUUAAGCAAACGGAAAUUGUUUGGAAACCAUCUCUUUCUAAUCAAACACGUACAGUUUCUUCCCACUCAUUGUGCAUUGUGUUUAUAUGCCAACUCACUUAAAUAUGUAUAACAGCACAAUUGCUUAUCUUAUUGGGCUCAUUCACUCAUGUAUCCCUCUGUUUGUUUGUAAUUGUGUUGAAUUUAUUCAACUUAAAUGUGUUUUAUCCAUCCGAUUACGUCUGAAACAGUGGUUCCCGCAGCAGCGUGCGGGCGUAUUUUCUAGUUUUUAACAAAAUUUUGCAAACUAAAUGACACGAUUGUUGAUGAGUGGAUUAUUAUUUUAGUGUUGAUUAACAUGCUUAUUUUAUUGUGGUGACACAUCAUUUAGUUUGCAAAUUUAGUCUCCUUGUCAUUACCUAUUUGUGUAUGAUGGCGGAGGCAUCAAUAAUUAGUUCUCACCAUUUGAAUUUGUGCAAUUGUGACAACAGAUCAAGCUUCCAAAUCUCCAAGGAACUAGUCUUUGACUGUUGAUCUUCCCUUCGUCGAGUCUGUAUUUGUUGAUCAUAAGCGGAGUCAGAUUUGAACUUCCCUGUAAGUUCUUAUUAUUCACUGAAUAAUACAUUAGUUGUUUCUCAUUUUAUUUGAACUACUUUUUAUUCAUUUGUUUCUUCACUUAAUUUGUGCAGCUCUUCACCUCAAUAUUGCUCAAGAACGCUUCCUUAUUUCUUUGGUUGCUUGGAGUUCUCAGCGCUCCUAAGAUGCCACUUGGAGAGGUUUUUCUUGCGGCGUUUCUACAGUUGCUGCUUGACAGGUUGACCCCUCGCGACAUUCUCAACUACUUUGGAAACUUCCGGGGUGUUGGAAAGAAGCUGGAGAAGUGGAGGGCCACGUUAACUACAAUCGCAGCAGUGCUGAGCGACGCCGAUGAAAGACAACGGACUGACGAUGCUGUAAAACUAUGGCUCAAUAAUCUCAGAGACCUUGCUUAUGAUGUCGAAGACAUGUUGGACAAAUUUGCGACUCAAAUGUUGAAGCGCACGAUAGAGGGACGUGAUCAAGCCAGCACGAGCAACAAGGUGCGAAACUCACUUUUCAAAAUUAAAUUGAAUUGGAAUAUGAACUCCGAAAUGAAGAAGAUUACGGAGCGGUUACAAGACAUAUCUGACCGAAAAGUUAAGUUUAGCUUGAAAGAUACUGGGACGUCUGCUAAGGAAUCGCGAAGUCUACCAUGUUCAGGCGUGUUAGAUGAAAAGCUUCUUGUUGGAAGAGAUGGUGACAAAGGGAAGAUUAUUGAAUUGUUGAAAAAGUCUACCAAUUUUGGUGUGGUUGCUAUAGUUGGCAUGCCCGGAGUUGGGAAGACGACACUUGCUCAACUUGUAUUCAACAACAAAGAUGAUGCCAUGAAGGAGUUUGAGCUCAAGGUCUGGGUAUCUGUGUCCGAUGACUUCGAUGUUGUGCGAGUGACAAAGGCAAUUCUUGAAUCAAUGAAACCCCUACCCGUUCAAGUGGAGGAGUUUAGUAAAAUGCAGCAUGAUUUGAGUGAGCAAUUAAGAGGAAAAAAGUUUUUAAUCGUUUUAGAUGAUGUUUGGAACAAAGGUGACCGUGAUCUAAACGAUCUCUGGUUAAGACUUAAAUCCCCUUUUGGCGUCGGAGCAGGAGGAAGUAAGAUUAUUGUGACAACCCGUGAUUUAAAUGUUGCAAAGAUUAUGGGAGCCACUGGAUUUCAUAAUUUGGAAUGUAUGGCAAAUGAUGAUUGUUUGGAAAUAUUUGAGCGACAUGCAUUCGGGGAAGUUAAUAGUGGAAAACCAGUAAAUUAUGAGUUAAUUCGGACAAAAAUUGUUGAAAAAUGUUGUGGCUUACCAUUAGCUGCGAGGACUCUCGGUGGUCUUUUACGUUGCAAAGAAACAGAUGAGUGGGGAGAAAUAUUGGACAACAAACUAUGGAAUCUCGCAGAUAACUGUAACCUUCCCCGCGUACUAGAGUUGAGCUAUCACUAUCUUCCAUCACAUUUGAAGAGGUGUUUUGCCUAUUGCUCAAUACUUCCAAAUGACUACGAAUUUGGGGAGAAGCAGCUCGUCCUUUUGUGGAUGGCAGAGGGUUUGAUUCAACAAAAACCUGACAACAAUAAACAAAUGGAGGAUUUGGGCCGCGACUACUUUCGAGAGCUAUUAGCAAGGUCGCUGUUUCAAGAAUCAAGCAAAAACAAUUCACGAUAUGUAAUGCAUGACCUCGUUUCUGAGUUAACACGAUGGGCUGCAGGAGAAAUAUGUUUUAGGUUGGAAGAUAAGCAAGGUGAUAACUUGCAAAGCACUUGCUUUCGAGGGGCUCGCCAUUCGUCUUUCAUUGCUGGUGAAUUUGAUGGAGUUAAGAGAUUUGAGGACUUUCCAAAAGCUGAACGUUUGCGAACAUUCCUGCCACUUUCGCUUUCAUAUUCCACGGGAUGGUUAAAAUUUUUGUCUCGUCAGGUUACUUUUAAGCUAUUACCACAGUUGCAAUACUUACGAGUGCUCUCGUUCAAUGACUACAAAAUAACUGCGCUGCCAGAGUCAAUCGGUGAUUUGAGGUUGUUACAGUAUCUUGACCUUUCCUACACAUAUAUAACUAGUUUGCCUAAAUCGAUAAGUACUCUUUACAACUUGCAGACAUUGAUAUUGGAACACUGUUACUAUUUGAAGUCAUUGCUUGCGGACAUGAGUAAUUUAAUUAAUUUGCGCCAUCUCAACAACUCAUAUGUAUCUUCGUUGGAAGGAAUGCCUCCAAAUCUAGGUAGCUUGGUGAAUCUCCAAUCUUUGCCUAAUUUUGUGGUCAGUGGUGGAAGUGAUCAAUCAGGAAUAAGAGAGAUAGGGCCCCUAUCGCAUCUCCGAGGGACAUUGUGCAUCUCAGGAUUGGAGAAUGUGACUGAUGUCGAGGAUGCCAGGAGGGCCAACUUGAAAUGCAAGGAGAGGCUUGAUUCGUUGGUCCUAAAAUGGUCUCAUUCAAGCGACACGAGAGAAACGGAAUCCGUUGUGCUUGACAUGUUAGAGCCUCAUACAAAGCUCAAGGAGCUCACCAUCAAGAGUUAUGCCGGAGAGGAAUUUUCAUCAUGGGUUGGAGGUCCUUUGUUCUCUAAUAUGGUGCUUGUGUGCUUACAGAAAUGUAACAAUUGUUUAUCGUUGCCUCCUCUCGGACAAUUGCCUCAUCUCAGGGAACUUUAUAUUAGUGGAAUGAAUGCAGUGGAAAGUGUUGGUGCUGAGUUUUAUGGAGAGCGUAUGUUGCCUUUUCCGGUAUUAGAGACUCUUGAGUUUGUGGAAAUGCAGCAUUGGAAGGAAUGGCUUCCUUUCCAAGCCGAUCACGAAGGUGGUGCUUUCCCUUGCUUGAAAACACUCUUAGUAAAAAAAUGUUCUAAACUGGAGGGUAAACUGCCAGAGAAC